rnacentral:lncRNA from 1 species
ACAACCACCAAUAACCAAUUGGUGGACUAUUCGUUGGAGUUUAGCUGGGAUAUUAUCGAUAGCAUCAAGCACUUGUGUAACUAAAUUUUUCACCGUUAGAUUUAACUUGUUUACUAUUUUCAUUCGUAAGAUUAUGCUAUUUAACCAACAACUUACUCAACCCUAGGAGGUCCAUAUUAUUUUAACCGUAUAUUUUUUCAUCUAAAAGCGAAAAACUUAAUAGCACUAAGUGUUUGAUGCUAUUGAUAGUAUUCUUAGUUACUAUCCGUAGGGCACUAUAAAUUAUUGGAUUGUGAAAUAUAAUUUUAAUAACUAAAUAUUUGUGAACUAUUUGUAAAUAUUUUUUGAAAUUUUUUGUUUAAAAAUUUGAAAAAUUUUGUUACUUUGGUUGGAACUUGGAACCCAAUCUCUGUACCUUUCUCCCCAAGCAAGGGGGUCUUCUUCUCACUCGUCUUCUCCAUCAUCGUCAUAACCCCUCUUCUCCCCCCACCCCCGAAACUCCAAACCCUAGCAUCCACAAAAAGCGAAUAGAGAGAGAGAGAGAGAGAGAGAGAGAGAGAGAGAGAGAGAGAGAGGGAUCGGCGCCAUGGCUCGCUACGACCGCGCGAUCACGGUGUUCUCCCCGGACGGGCACCUCUUCCAGGUGGAGUACGCGCUCGAGGCCGUGCGCAAGGGCAACGCCGCCGUGGGCGUGCGCGGCUCCGACACCAUCGUCCUCGGCGUCGAGAAGAAGUCGACCCCCAAGCUCCAGGACUCCAGGUCCGCGCUCCUUUCUUUAGGGUUUUGAUCGGUUGGGGUUAGGGUUUGAUCGGUUAGGGUUAUGAUUUUGUACUGUGAUUGUGAUGAUGAUGAUGAUGGUGGUGGAAGAACAGGACGGUGCGGAAGAUUGUGAGCCUGGACACGCACAUCGCGCUGGCGUGCGCGGGGCUGAAGGCGGACGCGCGGGUGCUGAUCAACCGCGCGCGGAUCGAGUGCCAGAGCCACCGGCUGACGGUGGAGGACCCGGCGAGCGUGGAGUACAUCACGCGCUACAUCGCGGGGCUGCAGCAGAAGUACACGCAGAGCGGCGGCGUCCGCCCCUUCGGCCUCUCCACCCUCAUCGUCGGCUUCGACCCCUACACCGCCGUCCCCGCCCUCUACCAGACCGACCCCUCCGGCACCUUCUCCGCCUGGAAGGCCAACGCCACCGGCCGCAACUCCAACUCCAUGCGCGAGUUCCUGGAGAAGAACUACAAGGAAACCUCCGGCAGGGACACCAUCAAGCUCGCCAUCCGCGCCCUCCUUGAAGUAAAUACUAUCACAUCUCUUCCCUUCUCUUCUCUUCUAUGCAUUAAUUACAUCUGCUGCUUGCAUGUAUUGUUCUUCCUAGUUAGUUAGUGUGUAGCUAGUUAUUGUGAAAUGUCUCGCACCUGUCAUGAAUAUGGUUGGUGUGACAUGAACUGCCUAUUGCCUUACCAUUACUUAUAAUACUAGCAGAAGUGGAUAUUAUCUUGUUCCAAGCAGAAGCAGUAGGCUGCUUCUUCUUCUUUUUUCCCCCCUUUUUUUCCUCUGAAAUUUCUUUCAUUUACAUGCUAUUUUUUUCCCUUAUAUCUUAGUACAUAGAAAACAAGAUUCAUAUUAUGAUGAUGUUUGCAGACUGUUCUUCUUUUGGAACUUUAAGUUGAACUUUUUUAAUAUCGUUUUAUUUUUCUACCUCUUUUGUCAAAACCAUGGAAGCCAUGCAGAAAGUGAUCUACAAUUAGCUGGAAUGUCGUACUCUGCACGUAUCGACUUAUCGUCAGGCUAACUUUUUUCUUUAGAUUAUCUUAAGCAGCAUUUACGAGUGGCCUUUUGCUUCUUCUUAUCUUGAAAGAUACAUACAGCGAUAUUUGAUGAAAAUGAUUGCCCAAUCUCUUUUUAUAGGUUGUGGAGAGCGGGGGAAAGAACAUAGAAAUUGCUGUUAUGACACGCGAUGAGGGUCUAAAGCAACUCGAGGAAGCCGAAAUUGACGAGUUUGUUGCCGAGAUUGAGGCAGAGAAGGCUGCAGCUGAGGCUGCUAAGAAAGCCCCUCCGAGAGAAACCUGAAUUUCAGAUCACCAUUUCCUUAUGAGCUGUUCUCUUUCUUUUAUGUCUCUUUUACUUGUGAGAUGAAUUCUUUAAGUUACAGUCCGAUUGGAUUUGUUGCUAUUUUAGGUCUCCUGGUCUGAAAAUUAUAGAUUGGCCUACUCAAUUGCGCGAACUCUUUGUUUAUUUUGAUCAGACAUGGAUGUGUUGUUUCGUUAGCAGUUAAUCUCAUCCUGCUGGAUUUACUUUCUAUUAUUGUUGUUUAGACAAGUUGAACUUUUAAUCGCAUACCAUGAUAAAAAUGUUUUACGGUUUGACGAACUUUAAUGCGAACCGGCUUCUUUUUGUCUGAUUUAGGUUCAGUCGGUGGUCUUUUGGAAAACAGGGUUUUGGCUUCCCCAGUUUUAGGGAAAUUUGGUGUGUCAAAAGUGGACGGGGUGGAGAGCUCGACAUCCUUUCCAAAGUGCAGAUGAUGAAAGUGUGCGCUGCAACAGGAACAAAAAUUUUGUGCGAAUACUUUUUCAUCAGAAAAAGAUUUUGGGUUCUGAAACAGCCCUCUCAACUUUUUUUUUUUUUUUGGGUUGGGGGAUUUGAUUUGAGUUUUUACACCUAGUUAUAUCUAGUUUUGUUAAUCGAUAAAUUCAUGAAAUUUAGCUAAAUAAAUCUUGAUUUUUUUGAAAGCAUAUAUGCGAGGGGGUCUCCACACAUUUUUACCAAAUAUUUAUGGAAGGAAAAAGAUACCUGUACACCCCAUCUAGGAAUGUGUGAUUUACUCCAAUCCAUUAGAUGGACGGAAAAUGAAUGGGUGUAAAUUUCCAGAUGGAUGCAUGAAUAACAUUGUUCUUAGCCAAACUGAUCUUUCGAGAUACACAUCCUACAUUGGACUUCUCUCUCUUUGUACAUAAAGAUUUUAAAAAUAUGACAGGAAAGCACAAACAGCAAGUUGCUCUCAAAUUGAUAGAGCUUCUCUCGUGCUAAAUUAAAGCUCUAUUCACCGAGAAAUGUUUGACGUAAGUCACACAAUCAAGAUCACAUUUCACAAACUGUAAACUCUGGCACGACUAGCCAAUAGCGAAUAUAACCAUUUCAAUUUUCAUCCCUGCACCAAAACAGAAGGAUUCAUCUUCGUUAUCUUCCAACUCUUACUGAGAAAAUAGCAGAUCAGUUCAAAUAGUAGAAAUCAGACGUUCUGCGUUAGCCACUUAAGCUCACGAAUAUUAUGAUUGCUUUACAAACUCGUACUUCCAAAAUCUCAUUAAUGUAAAUAUACGACUAGCAGGAUACUGUAACUAGCAGGAUACUAUAAUUUUACUAGUUUAACAGGGUCACAUAAUUGGAGUGCAGUGCUUCUAUGUAAUACACUGUAUUCAAUUGUCCCAUAUUGCUCGGGAAAUGUAUUCAGUUAACUCUUAAGUACUAGAGAAAAUAGUGCGGAAGCUACAUAAUAGAUGGUUCCACAGAGCAAUUUAUUUGCUCCUCUUGGAUAUUUCGUAAAAGUAACUAACGAUAACUACAGCUGCGGCAACUGCAACUCCAAAAGCACUAUGAGCUAAUACAGCACUGGAAUUAGCAUCAGCUUUGGCAGCUGAGCCGGAGGUGCGUCGUGGAGUGAAGCCGAGUUCGGAAAGUUUCUUGUGCGAUUCUUCAUAGUCCUUGAAGAAGACAUCCUCAUCCUGUCAAAGAUUUUAGAAAGAAAUAAGAUAGGGGAAUAAAGAGGAUUGCUGAGAUAGGUCUUUUUUUUUUUUUAAAAAAAAGGGGGUAAUUUGGAGGUUGAAAAUGCAGGAAAGUCAUUGACAGCAGUACGGAUGAGAUAGUGAAGUGAUGAAAUAUUGUAAUUUACAGAGUUAAUAUACAGGCAUUUCCAAUAUUUUAAGGUGGGAAAGUGGAAUUUUGAUACUUGAGGGGGUUCCCAGCAAUUUAGCCUAAUGAAAAAAAAUCUUAAUCUGCUUGAGUAAAGAACUCGAUGAUAAUGGUACUGACACAUGCUGACACCCAAUACAUUGCAUUUAGUCUUGCAAAAUAAAAAUUCAGUGACUAACUGUACCUUUGCAUACAGCUCAACAAAGUGCCUGAACUGAGGAUCCUCCAAGAGAGCCUUGUCAGUAGGAAGCUUAAGAAGCCCUUCGGAUUCCUCCUUCAACAGCUCCCUGUGGCAAUUUGAAUGCAUUAAUCGGGUUAAUUAUUUAAUUUACAUCAACAACGAUUGAUAAAGUGAUCAAUCGAAUUUCUUUUCACUGAGAUGAAUGAGCUUUAUGUAAGCCAUACACGAAGUAGGAGUUGUCGAAUUUGAGAGGUUCAUUUGUCCAGGCACCUUCGAAUCCCGACCUCUCAGGAUGAGCCCUCCCCUGCAGGAAAAAUAAAACCAUGCAUUGUUUUGGGAGGUCUUUUGAAUCAUGACAAGGUUCUUUUGUUUGCAGUGAGAUAAGUAUAUUACUAGAGUGUGGCCACCAGAUAGGGCUACUAUAUCCUUGUCAGAUAAACCCAUCCGAUAAAAGAUGUCCCUCAGAUGUGAUGAACCUAAAAUCAAACGAUAAAAAUAAAAAUAAAACAUAAUAAACCAAGAAACAGUGAGUUCAUGGGAAAAAAAAUAUUUGCUAAGCAAACAACAUGAAUUUAACAUAGAUAUCUCAACAGUUCUGGCUUGCAAGAACUUGAAAGUUGCCCAACCUAGAGUUCUUAGGAACUUCAGUUUUCUUCGUUUUUUGUUACAUAUAAGUCAUAACAGUCAAACUAUUUGUUUCUUUUAGUUGAGAGAGAAUAACUUCUGUAUCCACGAAAGCUUCCAGCAGCAUGAACAAACCGGCCCUCGCACAGGGCCCACAUGCAAAUUAAAGAAAAGGAAAAAUAAAAUACACAGGUGCAUGCACGGACAAACUCAGAAGAAAAGGAAAUACAGAGACACAGACACAGAGACACAUUGGAGUCCAAACACUUCCCAGGAAUCAAACCGAAGUGCAAGAACACCUAGCCUAACAAUGUUUCCAAACCUUCCAGUAUAGAGGGGGAGAAAGAAAAUGCUCUAACCAUGCUUUAUGAUUCGACGACUUCUCAUAGAUAGAGAUAUCUGUACAUGCAAAGAGAUGCUUAUAAUAUCUUUCACAAAUGCAUCUAACAGAGAUCAAGGUGACUAUCGUCCUCAAAUAAUUUUCCUACAACACUACUAAUUAUCAAUUCAGACUGAUACAAUACUGCAUAUCAACAUGGUAAAGUCAUUGUGGCUAACCUUUCUUGGCAUCGGGAAGCCGCCCCUCUUUGGGGCAAACGGAGGAAUCCUGAAACAGCAGAAGAAGCACUAAAUAUAUGAUUUAGCUAGUUUACAAGUUACACCUGGAAAAAAAAAAAAUGCAGUUCUUAGUACCCGUCUCCCUGGAACAAAGUCAAUGGUCGGUCCUCCAGUAACUUCAACUGCAACCACUCCAGCAAGCUAAUCAUUAUAACACAUUAACUUCGAACAACUUAUUAAUUGCCUUUGCAAAUGAAAACGUAGAGAACCAAAAAGUCACUUAAAAUGGCGGUUAUCUUCCAUGGACUUUUCUGUCUGAUAUAAUUGAGAAACUUAGAGAACCUUUAAGUCCAUAUGCAUUCAACUGGAAAAAGAAAAAAUCAUUGGAAUUUCCCCCACCAUUCUCUAAAAUUCGAAGCACAAUUCUUUUAGAAAAGCGGUUAUUUUAUAUUUGCCUAUUAAUUAGCUGAUUGAUUGGCUAACACUUAAGAGGCAGCAGAUUUGAUGAUUAAAACUUCAGAAGAUGUGGAAUAUGCUUGACUAGUAAAAAGAAAUAUUGGAGCUAAGCAACACAUAUUUGAAUGCAUUUACAAAAUAACUUCAUGGAAUUCAAUUAUUCUUGAAUUACCUGAUACAGGUCUGCAUAUGUAAUCCUUGGAUGUUUUGCCUUCACAGGCUCUGUAUAACAGUGGAAAGGAAAGAAAAACCAACAAAAAAAACAGUUCAAUGUCAUCUUUAUUGGUUGAUAACUUGAUACAUCAAAUGUAGCAUAAUAAGAUAUUAUAGCCUUAUAACUUUUGACAUUGCUAAACGAGUAAGAAAGAAUCGAUAUAUGAGUUUUCCUUGAUCUCCAUUUUUUUUUUCUUUCAUGCAAUUCCAGCAAUUUAAGGAUUCAGAACUAGCCUAGUUUAAAAAAAGAAUGCACAGCACAGUAAACAAUUAAAUGCUAGGCAUUAAUGCUCAUAGCUGUUUUUCUACAGUGCGGAGAAGAAAAAGUUUCUAAGAUGCCAUAGUCUAACAAACAUACUCUGUUUAUGCACUUGCACACUUGAGACACUGUAAUACAAACUAAUAGGCUACUAAAAUUUAAGUCAGGUGGUUAUUACCCCACCAGCUCACUGAAUCACCAGCAGAAAAUGCUGAAUGAGAGCAUAAUAAUACACAUCAUAAAUCCUACAUCCCAAAUAUCUUUGGGCAAAAGCACAUUCUGCAGUUACGAUUGAGCUUCAAAUAUCAAAUCCAGACUGUCAAGUGUCAAGCAUGAUGCACAUCAUCCACUAUACCUUAAAUAAGCCAUUAGUUUAUAUUUUCAGAAAAAAGAAUCACCUGUAUUCUUCAAACAGAAAGGGGCGAAAUUUUCAUGCACGAGUAUACAGAUAAAAGAAGCUAACCCAAAAGAUCGAUUGCAAUUUUUAAUCCAGCAUUUGAACCAUGAUUAUAUUCCUCCUCAUGUCUAAUCGAACCGUUUGGACCGCCUGUUUUGGUGUUCACAUCAUACGUGCCAGCAUCAUGCCAUCUGCAAGAAAGAAACCAAAAAAAAAAGAAAAAAGAAAAAAAAGAGGGAUUUAGUUUUAUGCCAAAUUGCAAAUCAAAGUGUAUCUUAGCAGUUUGAUGAGGAUGGCCUCAUAUUAAGUGCACCAAUAUUGGUACUUCGCCAAAGAAAUUUUAAGUUUACCAAAAUUGAUAACUAAAGAGCACAUAAAUGUAUAAACCAGAUUGAUGGAACGAGUAGAUAAACGGAAGUCAGCGACUGAAAAGUCGGAAAAACUUUUGGGAAUCCGCAGCAACUUGACAAUAAGUAAAAUACAAAAAACAAAGGCCUUGCUGAGACACAAUGGGAUAAAAUCAAUAAGAACAAGAAAGCUCUUAAAGCAUUCAUACUCCUCUGUCCAUUUAUACAGAACACAAAAGCUUUGCAAGUCUUCUGGAUAUACCAACCACUUAUUGAGAUCAAAUGGAAUCACUAAAACACUUCCAUAGAAACCAUAAUCAAAGUAUUUGUGUUAAAAUAUGUUAAGAGUUUUUAAACAAUACGAUUGGGCUAAUUUAAAGCUUUUGAGCUAAGUCAAUGUUUAAAUUUACAUCACCAAAGAUUUUCUCCACACAAACAGCUCAAUGAUCUGAGAGAGAAUUAAAGAAAGAGGGCCAUUCAUGAUUCAACUAACAGAUCAAUAAUGAGCCGAACAUAGUAAAAAAAUCCCAAAAUAGCUAGAACGCAAACUAAGCAUCAAACACCCAUUUUUGGCCUUAGAAGUAGGUGAUUGCGCAUCAACGCAGGGAUAACAGUGACUAGUAAACACACUAACCCCCUGUUUGGAUGCAUGAAAGUCAUAUUCAGUAUAUCUCUUACAGACCAUACCUAGCGCAGUUGCCUGAAGGCUUGAUUGUUAAUACCCAAGAUUCCAAGUUCGAAAGCUAGCUGCUUCACAUUUCAAUGAAAGUUCAUUUCUUUAAAAAAAUAAACAAAGCGCGAAGCAAGCUACUUUCUUUCUCAAAAAAAAAAUAAUAAGAAGAACAACUUCUUAAGUUAAAUUAUAACAUGCUUCUUAAGUAAAUGGAUGUUAUAUGUGACAUAUCAGGAGUGUGAUCGAAUGGCUAAAACGGAUAUCAUAUUCCGCUUGCAAGUCAUUUUCAUGUAAUAAAUCGAAAUAUGCCGUCCUACCCAAUAAUACAUAUAAAAACCUUUCAUGGAGCAAAAGGACUCACACUCCUACCUUCUUGUUUCACAUGAAAAUCUUAUCAUAUUGAAAUUCUUAUUUCGACGUCCGAACAGCACCUAAAACACUACGGUUUCGCAUCAAAAUGACUCUCCUCCUUACAAUUCAGAUCGAUAAUCUCUAUAAGAUAAGCUGAGAUUACGAAGAACAAGAAGAAAAGGACAGAGAAAAAAAAAAUCUAAAGGGAGCGAUCGAUCAAGCACGAUCGGAACUCACGCCAAUCGGAGCAUGAUUGGGGCGCAGUUCUUGCUGGCGAUUAGGGCUCGGAGGUCUCUGCGCGCCUUGUCGAUCUCUUUGAGGUACCCAGCGUCCACCACCGGAGCCGCCAUGGUUGUAGCUCCGAGAGGAUCCCUACACACCAAUCCACCGAUCAAAACCGAGAUCUCCGAAGAAGAAGAAGAAGAAGAAGAAGAAGAAGAGAGAGAGAACCUCGUAGUGCAGGAAGAGGAGAGAGAGAGAGAGAGAGAGAGAGAGAGAGAGAGAUAUGGUUGGAUUGGGUGCUCGCGUUCGCAAUUUGUCGAACGACUAAAACGGAUGAUAUUACCACUCCCCCACUUUCCGCUCUGUGACAGUUCUCGCUGCAAAUUUUUUAAUUUUUUAAAGAAAAAGAUAGCAAUUUUUUUAAUAAAAAAAAACGGGUUGAAAAAUAAAAUUGACUUAUAAAUUUGAAAUCUGGGAUACGACCGCAACCGGCUUUUUAAUAAAAUGACCAUUCAAAAAUUUUAAAUUAACAAAAUAACUCUAUCAAAAUUUUAUUUAAAAAAUUAAUCCUUCUUUCGCCACGUUGAAUUUUUGCUAUAAAAGCAGUGGAUGAUUUAUCGUCUUAUCUGUAUUUAACUUUAGAACUUAGACAAAUUUUGAUAAAUUUGAGAUAUUUAUACUAAAGGCGAUGAAUCAUUUACCGCCUUCAUUAUAUAUAUGUGAAGGCGAUGAAUAAUUCACCGCAUUCAUAGUAAAAAUCUAACGUGAUGUCUAUGUGACGAAAAGAGAGUUAUUUUUUCAAAUAAAAUUUUGACAGAAUUAUUUUUUUAAUUUUAAAACUUUGGCGGUCAUUUUAUGAAAAUGCCCGGUUAACACUAUAGCGUACUGCACUAAGGUCGGUCGACAGCUGUCGUGAAUGGUUCACCGCUUAAUUACACCAUUGGUUUCUAAAUCUUUUCUUUGUUUUUUUUUUUUAAUAUCAAGUAUCAUUUUUUUUUUUUUUUAACAUUGCCUUGCUUUCUCAUAUAGAUCAAUAUUAUGGUCCCAUACGCCAAUCAAACUGUCAAACAUGACACCAAUUUUUUAAAAUUUUUAAAAUAGCUUGGUGCUAUGCCAGUGAGAAAAAUAAAAUAAAGAUUAGGGUCUGAUGGUGCAAUUAAUUCCAAAGAUCAAAAAUUUGAUUGCAAAACAUAGAAAAGAUUGAAGACCAAAAUUUUUUUUAAAAAAAAUCAGGUAAAGGUUGAGAUGGUGAUCUAAUACAAUUAAAGAGGUAAUCUGCAAUUUAGCCUGAUUGAAAUACACAUUAUCCUAUAAGAGAUAGAAAUUGUUAAUAAUUUACAGUAACUAGAACAUCAACCACACAUGCAAUUGCAAAUUCACACACACAAACUUACAAAAACAAAAAAUAAUAAUCACAAUAAUAAUAAAGAAUCUCCAUUCCCCAGAAAACACUAUUAGAAGCCGCCUCAUUUCACAUCCAAUUGGCCGUCAAUCGAACAAGAUAAUAGCUGAGAGAUUUUUGCAUCCAAACAGAUCCAAAACGAUUAUUAUCAUUCUUGGGAAAAAGGCAUCAUAUCCAGUUACAUUUCUAAGAGUCUGAGCUCAAUUGCUUAUUCGAAACACCGCUCACAGGAAGAGAUCUAAAUAGGUAAUAAAGCUCAGGGAAGGCAAUAGAGGCCGGCGAUAUCGAUCACAUUAUGACAAUUCCCUUAAGAGAAAGGGGAAAAUUUUGAUGGAGUAAUAGACCCAUUAAUCUAUUGCAAGCAAAGUUUAAUCCUUAGGAUCGAGACCGAAUACAAUCAUCUUUAAUUAUCCAAAAAAAGGGAGUGAUUACAUUUUAUUAAUGAGUCCUCGAAAAAAAAAGAGGACCAGUUUAAUGACCGCGAUUUUAUUCCAUCGACUUCUUUGCGUUCCUCCGCGAGCAUUUAGCUUGGACCGCAAGAGUGCUGGUGGUUCCAGGGCAACUGUCGUCCGUGCCGUAGGCCUUGUGUGACACCGGUAGAUUGCAUGACCUCUUCCCCAAGCAUAGCUGCGGAAUCGAUAAAGCAGAACAAAAUGAGAUCACAUUUUUGAGAAAAAGCCAAACAUCGUGUAAAUGCAAAAGCGCAAGUCAACUGCAUUGCCAAUUAAAUUUUUUGAUCUAUAACGGAAACCACAGACAGCUCAAAAGAAGAGAUAUUUAUAUGCAAUGUGUUUAUCCCAAAAUUUACUAUAUACUUUGCAAACUUAUAUUUCCUUGAAACAAUUUAUACGCAAAAAAAUGCCCCUCCUUGAAAACUAACUACGAUAUAGAAGUAACUAGCCCGGGGGUACCGGACGGCUCAUCAACAUGAGAAAAACGGUACUUCAGUAAGAAAGUGCUGUUUCGAGGGGCCUAUGCAUGAAAUUGUGAUUUUGCAGGGGUAAUGUGGAUAAGCACAUGAUCUUUCAUGAGUGCAUGUGUAAAAGCUCCAAAAGAGAACUAAAGCAGUGAUUACCUUCUCAACAAGGAUCUUGGCCUGUGGAGAGUGGCAAGUCCCUGCGGUGAAAUUACCGCAAAUGCCCAUCGGGUUCCCGAAGCUUGCGAAGACAAUCUUAUUGAUCACCUUCUUGUCAGAGCAUUUAAGGGUAGCUUUCGGCUUCACUUCUUCGGCCACAGCCUUGAUCUGGUUGUCUGUCCUCACCCACGACUUAAUAUGCGCUGGGUGGAACUCAGAGACAAAGGUGCAGAUGUUGUCCCUCUUCACUGUCAUGACCAAUAUCUCCUCUGGCUUCCCCCCUUCCUCCUCGAAUACCACCAAGAAGUUAUUCUUCGGCUUCAAGAAGGCGCGGGGAAUGUGGUAGCUGAAAAAAAGAAAGAAGUAGUGUUGUUUGAGUAGAGCUGUUUAGACAAAGAUCUAGCAGCUUUUUCUCUCUUUUUUUUGGCCCUCUUUAUAUAUCUUUGGCAGAUUCUUGCUACAGCAGAAACAGAAGCUUUAAAUCAAGGCUUCUUCAUUAGGGACCUAGACGCUCAUUUUAGCUCUCGCUGCCACGGAGAAGGCUCCAAACUCUUUGGCUAGAGAAGCACCUAGUUUUCUGGAAGCUUGUUCUAGAAUAGUAAAGCUGUUAUGGAAUGGGCCAAAAAGGCAUUUGGGAAUCCCUUACACUGACUGAGAAGGUUGUCCUAGUGGAGAAUGGUACGAAGUCCAAUAUCGUCCAAUGCACUCGCCGUUGACCCAUACUAGCCCUUUCCCCAUGCUGCUCAAAUCUAGGGCAACUGGGUCAUUUCCAUUAGGAGCAUCAAAGUAUCUCUGAGAAAUUAAGCCCAAAAUGUUGUAUCAAAUUCGAUGCAUUUAAAAAUAAUGAUCUUUGUUAUUUUACAAAGCUGUAUUUAGAAUCAUGCUCAUUACUAUUCGCCAUCUCCUUUUGGAUUUAGUUACAUCAACACGAUCGGUUUGCUAUAUUACCUUGUACCAGGUAAUAGGUGUUCCGCUCGUAGCGUCUGUCCACUGAACACGGCUAGAUCCUUCCUCAUUAUGGAUUCCUGACUUCUCUCCAGACAAUCCAACCUGUGGCAUAGCAAGUAAAAGUUAGCAGCUAAUUAAUUCAUAAAAGCAUAGUUUAGCGAUAGUUAACUAUCAGAAUAGCCAAGAGAAGGUUUGAAAUUUAAAAGAGUACAUACCCUAUGGCCCCAGCCAUUUACCGACAAAUCCAGAGUUCCAGUGUUGAGACCUUGAAUCACAACUUUAUGAACACCAGCGAUCCUUUUCUCUAAGAGAGCUCCGCUAUCCUAAAUUGAAGACCAUGAAGAAAUUAACCUUUUUAUUUUUUUUUUAGAGGAUGAAUAGAAAGAGCAGCUCCAGUUCAUAAAAAAAAGGUUGAUAUGCGAUUGUCCUAGAUUGUUACCGGCAUUCCAAUUGUCAAGGCCAAAAUGGCAACGUGAUUAAUUCCUGCUUUCAGAUCCAUGGGCUUCUGGAAAAUGAAACUUUUCUCCAAUUUGACUCCGUGACCCGAUCCUGAAAAGUGUAGUAUGUGUGAGAACGCAAAUAUUUGUUAACAUGGCUAUGCUCCAAAAGGUGGAAACGUAGAACGGGGAAAAGUAGAACGGUCAAUUGGCGAAAUAUAGAUUUUGGGUUUAUUUUGCAAGUGAUUUGUUAACCAUAAAAACUAAACUAUUGUAAUUGGUUAGUAUCGAUAAAUUACAAGUCGAUGGGAGGCGAAAGAUUACCUACGUAAAUGCCAUUGACAAAGGCAUGUGCCAUGUGGCCGGGGCCUGCGAUUUGAAUCACUGGCCGGAUAUCACGUCUCAUUGGUAAAUCCUCAUCCUCUAGGCUGAAGCUGCAUUUACGUGAAAACCGAAAACACAGGGAAACACAGCAUGCUUAGAUGUAUAAGAGAAUAAAGACAUUCAUAGUUUUCGAACCGUAUACAUCAAGCUUAGACUAUAAGAUACCUAAUCUAGGAUAUAGUGGUGUUAGAGGAUGACAAAUUUGAAUAAGAUCUUCAGUUAGCAAAUUUGAUAAUGAUCUCCUUUCAAUGGACGAAUUCCAACGGUAACAGCUAAAAGUUAGCAUACCUUGUGGUGUACCACAAAUAAUCUGUAGUGUCCUUGGUCAUCUCAAAUAGUUCCAAGGGUGUUCUUGAUAUGACCGAAGUUUGACGGAACUUGGGUACAGCUUCUUGGUACAUUUGCCAUUUGUUGUUCUGUUGACUCUGCUUUGCUACAUGGAACGUCCUCGAGUUAUGUUGAGCAUUCACCUGUUUCAAAUUCAUAAAAAGUUAUUACUUACAAGAACAUCUUUAAAAUCUUUUUCAAGCUAUAAAUGGACCAUCUUCCAAAUUCUAGUUUUCAACAAUUUGCUAUUACCAUAUUAAUGAAUGAUUAAAGUGAAUACUUCUUCUGUAUACUUAUGCAUAAAAGAUGAAAAUCAGAUAUGGAUUAUUUUACCCUCUGGGUGUUGAAGACCACAGUCCUACAAUCUGGGAGGAUGCUGAUGGAAUGACGAGGCAGGAAGUAUUCAACACCUCUGAAUUUCACUGUCCCGUCAAUUCUGGUAUUAUUGUUAUGGAGGAAAGCAACACAUACGUUGCUUUCGGGCUUCUCAUAAAGCCUAAUCUGAAAACAUCGAAAAGGAAAACAAAAUAAAACAGCAAUAAAUGCAACUUAGCAUACCAUCCUUUUUUUAUUUAUCAAUUAUCACUAGAAAAAAAAAAUCUUCCAUGACAAAAAAAGAAAAAUUUUAACUGAUAAGGAUAUUUGCAAAUUCUUACAUCAAAGCCAUUACCCACGUGUUGGACAGAGUAUGAUCCCCAAAGCAAACCUUUUCUGCACAAUCUCAAGGCAUGAUGCAAGUCGCGCAGAUGACCCCAUUUGGGUUCCUUAUAUAAACCUAAACAAGCAGAAGCCAUCAGAUGGAAGUACAAAAUUCCAUAAGUUUUUAUGUACAUAUAAUUUUUUUUAUAGAAUGGAUAUGAUAACAAAUUUUGAGGAUCGUGCUUAUCAGCUCCUUACCAAAUUCGUCAAGAGGGGCUUCAUCGUAGUAUCUAGGCAUGACGAAAGCAGCACCUGUCCUCCCAAAGUUGGUUCCUCCAUGAUACUAAAUGCAGAAUGUUAAAUAUUAGUAAGUUAUGAUGGCGAAAACUCCCUUGUCCUCUCCUUCAAUCUUUAAAUAGUGUGUUAUGUUACAGGAAGGACAACCGAUUACCAUGUAAUAGUUUGCUAGAGUGCCAUUCUUUGAGAAAAAGCGUGCAACAGAGAAUGCAAGAUCCUCAGCUGAUCUUUGGGAUGGUGGAUCACCAAAUACUCUAUACCUGAAACCAACAAAAUUUUGUUUCUUUUAAACCAAAAGAAAAAAAUCUACUAUUAGAAUCAAAGAAACACAUAUAUGCAAGUAAAUGAUACGAAUUAUUGGAAUUUCGGUAAAUAUUGGAACUUAGGUACCAUAGUCAGAUUGUUCGAAGGCCUAUAUCUGUAAAACAUUAUACUAGACAACUUACAUUUCCUCCAAAUUAAGAAGUUAAAAUCUAAAAAAAACAGGAAACAGCAUAGUUGCAUGUAGUACUAAUGCCCACUUCCAUAAGCAAAAUUUACUUCUCUCUUUUUGAAAAUGAAGGGGUACUAGUUAUGAACCCCAACAUCAAUAGCGAUGACAAAGUAGAUACUUAUAGUUAAUAAGCAUGUGGUUCCUCCGUGCUCUAGCUACAUAUCUUUUUCGUCUUUGGGUGAGAAACAUCAUGUACUUACUGAGCAGUCCAAUUCUCGGUCCACAGGACAGGCUUGGUUGGAUGGUUCGGGCCAGCGAAGUUAUCUCCACAAUUCCUUCCAUUGCAUGCAUUAAUCUGAAAGAUCAAGAAUUGGAGUCCUCCAUCAAGACAUGUCUUCUAGAAAUAUAACAUCAAUCGUGUUCCAACAAUUACAUUCAUGGGCUCAAAACAUCGUUUCAGCAUUCCCUAGCUAGCAAUAUUUUUGUUGGUUAAAAGGAUUCAACAAGAACACCCACCACUGUCUGAGGAGCAUUGUUCUGCUUGCACAUCACCCACGGGACUCCAGUAUUUGUCUGAUUAGCCAUCUCGCCGGCCCAUUCGAUAUAUUUUUUUCCUUCUAGUUUAAAGUAAUUUCCAAUGUUAUUGUAUUCAUUCUCAAUCUGUUGAAGUCAAAUCCACCAUUAAUAGCUGAUUAUAGUCAAGAAAGCAAAAAAGUGACUAAAUGCAAUAACCAAAUUGUCUCAAAAUGAACCUGUGAUAGAAUGAUGGGGCCUCCUUGAGAAGCGAAUAACUUCUCAUCCUUCAUAAGCUGCACUAUCUUUUCCACAAACCUCUGCAUAUGGUACUGCGAUAAAAGAUAAAAACAUUAAGACAAUGAAUCAGAUGAUGUUCUACCAAAUUGAUCUAGUAAAAGAAAAGAAAGGAUCUGAUCACAACUACGAAUAUGGAACUAGAGGGAAUUGGAUAGGAAAAGAGACAUCUAAGUAUAUUAUAUAUAACUAUAAUGAAAUAUACAAUCAAUUGACAUUUAUAGAAUUUGAAGAAGGUCCUCUUAAAAAAAAAAAAAAAGUAACAUAACAGUGCACCUAUAUGUCUUCAACAACACUAUAGUAAGAUAAUUCACGUUUAUUACUAUGCAAGACAAUGUUGAAUCUGAAAUCACCGGUGUUACCUUGAAAGGCUCAUUGUUAGUCCGGAAGGUGAUGUCUUUGACUUCCCUGAGCCAGUAUGGCAAUCCUCUGAAAUCCACCAUGAAACACAUUAACACAACAAAAUACUAAUUUAAUUAAAAAGAAAAAAACCAAAUCUCUAGGAGAUUAAAAGUAUAAACUUAUAGAGAAAGCCAACUGAAACCAACCCAUGAUUCCAUUCAGCCUGGAUGAAGGGGCCGAUCCUGAGGGUGGCAUACAUGCCGUGCUGCUGGAUCAACUUGAUGAAUUUCACCAAGUCAUACCUUCCUUCGAAGUUGUACUGCACUUACAAUUACGACCAGCAUAAUACUUUAUUACAUGUAUUUAAUGUAUAAUUUUUGUGCUUGUUUGGCCUAAGCUUCUAGAACAGCUUAUCUGCUUGAGAAGUAGAAACUGGCCAUAUUUCAACCAAAAGCUUCAGAGCCAAAAUGAGCUUCCCCAAAUGAGAAGCAACAACUUGAAUCUUUUGCUUCUAGGUCCAGUACCAAGUAGGGGGAAAAUUGAUUAAAAGUUUGUUAGGACUUGUUUGAAGAACUCUACUCAAGAAGCACUUCUACAUAAGCUCUGGUGCGAAACAAACAAGCUGUUAGCCAUCUAAACGACCUACCUGGCCCUGAGCAGGCUCAUGGACGUUCCAGAACACGUAGGUCUGAAUCACGUUCAGUCCACCAUGCUUUGACUUCUGGAUGAGGUCCGGCCACAUCUGAUUCCAAACAAACGAAACCACCACUCCCCAUUAGUUAACCAUCUACUUCCCCCGCUCAAACAUUAUGUCAAACACAUCUGAUGCAUGCAAAAAGAAGGUUGAUUGCGCAAUUGGACACAACCUUUCCGUAGUUUCUGUUUUUCACAUAUCCUUAACACCUUAUUUUUAUUUUAGUUAAGUCCCUGCCGUCAAAAAUAACGAAAACCAUCACCGUUGAAUAUAAACACGAAAAGCACAGUCCUCAGCAGCUUAAGCUUUGGAAAAACAACGGUUCUUCCAUUUUUUCUUUUCUCCUUUUACAUGAUAUCAGAACAGGAGGUACGGAGUUUGAACCCUAUCCGGCCUCUAAUUUCAUGCCUAUAAAAGAUUCUCGAACCCAGUCGUUUGAAUAUAAAUAUUAUAAACACCGUUUUGUUCUAUGCCAAAAACUUUUGGAGAAAAGUCGGGCGUAUCGGUAACAAACAACAUUUUCCACACGGCAGUAUCUGUCCAAUUUAACGGACUUUAUGAUGGCAGAAACUUGAUCAAAAUACAAAUUGAAUUAGUUGUGCAACUAAACCCCAAUAAAUAAAUAAAAUAAAACAAAGGUAAAAACUUAUCUGAAUUAUGGACCAUUUUGAAUUGGUUGUCUAAACUUUCAAAAUUUUAACUUUACUAUCCAACCUUUCAAUGUGUCUGACUUGAGUCAGUAAACAGCGUCUUUGACUUCAGUUUAAGAUAAUUAAUUACAUACUUUAAUAAAUUUAUAAUUGCGAGACUUGUAUGAAAUAUACAUGUCGGAUCUUUGGCACUGACCAUUAAUCCCAAAAGCGCAACGAUCCGACAAGUGUUAUAAUACCAGAACCUGAGUCAUUUCAAAUCCAACUAAAAUCUGAAAUUACUAAGUGAUAGGGUAAAUCUAAAAUUUAUUUGUUAUCAUCAAAAUUCAUCGUUGGACAAAUUCGGAUGAACUUUUUUGCAUUUUUCACCUGAAAUAAAUAAAUAGAAAAAAAAACAGAAGGAAUAAAACCUCAGGUGUGCUACGCGGGUAGUGGAUGGAGCCGGAGAAGAGCAGCUCCCUCCUGCCGUUGAUCAUGAGGGAGCGGCCGUCGUACGUGACGCCGACGGCGGCCUUCUUCUUCGCCGCGGAGACGGCGACGAGGAGGAGCACGGCGAGGAGCCGCAGCGACGUCUCGGGCGAUACCUUCGCCAUUGCCGUAGACCUCUAUCCUCUCGUGUUCGGAGGGACGGGGGAGGAAAGUGGGUAACACCUCGAUCCCGUGCUCGUUCGGAAUUAGGGUUUGGGGGUGAUGGGAAUGGGACUGCGCUCGCGCUUCUCCUUUGGGGGGAGAGGGGCGAGGCAGGGGGGAAGGGGCGGUGGCCACUUUGAAGAGGAGGGGUGGGGGUGGAGGACCCGGUCUAAGGGGGAGGGGCGAGUGGAGGAGCGGGGUUUCAGGAGGGGAAUGGCCAUCGCCAUGGGAGGAGAGAGAGAUGGGGAAGAAGCUCCGAAGAAGAAGGGUGACGUGGCCUUUUCGAAUGGCUCCGCGAUUUAUAGGGGAGGGGGAGGUGGAUGCUAAGGGGCUGUUUGGUUGGAUGUAGUUGCAGAAACAGUGUAGUUGAAAAUACAUGCAGUUGUAAAUAUUGUAGUUGUAACUAUACUUAGUUUGUUUGGUUUUACGCAGUUGCAAUUGCUGCAGUUAUAUUUAUUUUGUUUGGUAAUAUGAAGCUGAUAGUUGUAUUUGUGAAUUUUAUCACAUUUUCAGAGAGAGUGGUGAGAUUACCUUCACUAAAUAUAAAAUAAUUGUAUAAGUUUAUUAAUCAUUUAAAUUUACUAUUUAUAAAUAAAUAAGUAGAUAUAUAUAAUAUUUUUCAACUUAUUAAUCGACACAUUUAAAAUUUUUAAUUUAUUUAAUUUUAAUAUGUAAAUCAAACUUUAAAAUUUAAACGAUUCUCUCAUUUUUUUUUAUCAAAUUUAAUAAUUAUAAUUAAUUAAAACUUAUUAAAUUAACAUACACGAUCACAUUCUAUAAAAAUUUUUUUAAAAAACUAUAUUUAUAUUUUAAAUAAAAUAAAUUUAAAAAAUUUAAUUUUUUGCACAAAGCUUGUAUUGUCUAAAAAAUUUUAUUAGUAUGAAUUUAUUUGCAAGUAUUUUUAUUUACCUAUAUACAUAUAUUAUUUAUUUAUUUAGCUAUUUAUUUAUUUAUUUAUUAUUGUUAAUUUGUGGAUGAUUCUAUCUCUCACCAACUGCUGCAGUUGGAACUACGGCCAAUUUGGAUGUAGUUCCAACUGCAGCAUUUGGACCUUCUUGUGUAGUUAGAAUUGCAGCAGUUGAAUUCAACUAUACUAAACCAAACAAAGGAAUUAAGGCGGCUGCACGCAUUUGCAAAUGCGUGCAACCAAACAGCCCCUAAGUUAGUAAACAAGGGAGGAGAGUGAGAUGUGAAGCCCAUUGGGCCUAAAAGGCCUGUUUGUUUGUUUGUUUGUCGGGACACUGAUUUUUAGGUUGAAAAUAAUCUUCACUUUACACUGAAGUUUAGGAUCUGUUUGGUUCCACAUAAAGUCGUGAAAAAUAAUUCUUCGUAGAAAUUUUUUUUUAUAUUUUGUAAUAUUUGGUUUGUAUAAAAAAGAAAUGGUUUAUCAUCAAUAUUUGUUUGGCCGAAAGAAAAAUAAGUUUACAUUUGUUUCGUUUGGUGGAGAAAAUAGAAUAGAAAAAUUUUUAUUCAGCUUGAGUUUUCUUUGAGAGAAAGGUAGCAUGCUACUCAUUUCGUUUAUUUUAUUUAAAAAUAAACUUAGUUGGAAAUGUGAAUCAACUAGGAUUUGAACUUGGGUCCCGGGUACCAACCACCAAGCCCUUUUGCCACUUGCGUUAGGGAUGGUCGGUUUAUUCAACUUGAGUUUUUAUUCUUCGUAAAAAUAAUGGAAAACGAAAACUUCAAUUUUUCUCCAAAUCUAUAAAAAAAAUUUUACGAAAAAAAUAUUUUUGUGUCGAACCAAAAAAAUAGAAAAGUAUUUUUCAUACCGAAAAUAAUUUUGUGGUUCGUUUUAUGCCAAACAAAGCGCCCCCUUUGAUAAUUUUUUUUUUUUCCUGUAGUCAUUUGCUUGAUAAGAAGUCAAUGGCUUUAAAAGUAUAGUUAAAUUAAUUUUUUAUUUGUUUUAUUAAAAAUUUUUACACUAGCACAUAACCAGAGGGGUGGGUGGGGUUAUAGUGGUUAAAUUUCUUACUAUUUUUUCUAUAUUUUUUUCCCCAGUAAUUAACAUCAACACCAUGCAGCCUGCAGGCCAAACACUACAGCAAUGUUUUGGAAAAAUGAGUUCCUGAUAAAUUUAAUUUACAGUAAACUCUUGGCUUAAGGGACCAGUAUUUUUCCAUAUGGCAGAAGACUAGAUUAAGUCUAGUCCCGUUCGACAUGGCGGGAGGUCGAGUUGGUUGAGUUAUAUUUGUAGACCUGCGAUUCCGCGGACUGAGUGAUAAUCAAAACCCAUGAAUAUUACGUUUGCAGCAUUAAAUAAAUUUGUUGUAUUUUUUUUUAAAAUUGAUCGAGAUUUUUGAAUAAAUGGUUAGCAUUAAUGAUCCUACACAAAACUUUUUAAUUGAUCGGGUUUUUUGAAUAAAUAUUUAGCGCUAAUGAUCCUACACAAACCACGUAUACAAAGUGAAGAUUUACAAUUGAAAACAAUUUUGGCCUCAUUCACUUUCAGUGAAACAAACAUGUCUUUUGGAGAAAACCUUUAUUAUGAUGAUUCUUAUAUAAGUUGGAAAUAAUCUUCUUUACCGCAGUUAUUUUAUUUGCCAAACUUCGAUAACUCAUACCGAAACAAAUUAAAGUUUGAUGACUUAAAUGAAGAGUUGCUUAGGUUUAUUUAGAUGUAUGAACAUUUUGUUUAGUAAUAUUUGGGAGAUAAGAAGUGCGACUAAAUAUCUAGUGCACAAGAAAUGCCAUAUGACAUUCGACCUUUUAAGUUAUUUUUUCGAAAUAAAAUAAAUUACCACUAAAUGAAUUAUUAUACUACUAAAUGGUGAAAGUCAAGCCUUUCAAAAAAUUCAAAAUAAAAAAUCAAAUUCUCUCAUUUAAAGUUUAGCAUCCAACACUUUUGCUUUUGUCAAUCUCAUUAAGCCCUAAAUUCCUUAGUUAUAAAACAAUUAGUAAAUAGGUUUUAGGAAAGCUUCAAAGAGAAAUUGUGACAUAUUGUAAAUUUACUUAAUGUCACAUGGCUACGAACGCCCUUAUGAUAAUAUAAAAAUCUAUAUCUAUUUAUAUCUNGGUUUUACAAGCUCUUAGAAACUUUCUAAUCAAUUACAACUUGAAAAUAUGAUUCUAAGAUCUAUAAAUAAGUAUGAAUCACCAUAAACAAGAUUUAAAACUUACCUACGCAUCGUGAUUCAAGUUUUGCGUGUUUUGCGUCCUUUCCGAUUCUUCGAAGUCUUGGAAUUCUUCGAUCUUCAAUCCUCCGCUCCGGACUUCUUCAAGACUCCGACUCGACCCACGAAACUUGCCAACACAUAGGACCUAACAUUUCAAUGUUUAAAACAUUAGCUAUAACAAAAUGACUAAACAUUUUGGAAAAAAAAGCAGAAAACAGAAAGAAUUACAUUGUUCAACAUCAAAAUAAAAAAUGUAACUCAUAAUUACAUUUUCUCACACAAUAUUUCAACAACACAUAAGCAGGUAGUGAUCACUAAAAUUAACACCCGACUAAAAUUUGAUAAAAAAAAUACAAACCUUGAAGAAGAUGCAGAAGAGAAAGUAGCUUCAAUCUACAAUUUGACUUUGAAAAGAGUGAGGGCCUGUGGAAAACAGAGAAUAAGAGGUUAAUUACAAUAUAUAUCUUGUAACAUAGCGAUUUCCCGUAAGUCGUGUCGAGUUCCGUCGAAAUGUGCGGAACGCGGAAACGAAUGAGUUACCAUAGGCUAAAGUGCAUUGGAGCCUAUAUAUAGGGUAUAAAGGGACCCAAGAGAGUGAAACUGCAAUUCUGGUGAAAUUCCAGAAUUUUUACUCUCGGGGACCGGUCCCUUGGAUGAGAGACCGGUUCCCGAACGUUGAUCAGCCGAGCAGAGUGAAAAAUCGGCUAAGUCCUGGAAAUUGAGCUCUUGGGAACCGGUUCUUCGGCGGGAGACCGGUCCCGGGAGACCGGUUGCGUCGAGGGGAGACCGGUCCCCUGUUGCGCAGAGUGCAGGAUAGCUCUCGGGAACUGGUCCCUGAAGGGAAAGACCGGUCCCCGAGCCCGAAGUUGCCCAGUGAGGGCUGGUUGCAAAGGUGAAAAGUUGAGGGGUUUAAAUACAAAUAUGACAUGUGAAGGGUUAUAUGGGCUAGGGCAAGUGUGAGAGCUCAUUUGCUCUCACUCCUACACCAAAACCUUUCCCCCCUCUCUCUAAAAUCCUUCUCUUCUCUCUCCCUCUCUCUAGGGCUUGGAUCAAGAGGGGAUUUGGAGGAGCAAGCUUGGAGAAGAAGCUCUCCAAGGUGAAGAGCAAGCUAGGCAAGGCUUUUGAAGGAAAGCUUUGAACUCCAAAUGUAACAUAUGGAAACUUGGAGUCGCGAUGUCAACUUUGACCUAGAGGGUCAAAGUGAGGAUUGAGCUUGUUGGACAUCAUCCUCGAGUGAUUUGUGAUGCGUUGGAAUGAAUUUCGGAGAUAAAUAAGUGUUUCGGCGCAAAUUGAGCGCGAAACAAAAUAUAAAGAGAAUUUCGGAUUUCCGACGCUAACUUUGAUUAAAAGAAAUGAAAGUAAGGCGUAAAGAUAAAUUGUGCCAUCUCCGAAUCAGUUGGGAAGUCUUGGAAAAGCCAAGGGUGUGUUAUCAAAGGGCUUUGAAGAGCUCAGGGCGAAGUGGUAGUGCAAAAAGGUCAUGUAAUGGAUUUGGAGCCGAUUCUAUUUCUAAUUCGGCUCAAAUAAUGUCGAAAUGAAAAGAAAUUGCUUCCAAAUUAAAUUGGUAGCUUGGGAAGGUCCCUUGGUGUAUUUUAGAAGUGUUUGGGUGAAAUCGGAGCGAAAACGAAAAAUUUAGAAUUUUCUGUAAGGAACGGGACUAAGAAAAUUAGCAGAAAAUGUACAGUGUCAGAAAAUUACGAAAAUUGGCAGAGAUGUCAGGAACAUUAUUAUAAGGCUAGUUUUGAAGUUUCAGAUUUUUCUGACACCUGUAGAGAGAGAAAUAGCAUCCGAAAGUUAUCUGAUGAAGAUUACAGUUCGGGACAGUUCGCAGUAACCAAACGGGGUCGAAACUGAAAUGUUAAAAUUUCAGUGGACUUGUUAAGUAAAAACGAACAUUCCUGCCAAAUUUGAGCUCAAUCGGACUUUCGGAAGAGCCUACGAAAGGUAUUUAAUCCGUGCGACUAAACGGAGUAUAAGUCGAGGGGCAUUUUGGUAAUUAGCACAUGACUUAGUGGAAUUCCACUAACCUGCAGCCAGGGCCAUCCUUAUCCCCUGCCACCUCUUCUUGCAGCAUACGUAGAGAGAGAGAGAGAGAGAAGGAGAAAGAGAAGAAGAAGAAGAAGAAAAGAGGAUAGAAGCCCUAAAGUGAAAUUGACCGCGUGUAAACCUAAUUGGGGAUAAAAGAAACGCGCUGGCGAAGUCGGUUCGGCAAUCCGACGCUCCUACGCGAAGAUAUCGCCAAAAGAAGAUUUUCGGCGUCGAAAGUCGCGAGCGCGGGUCGCGAUUCUCGGGAAAGCGCUAGAAGCGCAUUUCUCCCAUUCCGGCAUCAAAGAAAGGUGGGUGGUGCUAUCCGAAGUCUUUGAAUCACCUUUUAUGUCUAUGAAUAUUCGUUGAGUAUAUUUACUUUGUAGUCAUGCAUUAUAGGGUAGUGGCAUUGUGAAAGUGAUAUUUGAAUAUGUGAACUUAGAAUGUGGACAUAGAACCCUAUGAAUGCAUGGACCAAGACAAUAGUAAACUUGGUGACAUCAUGACUAGAGAUUUGGUUAGCAUCAAGAAAUGUAAUUAUGAAACUAGUAUAAAGAACUAGUUAGAGUUAAAUUGUGACAUUAUUGUCAGUUGAAUCCUCUAAAGGGGGAUCAGAUCUUACUCACAUAGUCUGUUUUCUUAGCUUGGUGGUGGUCGCUCCCCCCAGGCAGUGAGCUCCGGAGUAGUCACUUGUUGGGCUAACGUACUUGCCCCAGGACUAACGUACUUGUCCGACAGACGGUCCCAUCGGGAGGCAGCUUAGGGCCCGUGAGGGAUUUCGUUGGUGAGUUAUUGUUAACCAAAGGGUUAACCACUGAAUUGGGUCAAUUUAUGGGCUAACGUACUUGCCCCAGGACUAACGUACUUGUCCAGCUGUUAACCAGAGGGUUAACCAAAAGAUUGGGUAAAGUUAAUGAAAAGCAUGCAUGCAUAUUUACAGUUUUCAUAUCUGUUACUCCUUUCAGCUUUGUGCAGGCAUUGUAGUAGUUACAUGUUAUAGUUGGUUACUAUCUGUUUACUUUUCUUGCCUACAUAUGCCUGAGUAGACCUAGUGGGUGAGUCGGCGAGGUCGGCGGCCGAACCCACUGGGAACUUUCUUGUAGUUCUCACACCACUAACCAUACAGGUUCCAGUGCGAGUAUUGUGGCCGAGGAUCGAGGCAAGAGCCAGCAGCCUAGCUAGUGGACACCCGAGUACUAGUGGUAUACCAUUUGGGUUCAUGUAUUAUCUAUUUCGAUGUACAGAGACAUGUAAAUGAUUGUAUAUAAAGCAUGUAGUAACUAAAUGUUUCAGUUAUGUAAAGUUUUAAAUUACAGUGGAUUUCAUGUUUAGCUAGCUUUACUAUCACUUGUGUUUGUUGCUUGCCAUCGUGCAAGCCAUGUAUAUUGAAAUGUGAUCCUGGGAAUUGUUUAAUUUCUUUAUACAUGUAUCCGUUGUUGUUGAGCCUUGGGCGAACAGUGGAGGUGCUGUUCGUUCGGCGUCUGUGCGCGGGCCCAGAUCGACCAAAUUGGCGACCGCGGGACGUGACAAAUAUUGAUCACUUAGAAGCACUAAUUAAUUUAAAAUUUUGAAGUAAAAGUAUUAUAAAUUAACUCAAAUCUAAUAUAUAAAAAUGUUAGAUAGUAAAAAUAAAAUUUUGAAAGAUUGGAUAACUGAUUCACAAUAGUUUGUAGUUUAGAAAGUUCUGUACAUUUUUGCCUUGAUUUUAUAUCAAAUUUAAAUAUCAUAUUUAUAGUCUGAUGAGCAAUCAAUUUCAUAUUUAAAAUAUUUUAAAAUAUUGAAAGUAGGAUUAAUCAACUUUUAAUUUUUAAUAAUUAGACAUUCUAAAAUUUAUUAAAUAAUUUAAUAUUUUUUUUUCUUAAAUGAAAUUAGACAUGUGAAGCUUUAGUUCUCAAAUUUUAAUGAGUUGCUAUUUCAAACUCGAACUACGAAAUAUAUGACAUUUUAAUUCUCAACUUUUACUACUACUAUAAAUAUAAUUUAUUAUUAUUAUAAUUUUUUCCUUAUUUUUUAUUAUUUUUAUAUUUUUAUUCUUAUACCUUUAUGGUAGUAGUUACUGUUUUUUUUUUUUUAACUUUAUUUAUUUCCACGGAAUCGAUUCGCCAUAACGCGCGAGUAUCUUCACUGGCACAUGAAGUGACAGUUAAGAAUAUAAAUUUACUAGUGAAUACAUAAUAAAAUUCGGAACUGUAUAUAAUGUGAAAGAGAUUUCUGUCUUUCGACUUAAUCCAAGCCUUAUAAUAUGAUAUUGGGUCUCUCCACUUAUUAAGCUUAAUUAAGCUUGUGGAUUCUGAAAUCCUCGGAUUUCUAAAAUGAUCUCUAUACUAUGCCUAGUUUUUUUUUUUUUUUUAGAGAGAUAGAUAGAUAGAACUUACGACAUCGAGUACCAACCACCAAGUCUUUUGUCUUGCUCUAAGGACGGUCGGUCGGUUAUAUACUAUGCCCAGUUUUAAUGAAUAUAAAAUAAUAAUAUAUAGUCAUAUUUCGGCACUAAAUUCUUUGAAGAUUUUCUUUUUUUUAAUUUCUUUUCUAAGUAAAAAAUCAAAACAAAAAUCACAUGAAAAAUAAACUAUACUUUAGAUUUUAGAGAUAUCCAAGUUAAAAAUGAACUAUAUGUGCUGUCAAAUUUUUUAAAGUUUUUUCACAAUUUUGAACUGGCAAAUUAUCAAAAAAAUAUAUAUAUGUAUGCACCUUCACUUUAUGCUAGUGCCUCCGGCCCCAAGUUAAUUUAUAGAUACUUGGGAAGAAGGGUUCUAGAACAAUAAGUUCUGCGAACGAAAGCAACAAAAAGAAACUAAAAUUUUUGUUGAGAGAAAGGUAACAAGUACCUGCGUGCUUCAUUCAUAAAGCUCAAUAAAUUUUGUUAUAUAUAUAAAAAUGACACAGCUGUGUGUGUGAGAGAGAGAGAGAGAGAGAGAGGAUCUCUCCGCAUAUUCUAAAAAAUUACAUUAUUUCUUUCUAACCAUUAGGUGGCAACCAUGAUAGAUGAUAUAUGUUCUAACCAUUAGGUGGCCACCAUGACAGAUGAUAUAUGAUGAAUAUGUGAAUGAAAAUAAAAGGGUUCUUCGAUUGAGAGUGCGUCAGCGUUAAUUCUACCCCUAUAUGUAUUUGGUUCUUUUUUUAAGUCUUUGUUGAGUGCCGAUCGUCCCGACCCUUGACCUGGUCAAAAAUCCUCCUCGGGGAGCGCGUCGGGGUGAGAAACGGCUGCGGAUAGUGACCCUCGAAGUUUGCGCUCUUCGACUGGAUCAAGCGAUUUGGCUGAUGAGGGAUCAAAUCAGCCAGGUUCGAAAACCUUCACUAUAAAAUUGGUUCGGUUGGAAGAGCCGAAUGUACGAACUGUGCAGGGAUCAAUGUCGGCAGAAAUGCCGAAUGGAAGAAGUACAUAGUAAUUGGUCGGCUGAAAGAGCUGAAUGGAAGAAGUACACAAUGACUGGUCGGCUGAAAGAGCCGAAUGGAAGAAGUACACAAUGACUGGUCAGUUGAAAGAGCCGAAUGCCUUUAUAUAAUAAUAAAAAAGAGUGUGCCCGAAGGGCAUACAGACUCAGAAAUAUAGUUUACAACAGAGUGAUGUCUGUGGGGCAGACAGACUCUGCAAAUGUAGUCUACAACGGAGUGAUGCCCGUGGAGCAGACAGACUCCAGGGUUCUACUUAGCGAACUACUCCUAGGAAAGCAGUAAAUGGGAAAAAGAAAAAGAUUACAUUUAGACUACUCCUAGAAAAACGAUAAAAAUGUAGAGGAAAUAAGGGUGGUCUUCUCGUUUAGGAUGGAGAAAGACCUCUAUUACAGGCUUUGAUGUUAUUAUUUAUAGUGAUGUCUUCUCAGCCCACAUUAUUGGUCGGUUGAAAGUAGUGGGGGAGUGGUUGUAACUAUGAUCGUGAAAGUUACGCCCACUCCUCAUGGAAGUUAUGCUCCAUCGUGGAAGUUAUGCCCACUUCUCAACCGUUCCCGCCUAAAACCUUCAGGCGUCUUAUUGCCGACUCCUGGUGUACCAUGUGUCUUUAUUGUCUCACACGUGGAUUAGGUCGACAUGUUAAUUUCAAUUUUUUGCAUCAACAGUCUCAUAUAAAGAAAGUCUUCUAUAUAUAUAAAGAGAGGUUUAAUAGUGAGAGAAAGAGAGAGUCUUUGUUACUUACCAGGGUUAGGGCACCAUUCUCAUGGCCUCACUACAAAAAAAAUUAUGAUUUAGGGGGCGUUUGGUUUGCUGUAAAACCACACUGAAAAAAAAAUUUUCAGUGGAAAAGUAAAUUUUCAAUGUUUGGUUGAAUGUAAAAUUUUUUUUUUGGGAAAAUUUUUUUUACGAAUCGGACGGAAAGCGGCCUUGUUUUGAGCGGAAAACGAAAAGUCGCGGCGUUGGAUUGCCGGGGCGGGGUGCAGCAAGGGCGCGGUCCACGAGAGACACCCCAUCUCGUGGACCACGAGAGAGAGAGGUCCAAGGUGGACCUCUCUCUCUCCCCGAUCUUAUAUAUAUAUAUAUUAUUAUAUAUAUAUAUAUAUAUAUAUAUCUACUAUAUAUUAUUAAUACUAUAUUUAUAUUAUAUGGUAUUUUAUUUUUAAUAUAAAUAUAUUAUUAUAUAAUAUUUUAUUUAUAAAUAUUAUUUAUAACUAUUUAAUAAUUUAUUUUAUAGUAUUAUAUAUUAUAUUGCAUAUUUAAUUAUUGCGUAAUAUAUUUUAAAUAUAUUUUAUUUAUAAAUAUAAAUUAUAAUACUAAUAGAUAUGUAAUAUGAUAAUAAUUAUAUAUUAAUAAUAUAAAAUAUAUAAAAUAAAAAAAUAUAAUAAUUUUUAUUUAUACUUUUUUUUCCUUUCAACCAAACAACCAUCGUGGAAAAUUAUUUUUCUUUUCCUACAAACCAAACACCAAGCGACGUAAAACUUUUUUCCACCGAAAAUUUUUUUUCCACCGAAAAUUUUUUUUCCGCAGUUUUACGUGGAACCAAACACACCCUUAGCGUCAUUCAGUUAUUGUUGCCUAAAGUCAAAAAAUUGCUGCAAAAAUUAUUAGCGGCAUUAAGUUUUUAAUGCCGCUUUUACUCGUGUUGGUAAAUCGUCUACUGAUAUUUAAAUAGAUUGUCGUUAAUGUUAAGUAAUUAAUAACAUUAAAUAAAUACCGUUAUAGAGAUAACUAUUACCGAUAUUAUUUAAAUGCUUGUAUUAUUUAAUAAUCUCGAGCACUAAUUAUUAUUUAAUCUGCAAUAUUAUAUAAAUGUAAGUAUUCUAUUUUUGUUUCUAGUAUUAAUAUAUGCCGGUAAUUCUAUAUUAUUUCUGGGCGCUUUUCACUUCCGACGUUUCUCAUUUUUUCUGUGGCGGGAAAGAAAAAUGAAGGUCGUCACCAAAUUCCACUCCAGUUGACUAGGUGGUCACUCAGGAGCCGCAGUAACAACAAAGAGGUUAAAAAGUUAUUUUUACUGGAAAGGGAUAAAAAAAGAUGUUAGUAUAUUUGUAAGGGAAUGCGUAGUUUGUCAACAAAAUAAGUACGAAACAUCAGCCCCAGCAGGCUUACUGCAGCCUCUACCAAUACCUGAGGGAAUUUGGACUGAAGUCUCUAUGGAUUUUAUCGAAGGGUUGCCAUUGUCGCAUGGAAAGGAUGUCAUCAUGGUGGUAGUGGACCGAUUGAGUAAGUACGCUCAUUUUAUGGCACUCUCUCACCCUUAUACUGCUCCUUCAGUGGCUCAAGUGUUUUUAGACAACAUAUACAAAUUGCAUGGCUUGCCGAAAAGCAUCAUAAGCGAUCGGGAUGCUAUAUUUGUUAGUCACUUUUGGCAAGGAUUAUUCAAAGGGCUUCAUGUAAAAAUUAACCUUUCUACAGCAUAUCAUCCGCAAACCGACGGCCAAACCGAGGUGGUUAAUAGAUGUAUUGAGAAUUAUCUAUGAUGUAUGACAGGGGACAAACCUAAGGAGUGGUCCAAGUGGUUACCCCUAGCUGAAUGGUGGUAUAAUACAUCUUUUCACUCUUCAACCAAGACAACGCCAUAUGAGGUAGUGUAUGGGCAGGUACCACCAUUGCAUGUUCCUUAUUUAGCCGGCGAGUCAUCAAUAGACAUGGUGGAUCGAACACUGACUGCUAGAGAGACUGCAUUGCGACUGAUCAAAGAAAAUUUAGCUAAGGCUCAAAAUAGAAUGCGACAAAUGGCAAAUAAAGGAAGGUCGGAGCGGAAGCUGCAAGUAGGGGAUUGGGUCUAUGUUAAAUUACAGCCGUAUAAGCAACAAUCACUUCGGAAGCACACCUCUCAAAAGCUAUCUCCAAGGUACUUUGGUCCGUUUGAAGUAACGGCCGUAGUGGGACCUGUCGCGUAUAAGCUUCGGCUACCCGACUCUGCCAAAAUCCACAACACCUUCCACGUAUCCCAACUUAAGAAAAAGAUAGGAUCGUCCCCAGCCUCGCCUCAUAUUCCAACAUUUGUUAAUUCUAGUGGGCAAAUACUGGCCAAACCAAUGACCAUAUUGGAUAGGCGUCUUGUUAAGCAUCGUGGGAGAGCUGCUACACAAGUUUUAAUUCAAUGGUCGAAUCAACCAAGGGAACAUGCCACCUGGGAGUAUCUCUUUGAUAUCCAGCACCAAUAUCCUCAAUUUGAUCCUUGGGGACAAGGAUCCCUUGAAGAGGGGGGCACUGAUACACUUCACCAAAGUAGGUGCCAGAGUUAAACUGUCAAAUGGCCUAGUGGACUUGACUAAUCAGGGUAAUUGGGCCGUUGAAUAAAAUCACACUUGAAGUCGUUGGGUUCAGAUGAAGAAGGACCAUCUCAACUGCUCAUUACUAUAACUGCUUAACUGCCAAAUGUUCACAUUGUUAUUAUUUUACAUACGUGCCUUGCCCCAGCUAUAAAAGGGGAGGAGAUGUAAUAACUGAUUACUGAUGAAUAUAGACAAAUUGAUUCUCUUCUCUUUCUCUCUCUCUCUUCCUUCUUGUUCUCUGUUCUAUGUUUCUGUCAUUACCAGAGCUCAAGAUCCUAAUUGGAGUACUUUUGUGAGGAUCCUAAUCAUGAGAGUAUCAACUGGUAUCAGAAUGAAGGGUAGCCAUGCCCUGUCCUUAGCCUGUGGAUAUGGAUGUGGAUAUCCGGACUUUAGUAUUAUUAUUUUUAUAUAUUCUUUAUAUUUUUUGAUUCGUCUAGCGCAAUUUUUGCUUACAGUGGAGUGACUAUAAUAAAUUCUCAAAUAUCACACAACAUUGAGCAAUGGAUCGAAAAAUGAAAUGAAAAAAAUCUCCAUAUACCCAGAAAAAUCGAAAAAUAAAAUGAAAAAAACGAUGACGGGUCAUCAAUCCACUCUCCAGCCUAAAUCGAUUCAGUUUGCUAAGAGGGGAAAACGGAAAAAAAAAAACUAUACUAAUGUUUCCAUGUAAAUUUGGAACAUUUUACCGCAGCCACAAUUACCGGUCAGGUGGACUUCGUAGGAAUUAAGACCGCGAUUUUCUCGAAUUUCUCACGGCAAUGAUUGCAUGACACAUUGAUCUUAAUCCGAAGGGACUGUAUAAAAAAAAUAAAAUAAAAAAUAAAAAAGUAAUAAAUAAAAUUAAUUAAAAACUAAAAAAUGAAAACAAAUUAAAGAAAUAAAAAAUUAUCGAAUUUUCGAUCGACGUCACGUUGUCGGCAAUCGAAAAUAAACGCUACUGCAUGGGCCGUGCUGGCGGAGAGGCAGAGAUUUUUAGGGCUAUGGUUGAAGGCGACGGCAGUGGCAGGAGCGGGGGCGGGGCGCAUGAGCGCGGUGAGCUCUACUGGGCCGCUAGGGGGUGUGAUAUCAGUCUUGAUGUGGGAAACGAGAACCCAUACCGCAAAAACCCCAGUCGCCAAAACCCGCAAACACGUCAACAAUAUACGACAACCGCCGAAACCACGGAGCGAGCACAGCGCUGGCGGCCCGCUCUUUCGGCCUCGUAUUGUUUAACAAGCCGAAAACAAGCGCUGGCUGUUAAAGUAUCGAGCCGAAAAUUCAGCUUGUGUUCGGCCUCGUUAAUAACGAAGCGACACAGCGGCUAACCCGAGCUCGGCCAACCAACCAAACAAUAAUAAAAGAUUAGAUUGAAUAUAUAUAAAAAAUAAAUUUAUAAAAUUUUAUCCAUUAGACUUUGAUGUAAUAGUUGAAACUUUAUAUAUAAAUAAGUCUUUUUAUGAUUGGGCUCGCUUUAUAUUUUUUUUUGCUAAAAAUUAAAUAAUAAAAUAUAUAUUUAUAUAUAUAAUUAUUUAUUUAUAUAUAAAUAAAAUUAAAUAAAUUAUAUAAAUAUAAAAUUAUGUAUUCGAGCUGUUAUCGGCGAACAUGAGUGAGCUGACCGAGCGUCGUGUCGGCUUGGCUGUUUAUUAAACAAGCCGAUAAAUUUAGCUCGUGUUCGGCUUUGUUUACUAAAAAACGAUUCGAUUUCGAGCUCAUUUCGAGCCGAACACGAGUGGUCGCGUGAACAGUGAGCUGGAUUGCCACCCCUACCGCCCGCAGCGCCCAGAACCCUGUGGCAGCCAGAACGGCGCAGCUUCCGGAUGCAGAGAGCGCAUGCGCUUUCGAUUUCCAGCGUUUCUCAUUUUUUCUGUGGCACGGCGUUUCUCAUUUUUUCUGUGGCCAAAAAGGAAAAUGAAGGUAAUGGUAAGAUAAAAUGACAGGGUUCCCUAACCCGAAUUCCUAUGUCGCACGUGCGGGCCACAUGACCGGACGGGCCGCCCCACGGCCCCUCCCGCCUAUAUUCGUUUUUUUAGAUUUUUUUGUAUAAUUAUUUUUUUAAAAUAUAAAUUAAUCAAAAUAUUAGAUUAAAUAAAUAUAAUUUAUUAAUUUUUUAAAAUAUUAUAGUAUUUUAAAAUAUUUAAAUAAAAAGUUUAAAGGAUCGCUCAGCCCGGAUUGAAGCUAUGUCCGCAGACUCUGUCCCUAACCUGUGGAUAUGUAGCUACAAAAAAUUAUGAUUUAGCGUUAUUUAGUUUUACGUCUAAAGUCGGAAAAUUGCUCGCAAAAAACUAUUAGCGGCAUUAAGCUUUUAAUGCCGCUUUUACUCCGUGUUGUUAAAUUUCUACCGAUAUUUAAAUAGAUUGUCGUUAAUGUUAAGUAAUUAAUAAACAUUAAAUAAAUACGUUUAUGAGAUAAACUAUUACCGACAUUAUAUUAAAUGCUUGUAUUAUUUAAUAAUCUCCAGCACAUGCCGCGUAAUUAUUAUUUAAUUUGCAAUAUUUAUAAGGGGCCGUUUGGUUGGAUGUAGUUGCAGAAACAGUGUAGUUGGAAAUACAUGCAGUUGCAAAUGCUGCAGUUAUAACUACACCUAGUCUGUUUGGUUUUACGCAGUUGCAACUGCUGCAGUUACAUUUCUUCUGUUUGGUAAUAUGAAGCUGAUAGUUGUAUUUAUGAAUUUUGUCACCUCUUCAGAUAGAGUGGUGAGGUUACCUUCACUAAACAUAAAAUAAUUGUAUAAAUUUAUUAAUUAUUUAAAUUUACUAUUUAUAAAUAAAUAAGUAGAUAUAUAUAAUAUUUUUAUAUUUUUCGAUAAUUCUUCAACUUAUUAAUCGACACAUUUAAAAUUUUAAUUUAUUUAAUUUUAAUAUGUAAAUCAAACUUUAAAUAUUUAAGCGAUUCUCUCAUUUUUUUUUCAAUUUUAAUAAUUAUAAUUAAUUAAAACUUAUUAAAUUAACAUACACGAUCACAUUCUAUAAAAAUUUAGAAAAAAAAAACUAUAUUUAUAUUUUAAAUAAAUAAAUUUAAAAAAAUUAAUUUUUUGCACAAAGCUUGUAUUGUCUAAAAAAUUUUAUUAGUAUGAGUUUAUUUAUAAGUAUUUUUAUUUACCUAUAUACAUAUAUUAUUUAUUUAUUUAGCUAUUUAUUUAUUAUUAUUAUUAUUAAUUUGUGGGUGAUCCUAUCCCUCACCAACUGCUGCAGUUGGAACUACGAUCAAUUUGGAUGUAGUUCCAACUGCAGCAUUUGGGCCUUCUUGUGCAGUUGGAACUGCAGCAGUUGAACUCAACUACACUAAACCAAACAAAGGAAUUGUGGCUGCACGCAUUUGCAACUGCACUGCAGUUGCAAAUGCGUACAACCAAACAGCCCCUAAAUGUAAGUAUACUAUUCUUGUUUUUAGUAUUAAUAAAUGCCGGUAAUUCUAUAUUAUUUUGCAAAUAUAAAUAUUAUUUAAAUUAUGCUUUUUGAACAAAUAAAAAUAAUAUAAAUAAUAAUUUGUACUAUCAUAUUUUUACCAUAAUACUUAAAAAUAAUGCAUUUUAUUAAAUAAUACGUGAUUUCUGUAUUUUCAUGUAAUAAGUAAUAUAUAUCAUACAUAAUAAAUUAACACAAAUUAAAUAAUAAGCUAAUUCUCAAUUACACAAACAAAUGAGUUAAAAUCUUGUAUUACAUUCAAUAUUCAAAAAAUAACAUAAGACCACCAAAUUUUUCUAAACACAAAAAUAGUAAUGCAUCCACAAAUAACGCAUCCAAAUACAUAAUAGUCACAUAAUAUAAAGUAGUUUGUGAAUAUAACAAAAUAGCAUAAGAUGAUUUAUAUUUUCUUGAAUUUCAAAUGUAUCCUUACUUGCACAGAACUUGUGGAAAAGUAACAUGUUAAGAGUUAGUUUUAACAAGUCAAUAGUAUACAUUAGAUGAUAAAAUCAAAUUAAAAGAUAAAAAAAUAAGUCUUAUACAAAUGUAAAUGGUCAAACCACAAUUACUGCCACAACAUAAAUAAUUGUUUGAAAACUUCCAUAUGAUCUUAAUAACGGCUUGUUAAGCUCUAUUGAAACAUUUAUUUGAACUUCCCAGCAUUACGAUCCUAACGCCAUCUAUUUUAGUAGUUGGAUUUGUGUUCAACAAAGAACCUUAUGCAACAUACUUGUGAGGCUUUUUCAAACUCUUUAGAUAUACUUCAACUCUUUUUCAAACUCUUUAAGUAUACUUCAACUUUACCCUAAUAUUCAGUAAAGAUAAAAAAAUAUAGUUAAUUUUUUUAAAAAGUUAUGACUAAUUUGCAUUAGUGAGUAAAUAUCAUAUGAUCAUAAUAAUAUACGUAAUUAAUGGCAUAAAAAGUAUAUUGAAAUAAUAUUGAAAUAUAAUUAAAAAAUAAAAAUUGAGAUUUGUAUGCAUAAAAAAUAAAUAACAAGAAGAAUCAGAAUAAAUAAUAGAGAAUAAGUAAUAGAAGAUAACCUCAUUAUCUAACAUAGUAUGGACAUCCUUUCCAACAACUUUUACUCAAUAACCCUGCAUUCAAAUAUAAUGUAUGUUGGAUAUCUAUAUUGAUCUUAACUGCAUAUAACAUUUUAUACAAGAACAUUAAGAUAAAUUAAUUAGAAAAAAAUUAUCUCAUUUAGUGAUACCUCAAAACUAGAUCCAGAACGUAUCUCAAAGCUAGAUUCAGAAGAUUGUAUUUCAUUACUUGGUGAUUUUUUAGAGGGAAUGUUAUUAUUGCCAUUAUACAAAGAAAAAAAGAAUUUGAUUNACCUUCACUAAACAUAAAAUAAUUGUAUAAAUUUAUUAAUUAUUUAAAUUUACUAUUUAUAAAUAAAGAACGGUGCAGCUUCUGGAUGCAGAGAGCGCGUGCGCUUUCGAUUUCCAGCGUUUCUCAUUUUUUCUGUGGCGCGGCGUUUCUCAUUUUUUCUGUGGCACGUGCGGGGCCACAUGACCGGACGUAGCCCGCCCCACGGCCCCCUCCCGCUUAUUUUUUUUUUUUAGAUUUUUUUUGUUAUAAUUAUUUUUUUUAAAUAUAAAUUAAUCAAAAUAUUAGAUUUAAAUAAAUAUAAUUUAUUAAUUUUUUUUAAAAUUAUAUAUUUUAAAAUAUUUUAAAUAAAAAGUUUAAAGGAUUUGCUCAGCCCGGAUUAAAGCUAUGUAGGGCAGACUCUGUCCCUAACCUGUGGAUAUGUACUACAAAAAAAUUAUGAUUUAGCGUCAUUUAGUUAUUACCGUCUAAAAUCAAAAAUUUGCUGCAAAAAACUAUUAGCGGCAUUAAGCUUUUAAUGCUGCUUUUACUCGUGUUGUUAAAUCUUCUACCGAUAUUUAAAUAGAUUGUCGUUAAUGUUAAGUAAUUAAUAACAUUAAAUAAAUAACGUUAUAGAGAUAACUAUUACCGACAUUAUUUAAAUGCUUGUAUUAUUUAAUAAUCUCCGGCACAUGCCGGUAAUUAUUAUUUAAUUUGCAAUAUUAUAUAAAUGUAAGCAUACUAUUUUUGUUUCUAGUAUUAUAUUAAUAAAUGUCGGUAAUUCUAUAUUAUUUUGCAAAUAUAAAUAUUAUUUAAAUUAUGCUUUUUAAACAAAUAAAAAUAAUAAAAAUAAUAAUUUGUACUAUCAUAUUUUUACCAUAAUAUUUAAAAAUAAUGCAUUUUAUUAAAUAAUACGUGAUUUCAGUAUUUUUAUGUAAUAAGUAAUAUAUAUCAUACAUAAUAAAUUAACACAAAUUAUUUAAUAAGCUAAUUCUCAAUUACACAAACAAAUGAGUUAAAAUCCUGUAUUACAUUCAAUAUUCAAUAAGUCCAUAUAUCACCAAAUGAGGGCAGAUUACUCAUUAGAAGUAACAGAUUUUAUCCCUGCCUCAACCUCAAGGGGCUUUACAUCUGAUAAUGAGAUCAUUCAACUGAAAUUAUACAAAGUACUUCCAAUUGUCUUUAGCAGAAAAGGCAUUGCCCAACUACAUCCACAUACAAUACUUACGAACCUAAUUUUAGGGUUUAAUUAAAAGAAAAUGACAAGAAAAACCCACUACUUCAAAAUCUAGCUAUCAAAGUUUAAAUAUUAGACGAUUGCAUUGGCAAAAGAAAGAUAACUCCAAUUGUUUAGAGAACUCGCCUUCUGAAGCAUCAUCCGUGUCCGUGCAUAAGUCACUGGCAAGAAAAUUAAGGAUUAACAAGUCAAUAGUAUACAUUAGAUGAUAAAAUCAAAUUAAAAGAUAAAAAAAUAAGUCUUAUACAAAUGUAAAUGGUCAAACUACAAUUACUGCCACAACAUAAAUAAUUGUUUGAAAACUCACAUAUGAUCUUAAUAACGGCUCGUUAAGCUCUAUUGAAACAUUUAUUUGAACUUCCUAGCAUUGCGAUCUUAACGCCAUCUAUUUUAGUAGUUGGAUUUGUGUUCAACAAAGAACCUUAUGCAACAUACUUGUGAGGUUUUUUCAAACUCUUACUUCAACUUUUUUUCAAACUCUUUAAAUAUACUUCAACUUUAUCCUAAUAUUCAGUAAAAAUAAAAAAAUAUAGUUAAUUUUUUUAAAAAGUUAUGACUAAUUUGCAUUAGUGAGUAAAUAUCAUAUGAUCAUAAUAAUAUACGUAAUUAAUGGCAUAAAAAGUAUAUUGAAAUAAUAUUGAAAUAUAAUUAAAAAAUAAAAAUUGAGAUUUGUAUGCAUAAAAAAUAAAUAACAAGAAGAAUCAGAAUAAAUAAUAGAGAAUAAGUAAUAGAAGAUAACCUCAUUAUCUAACAUAGUAUGGACAUCCUUUCCAAUAACUUUUACUCAAUAAUCCUGCAUUCAAAUAUAAUGUAUGUUGGAUAUCUAUAUUGAUUUUAACUGCAUAUAAUAAUUUAUACAAGAACAUUAAGAUAAAUUAAUAAAAAUAGAACUACCUGAUUUCGUGGAACCUCAAAGCUCGAUUCAGAAGAUUGUAUUUCAUUACUUGGUGGUUUUUUAGAGGGAAUGUUAUUAUUGCCAUUAUACAAAGAAAAAAAAGAAUAUGAUUAGAUGAUUUCAAUCUUAUUAUAAUUAAAUAGUCAUUUUUAUAAAACAAAUAAACAUAAAUUACAACUCGAGUUUACUUGCGCACUGCCUAUUGGAUUAGAUGUGCCUAUUUGUGGAUUAUGAUAUAUAUGAGUAUUUAAAAACAUUUACUGGCAUUUAAUUUUAAAUGCAGAUAAUUAAAUACUAUUGAUUUAGUAAAAAAAGAUAGUUAUGCAAGGAAUGCAAAACCAAAACGGAUCCAGCGUAUACUUUCCCCACUAUUUACCGAUUACUCAGUCAAAUACGAUCGCGUUAUAGCUAGGGAUGUAAAACGGGUCGGAUGCCACGUGAGCCGCCUGGCCUAGCACGGCCUUGGACCGGGCUAGAACAUGGCAUGGGUAUUCUAGCACCCGUGCCGGACCGGCCCGGCCCGGGGCUCUGGGCUAUGCUGGGCCAUUUUUUGGAGCCCGACGUUCUGGUACGGCCCGAAACGUACCUAAGCCGUGCCGGGCUGAAGGGAGGCGGGCGGCCCGGCACAGCACGGCCCGAUCGGUUUGGGCUGUGCCAGCCGGGCUAGCAUGGCCAGCACCCGAUGUCAAUUGUCUUGGGCCAUGGGGUUUGAGCUCCUUGGGAGGAGGGCUUCCCAGAAGCUUAGACCUUGGGAGGAGCACUUUUGGUCCAAUGAACCAAAAAAUUUUGGUCCAUUGGACCAAAAGUCUAUUUCGUUUUCUUUUUUUUUUAAAAAAUAAAUAAUACAAAUUUAUUUAUUUUUUAAAAAUUAAAUAUUUACUUUAGUAUAAUUAUUUUUAUAANGGUCUUAAGAUAGGGGAACCCCUUGGCCCCCAAAUGGCUCGCAAGCGUACUUUGCGUCACGCAAAAUUGCAUAAUUAUAUUAUUUUUAUAUUUUUUUAAGAUUUUAUUUAAAAUAUUAAUUUAAAUAAAAAAAACUUAUUGUUUAUAUUUUUAAAUUUUAUACUAAAUUUUUUUAAAAAAAUUUAAAAAAUACGGCCCGUGCCUUCCGGCCAAAGGGCCGUGCCGAGCCAGAAGGUAGACAACUUGGCGUCGGCACGGUCCAGACCGAAAUUAAUUCGGGCCGGGCUAGGCCGGCCCCAAGCCCGUUUCGGCCCGGAAUAUGUGGGCACGGCCCACAUUACACCUUUAGUUACGACCUCAACUCGCUUUCAUCUCUCUCUCCACUUCGAGAGCCAAAACCAAAACCCCUUCCCCUUCGCUGGAGCUUCCUCCCUCUCUCUCUCUCUCUCCUCCCAUGGCGCCUCUCCUCCUCGGCUCCCGUUCCUCCGCUCCCUCUCCCUCCAUCGACGGGGUCUCCUCCACCCCGCUCCUCCCCCUCUUCGCGAUAAGCUCCCCCUCACACCCCCUCCUCCGCCCACUCUCCCAAGCGGGGCUUCCACAUUGGCUUCUCCCCUUACCUCGCCCUCUCCCCCACUCGAGGACGAGCGAGCGUAAGGGAGAUACCCCAGCCCUAGAGAAUGCCUGGUUUAUCGCGGCGCUACUUCUUGUGGCGAUUUCGUCGAACACGUCGUGGGCGACGGAGGUCGGCGUCGCGUAAGAUAGCCGCUCCCUGUCGUUAAUAGACGGAGGGAGUUGUUCUUCUUGGGAUCCGUCCAUUACCCUCUGAGCCCGCCUGAGGUUAUCUUCUCUCUCUCUAGUGAUAAAAUGUAUAGAUUGUCCCUGUAAUAUCCCAAUAUUGCGACUUGUUUCCUGUAAUUCUGAAGUGAAUGUUUUAGUUCUUAAAAUUUCACGUGUAUUACACUAGCCACUAAAUUGGUCGUUAAAUAUAUAUUUUUUUAAAUGUUUAGAGACGAAGUGUAAUAAUAUACAUGAAAUUUCAGGUAUUUAACUGUUUAGUUAAAAGUACAGGUACCAAGUUGCAAUAUCAGUAUAAUAUGUGGAUUAUACGUAAAGUUUGCCUUCUCUAUAGUUUUUGUAUGCAUGGGAUAUGUUUGAGGUAAUUCCUGUGUGAAGAGUUGAUGGCUAAUUUGAGUGGUGGUUUCUUUUGGAGUCAGAUGUGGCCGGACCUCAUCUGGAAGGCGAAGCAAGGGUCUCAAUCAAGGUUUUAAGCGUCCGUUAGUACGGGCCGUAUCCACCUUAUCGUACCGUGCCAACAAAAUACAGGCACAAUACAGACCCCGUGCCGAUGGCACAACUCAAAACCCUCUAUUCUUUAAAAUUAGUAAGUAAUUUUUUCAAUAAAGUUCAAAAGAUAUGAUAAAAAGAUAUAAUAAAUAGUUAGAAUAUUUUGUUGCUAAAGAAAAUAAAUAUUUCAUACUAUUAUGUGUCGGCACAUAAGAAUUUUUUUGACCGGCNAAAUAGUUAGAAUAUUUUGUUGCUAAAGAAAAUAAAUAUUUCAUACUAUUAUGUGUCGGCACAUAAGAAUUUUUUUGACCGGCACGCAUCGGCAUGGCUCGGCACGCACCGUGCCGUACCGUGCCGGCAAGUUUCCGGCACGACCCCGUGCCACGACACUUAAAUCCUUGGUCUCAAUGUGAUUCAGACUUUCGUGCUCUGGAAUGUCCAUGAGCCUGUUCCGGGGCAGGUAUGGCUUGGUUAAUUGCUAAUAGCUUGUUUGGUUUGGUUCAGAACUUGUGCAGAACUGUCGCUUGAUUAGUUCUUUUCGAUGUAAUUCUACCUGCUUUUCCACGGGCACUACCCGGCAGCUUCGUACUGGUGCUUAGUAACAGAAGAUUCAAAUAGGAGUUUCUGCUUCUGGCCCCCAGAAUGCUAUUUUGGCUUCUCACUUCUGCGAAUUCUGGUCCUAUUUUUGUGAAAAUGGCUUGUUUUUGCUUAUCUAGCAGAUUAGCUGUUCCAAAAAGCUGUGCUGAAUGAGCACUAACUUUUCACAUUUAUAUGCAUAAUAAAGGAUUAAAAGUUGGUCUUCGUUGUGAGUGCAGUUCAACUUUGAAGGAAAGUAUGACUUGGUGAAAUUCAUCAAGUUGAUCCAGCAGCAGGGUAUGUAUGCCACCCUCAGGAUUGGCUCUUUCAUCCAGGCUGAGUGGAAUCAUGGGUUGGUUUCAAUUUACUUUCUCCUCUUAGCUUACAGUUAUACCUACUUUCCUCCUUGAGAUUCAUUUUUUUUUAAGUUACAAUUUUGCUGUGCUAAUGUGCAUCUUGGUCGAUUUCAGAGGGCUGCCUUACUGGCUUCGGGAGGUUGAGGGCAUCGCCUUCCGGACUGACAAUGAACCUUUCAAGGUAAAGAAGUUGCUUUUAGUUUUGACAUGCUAUAUUUAGCUUAAAUAUGUGCUGCAUAAAUGUAAAUUCUUAAUAUUUUAUUGUAGUAAUACAUUUCGCUUUUGUGACAGUACCAUAUGAAGAGGUUUGUCGAAAAGGUAGUGCAACUUAUGAAGAACGAGAAGCUAUAUGCUUCUCAAGGAGGCCCCAUUGUUCUAUCGCAGGUUCUUUCUGGGCUUUUUAUGGUGUCUUUAGUCUCUUUCUUUUUAUCUUUUCUAUGAUCAACUCAGACAAAUUGUUCCUUCGCCUUGCGGGAACUCUGUGGUGAACUUGACUUCAACAGAUUGAGAAUGAAUACAAUAACAUCGCUCCCAUGGUUGGGCUAGCAGGGAUGAGAUAUAUCCAGUGGGCUGGCAAUAUGGCUAAUCAGACAAAUACUGGAGUUCCGUGGGUGAUGUGCAAGCAGAACAAUGCUCCUGACACAGUGGUGAGCAUUCUUAUUAUUAAAUCUUCUUGUGAAAAAGGAAUGUGUUCUAAUAUCUCAACUCUUGAGUUCAUAAAUCAGGCAGCCAGAGGACAAUUUUAUAUCUUUGGAAAAUAUAUGAUAUUCUCGAUGGAAUAUUAACUCCAAUCUUCGAUCUUUCAGAUAAAUGCAUGCAACGGAAGGAAGUGUGGAGACUGUUUCUCUUGGCACAAAGCAUCCAAGCAAGCCUCUCCUAUGGACUGAGAACUUGACUGCUCAGUAAGUAUAUCACUUUUCUUAUCUGAAUAGAAAAUUAAAAUAAUGUAGCUAAAGAAGGGAGAAGCCACAUGGGCAUUGACUGAUAUGUAUCAAGUGCUGAAUUUGUCAUGUCUACUGAUGUCAAGCGAAAGAGUUGCAUUAAAUUUCUCUAUGGCAAUACAGAUGCAUAUGUCACUUCUGGCUUUCUUUUUAUCUAACCUCAGAGGAAAUGCAAGUUAUCUAGUAAGAUAAGAGUACAGCUAUAAACAAUCUGACUACAGUGCGUAAGUUCCAAUAUAUACCAAAAUUGCAGGAAACAUGCAUAAGCUACUUUUUUAUUUGUUUGUUUGUUUGUUUUUUUUUUUAUUUUGAUGAGAGAUCAUGUUGUUCUAAAAAAAGGAGCAAAUUUUGUUCAUUUCAGAUAUAGGGUAUUUGGUGAUCCACCAUCUCAAAGAUCGGCUGACGAUCUUGCUUUCAGUGUUGCACGUUUCUUCUCAAAGAUUGGCACUCUAGUUAACUACUACAUGGUAAUUCAUCGUGUCUGUUGUAACACAACGUGCUUAUUAAAAUUAAAGGAAAAAAAGAAAAUGGGAGGAUUAUCCAGCAUAACAUUUUGUUAUUAUUGCUCAUUCUUCACUCAGUAUCAUGGAGGGGACCGACUUUGGGAGGACAGGUGCUGCUUUCGUCAUGACUAGAUACUACGAUGAAGCCCCUCUAGACGAAUAUGGUUAGGAGCUGAGAACCAUGAUCUUCAAAAUUUGUUAUCAUAUUUUUUAUCAAGAAAAGAAAAAGAAAUAUUUGAAUCAGAUUACAUAAUUCACAACUUAUUCUGACAGCUUUUGCUUAUUACAUAAUCUCAAUUUCGACAAUUCGAGGAACAAUAAAUAAAUUUUUUUUUUUGGCCUUAAGAAAGAGAUUUUGUUUUGCAUAUUAUUCUGGCUCCAUAUGUUUUUUUUUUUUUAAACAUCUGAUGGCACUGUGCAUUUGCUUGCUAUCUUUUCCUGUAAAUGUAGCUUCUAUCUAGAGGCAGAAGACUUACCAAUGAGACGCGAUAUUCGGCCAGUGAUUCAAGUGGUGCAUGCCUUUGUGAAUGGCACUUACAUAGGUAAUCUUUUGACCUUCCGCCUUAUACUUAUCAAUAACAAAAUAGUUAGUCAGGCACCUUUUUUUUUGGUUAGUGAAUCAUUUCGAAGAUAAAACUGAAAUUAAUCUUUUGCAAGAGCAAAUUGUUUGCAGGUGGCUGAGAUACAUAUAUUUUUUUAUAUGCAGUAGCUGAGUGCAUAUGCAGGUGGAUAUGCAGUUCAAAUAAGAUACAAUUAAAUAUAAUAAAUUUACUAGAUAUAAAAAUGUGAUAAAUAGAAAGAAAACAUACAAAAGAGUUGAGAAAACUAUGUAAAUAUGAAAUGUUGUUAAGUUGUAGGACUUUCUGACAUUAUAGAUGUCAAAUUUUCAAGUGUUUUUAGUCAGAUAAGUAUUUUCUGCAUAUUCUUAAAUAGUCAAUACAAAUCAAAGUCAUAUAUUUCAAAUUUGUCGUAAUGUCUAUUUCAUGCAUUAGGCACUCUACUGUUGUCACCAUCCAAGCAUAGCCAUAUUAAUAAAAGUUAGGUGAUUCUCACACGUAUUGCACCUUGCAGGAUCUGCGCAUGCAGUGAAGCUCGCCAAAAAGUUUGUCUUCCAGAAUGCCAUGGACCUAAAAGCAGGAAUUAAUCACCUAGCGCUUUUGUUUUUGACAGUAGGAAUGCCGGUAAUGAUAUAGGCCGAUCACCUAACUGAAAAGGCCGCUUCAUUUUUGGAACUUAAGCUGUCCUUAUAAUUCUACCGCUCCUAAUUGUGAAAAGAAUGUUUGUUAACAUCUUCAAUUUCUCAUAUUUAGGAUAGUGGAGCUGGGUUAGAAAAGAAGUAUAGUGGUAUUGACGAAGUCAUGAUUCAAGGUCUUAACACAGGGACUCUGGAUUUGACAGUAAAUGGCUGGGGGCAUGAGGUACAUACUCGUCGAAUGUUUCAAACCUUAUCUUCCGUUUUCUGUUAAAUUAUUAUCAUUGAAGUACAUACCAAGCUGUUGAUUAUUUAAUUAAGUGGCUUACUAAUCUUAACUUACCAUCCCAUAGGUUGGAUUGAGCGGAGAGAAGUUGGGAAUCCACAGUGAGGAAGGAUCUAGCCGUGUUCAAUGGCAGAGGCUACAAGUGGCUCGCCGAUUACCUGGUACAAAGUAACAUGAAGCAGAUGUUCUGUCUUAUAACCAAAUGGAAAGACGAAUAAUAAUUAUUUAUCAUAACUAAAUGGUUCUUAGUACAGCUUUAUGAAAUAAUAAAGAUCGUUUUUGCCAAAGCAGGUAGUUAAUGUGGUUUUGGUUCAUCUGCUUCUCAGAGAUACUUUGAUGCUCCGACUGGAAAUGACCCAGUUGCCCUAGAUAUGAGCAGCAUGGGGAAGGGGCUAGUAUGGAUCAAUGGCGAAUGCAUUUGGCGAUACUGGGUGUCCUACCUUUCUCCGUUGGGACAGCCUUCUCAGUCAGUGUAAGUGAUUCACAAGUGCUUGUUCGGCCCAACUUCUGAAAUAGCUCUUCCCCAAAAAUCAGAAACUUCUGGAAACCAGGUUUUUGUCAACAAAAAAAGCAAAAAAGAUGAGUUUGGAGUUUUCUCUGUGACGGUGGUAAGUUAAAAAGUGCAUGUGGCCUGAAAAGUGGAAACCCAAUUAGAAGCUUCACAAGAAGUUGUCAAUUAUUCCAACAGCUUUACUCAAUCAGUACUUCUGCUUCUCUUUUCCUCAAGCCUUCUUAAGGCUGAAGAACAACCUCAUGGUCAUGUUCGAGGAACAUGGAGGGAGGCUGGGGGACAUAUCAAUUGUAAAGGUGAAGAGGGAUAACAUCUGCAUGUUCGUCUCUGAGUACCACCCUGCACACAUUAAGUCAUGGGUGAGGCAGGACAGCCAGAUUCGGGUAAUUGCUAUAGAUGUUAAGCCGAGUGCUACCCUAAAGUGCCCUGAGAAGAAGGUGAUCAACCAGAUUAUGUUCGCGAGCUUCGGGAGCCUCAUGGGCGUCUGCGGUAAUUUCACCGUGGGGAAUUGCCACACUCCACAGGCCAAGAUCCUCGUUGAAAAGGUAAACAUUAUUCUGCUUCUACAAAAAUAUACGUAUAUAUCCACACAAAAUCACCUAUUUACACAUAUCCGCCUUUAAAAUCUGAAUUUCAUUAUGUACCCCCUUGGAAGUGUAGUUUCUUACCAAAGUUCCUUUUUCUUAAGUUGGCAAGCGAUCCAAUUCAUGGAGGUUAGGUCGUUUCUAUCCGAAUAAGUUUUUCUAAGUAGAGGGGUUUUUGCAAGUACAUGGAUUUAUGUGCAAGGAAUCAAGUUUGUUAAGGGCAUUUAUGAAAAAUUUAAAUUUUCUAGGGAUUAUACUCACAACACUACCACGAAAAUGAUAAUUUUGCGGUUUUUAUAUGUAAAUAUUCUUUCUCUAUACGACCUGCCUGUGUGGUUUACCGUAUAGAUCCAGUAAUUUGAUUGGUAUUUGAGACGACUAAUAUACUCUUGGUAUAAACUCGCUCCCAUGUGAUUUGCUUAAUACAUCAAAUAACCAGAUUAUUAGUUCAGAUGACUUACAGUAGAUUGGUAGUUUAGUUUAGUUUCUUUCGCAAAUGUAUUCAUUUUGGUUCGUUCUCAUCAAACUGCGAUCUUAAAUUGUUCUUCUUUCUCGAUUCGCAGCUAUGCCUGGGGAAGAGAUCAUGCACUCUGCCCGUCUCGCACCAGGCCUACGGCACAGACUUGAAUUGCCCCGGAACUACGGGCACGCUCGCAGUCAAAGCUAAAUGUUCACGGCGGAAUGCGAAGGCGAAUCCCUCGAAGUAAAUCGCUGUUGUUGGAUUGAUCGAGGAACUUGAAAAUGCGAUGUAAUGAUUCCUUUAAAAUGGCAAUGAAAAAGUUAUUGCAUUUGAUCUGAGUUUUGAGGAUUAAUAUUGCUUGAUAAUAGUUGGAUGAGGAUAUUUUUAUUCGUGAAACAUAUUUCCCUUUUUGUUAUGGUUAUAUUCAUGAUGUGAUUGAUCAUCGGCGGACGACGACCGAUAAGAAAAAAGAAAAAAAGAAGGAAAUUAAAGAGAUGUAAGUACCAAUAAUAAAAUGCUUUACAAUUAAGAGGAAAAAUUAUGUUUAGGGUAGAACAAAAUAGGCAAUUAAAGAAAGAGGUGGUUAGCUCCAAUUCUAUCAAUCAAUUUUUAUGGCAUCUUUUCCGAAAUUGCCAUUCUAAUUAAAUCUCAGGAAAAGACUAGGUCAAUGACCCUAAUUACAGGUAACUACUAAGAAAACAAAAACUAAUCACGAGGGGUUAGUGCCUAUUUAUUUUUGUAAAUCUCGAAGGUUGAACUCAUGACUCCGAAAAAGUCAUUAAGAUUAGUGUUUAUUUCAAUAUCGAAAUCGCGAGAUUAUAUAAACUCACACUCACAAUACGAAGAUCAACUUUUCAACUUUAAUUCAGAACAGAACGAAGUUGAGUUUGUGGGACUCACAAAUUUCUCACUCUUCGACUUUUUGCUUUCAAAAGCCUCUUAUGUUAGAUGGGUAAUGCAUUUGACUCGACAAAAGAGAAAGAAAAAAAGAAAAAAAAUAAUCACACUCAACUACAAUUGUACGAAUCGAACUAAUCAUGUUCCCCACACUCACUUUGGUUGGGCACGUCUCCUACCAACCGUUGCAAAAACAUAAUAAUUUCUCUCAACAAACAAACAAUAAAAGUGAAUCAAUUAUUACAAAUCAAAUUAUUAUAAUUUACUACUACAACUCCUGCAUGAUCUCUCUUCUUGUAGGUUAAGGUUACAUGAUGAUAUUCUCCUCAUGGCAUUAUAAUUACCCUUUUAUAUAUUUGCUUAAAUAACACUACAUCUAAAUUGGUCCACUCUAUACAUUUUAUUGAAAGGUUUAUAUGCUACUAAUUAUCAGGUAAAUUACACCACAGGUCACUGAGCUUUUGACUAAACUUCAUUUAGAAAAAAAGUGAAGUUCAUUUUCUAUUUAGUUUAGGCUUAUUCCCAGCAAUUUGGAUUAGUUUGCUAGCAAAUAGAUGAUGUGGCAAAUAAUUCACUUACCACUUUUUUUUCUUCACACGAGGGAAAAUGCUGAUUAGGCUAUUUGCCAAUUGAAUAGUAAUAUGGAAUAUAAUAGAGCUAAAAUUCUUAAACCGGUUAUACCAUUUUGGAUGAUGGCUAAGUCCAAAAGGUUAAGAAGGCUAAGCGUGUUAGAACUAGAGUAGUUUUAGAAUAGGUGAUCUUCUGAUAAGUGGCGCGUUAUACUGCUGAUGAUCAUCUCAAUGGGUGAGCCCCUAGGAAGUUGGUUAUCACCAUAUUAACCUUUUAUGAGAAAGAUUAGAAAGUUUGAUGAAGAAAUCUGUUGGGUAGCUUAAACUUUUGAGAAACAACAGUUGUGUUACAUUAUUUAAUAUUGUGCCGUAGGAGGUAUUGAGUUUAAAGUCUAUCAAGCUUUUAACUUUUUUUAAUUUCCUUGUUUUCAAUUGAAGCCCACUCCGUUCUCUGGCUGCUUAAGUUUUUUCAGUGAAUAAUAGUUGUUUCAUAUAACGCAAUAGAUUCUAAUUAUAGUAAAAUAAAUUUUAGGUUUAGUACAUCAAUUGUAAUAAAUUGAAUUUAAUGACUUGAUUUAAACUUUUGAUAACUAAAUUCACUAGAUCAAUAAUGCACAAUUCAUUCUCCUGCAGCAAGGGUGUCUUAUUUUUACUGGAAUAAGCAUUGGGUAAAAAAUUAUAGUAGCUAUAAAUGAAAAUUGCCAAAAUUAAUUAAAAUUAUCACCAUUUUUUAUAUAAAAAAAUGAUUAGAUAGCUAUUUAAUUUUCUUCUAGAUUAGGUGGAGAAAUUAUUGGUGCACCUUGUUGAAUGGGUUAGGUUAGGAAACCACUUUUUUUGAUGAUUAAAAGAGCUACUUUGUAGGUGGAAAAAAAAAAAAUACACCAUAUUUGGUGGAUCUACCUUGAAAAAGAUGCCAACAAAAUUGAAUAUUCUCAAAGAAAAAAUUUAUCAUCAAGUUAUUGCUAUUUGAGGAAUUGAUAUAAUCAAAACAGUUUAUUAUUAUUAUCGGAAUAAGGAAAAGUCUAAAUUAUUACUAGAUGUAAUGUAUUUGCUUUGACAAUAUUAUUUCGUAUACAGAAGCUCAAAUUAGAUGUGUAUACAAAAGCAUUUAUUUCAAAAAUAAUUUUAAUAAUAAUUCAUACAUAUAACUUGGUAAAAUCAAGUGCUCACUCUACAAAUAAAUAAUACAAGAUUAGGAUAACAAAAUGAAACUUCAGUAGCGAACUCCCUAACGAUGCCUCGUUGGGGAGUUUUCGAUUCGCUGCCGCAUGUCAGUUUUAUCUCAAUCCAAAUAUUUAUUGAAAAAUUCGUUAACGAGGCUUCAUUGGGGAGCUCCCCACUAUUUUUUUUUUUUUUUUUUUUCAUAAUGGAUAACAUUGGAGCUAGAUUGGUGAUGGCUUGGGAAAAAAAAUGACAAAUGUUACAACUAGAGAGAGAGAGAGAGAACAAAAUGGUGUUAUCAAAAUGAGCUCUCAAAAUUGAAAACGAUGCCAAAUAAUUGUUUAUUUCUAAAAGCUUAAAAAUGCGAGAACAUAACAUUUUUGAUCUUUUUAUAUUAAUACUUUUCUUUACGUCUGGAUUUGAAACUUUUAGUUAUAACAUGUGUUUCAAAAAAUUUAAGCUGUUAGAAAUUUUUUUUUUUUUUAAAAAAAUGCUAGUUGUACAUUCCAAAAAAAGACGUACACCUUACAACUUUUAUGCGACAGUUUACAAAUAUUUCAAUAGUAGGUCUUGAAUGAUAGGGUGUAAGAUUUAUAAUUUCUUUUAGGAUGAUGUACCGAUAGAAUUACUCUAAUAUUUUGAAUAUUUAUUUCAUACUAAACCUAAAAUAAUCAAGUUAAAAAAUUAUUGUAAAUUAUAUAUAUAAUACAAAAGAAGUAAAAGAGAAACUGGGAGAGGGACCGACCGUUCCUAGUGCAGAUGGCAAAGGGUUUGGUGGUUGGUACCCGAGGUCUCAAGUUCGAAUUCUAGUUAAUUCACAUUUCUAACUAAAUUUAUUUCUAAAUAAAGUAAAUAAAGCGGGUCGCAUGCUAUUUAUCUCAAAAAAAAAAAAAAAGAAACCGGAAGAGAGAGGGAGUUAGAUGCAACGAGAAAACCAAGGGCGGAGUCAUUGAGGGGCCCACAGUGGCCAUGGCCUCUCUAACUUUUUUAAAAUUGCAUAAAGUCCUUUGUAAUAAAAAUUAAAAUAUUAUAAAUUUUAAUUUUAGGGGGCUAAAUUUUUUAAUAAAAUUUGUGUCUCAAUUUUUUUUUUUCAAAUUUCUUGGUUUUUUCCUUCAACUCUUACAGUCUUGUCCCUCUUUGAGCAUAUUGUCAUUAUUGUUGCUAGUAAUAAAUGAUCAGUGAAUCUGACAAAUUUUUUUUUUUAUUAUCCGAGGUUGAAUUUUUUUUUUUAUCAAAUCUAAAUUUUAUUCUCGACAAAUUUUAAUUUCUGACUUCGAACCUGGAGAAAGCUAAGAAAGAUACUAUUAAAUGGGUGCAUCCAAGUUGGCUGGUGAGGAAACGAAACACAAGAAGACAUUUGGCAGUAGUUGUUAUUUUUGGAUUUUUUCCAAUAAAUGUUUCUUUUGGCAGACGUCUCGUUGAUUAUUCACAGGCUGUCUGCAAGGUCCCUGCAGAGCGCAAAAGAUUCUACUAUACAUCAGUCAUACCACAUUAUUAAUUAAUAAUUAAUUAUAUUUUUUCUAAAUAAAAAAGUAUAAUAAAAGUAUCUUUUUAUUAAUUAUGAUCGGACGGAUGAAUCUAAGGGAACAAUUUGAUUGGCUGGUUAUGCGAUAUCAGUAAUAUAACUAGUGUAUUUUAGAUUUUUUUUCCCACCCUAAUAGACUUUUCAAAUAAUUUUUGUGCGAUAAGAAACAUAAAAUUUUGUUGGUAAAUAUUUAUUUUUUGAAUUUUAAAAAUUUAUAUUUUAUUUUAAAAAAAUUUUAGAAAUAUUUUUAGGCGUUACAACAUUAAUAGAGAGGACGAAAUAAUUAAAUUGGCCUUAUUUGUUCUAUAAAGAAAAAAAAUAAUUUUUUUAACGGAAUAGUGACGGAACCUGACCCUGUGGCGAUAAAUGCAUCAACUUUAAAAUUUGAGAAAGUAAAAUAUAGAUUUUUAAAAGUCAUGAAAAAAAAUGAAAAAAAUACAAGUAUUUACAAGAAAAUCUUCUGUAUUUUAGGCAAAAAAUAUUAUAUGACUACCCUCCUCGCUAGGGAUGUUAUUGAGUACAGAUACUCAAAAUUUUAUCCGAAUUCGAACAUGGUGAAUUUAUCGGAAGGUAUAGCUCACAUCCCAAACUACAAAUAAGUUCAGUGGUUUUAGGGUUUACUAAUUCUUUUUAAUUUGGAGCAAAACAAAAAAAAUAAUACGACAAGUUUUAAAAAAAAAAACGUAACAUUUGGACGCUAAUGUUGUAGGAUUACAACUCAUAUUGAAUUGUUGAUUCUAAAUCCUUGUAUCGACUAACAUUAACGUAAAUAUAACAUAAUUAUUAAUCACGUCGAAAGAACCAAAUUCAAACGCAAGCCAUUUACUCACGAAAAAUAUGUACGUCAAAGAAAACAAGUAUGAUAUGAAUAUAAUUAAAAUGAAUCUCAUAUUUUAGUCAUCAGUGUGUAAUAAUUUUUUAUACAAGAGAUACAACAGAGAAAAAAAUAUGCGCCCUUAAUAUAAUUGAAUAUAAUAUAUAAUAUGGGCUAGGGCUGGCUACUAUACUCUUAUGAGUAUAGACUCUUUCGUACUCAUAAGUUUUCGACCGUUGGAUGAAGAAAUCUGUUGUUAGGAUGAUAGUGGUUCCUAAUUAGAUUAAUAGUGGUUCCUUAAGGUUGAAUGGGUAAUUGGUUGAAUAGUAUGAUCUAACGGUUGAUCAAAAGAGUAGAUUUAAUGACCGAAAAUUUAUGAGUACAAAAAGCUUUUUAUUCAUAAGAAUAUAGAAAACAACAAACAAAUAGCUAGAGAGAGAGACAAGAGAGGAGAAAAACUAGCUGGGCGUUGAAGUGUGCUAAAUGGUUUAAUUAUUAGUCCUAUAAUAUAAUAAUAAUAUAGAGUUAGAGUAAAAUGCUAUCGAUAGCAUUAAGCACUUAGUACUACCAACUUUUCCACCAUUAGAUCUAUCCCAUUAACCAUUUUCACCCGUUAGAUCAUGCUAUUCAACCAACUAUUAACGCAAUCCUAGGGGACAACUAUCAUUCUAACCGCAUAUCUCUUAAUUCAAUGACCGAAAACUUAAUAGCACUAAUAACUUAGGCUCAGUUUGGUAUUGAGUUCUAUGUAACGCUAUUAGAUAAAAUAGAGUUGAAGAAAAAGCAUAUAAGAAUAUGCUUCUGUAUUCUCCGGUGGGACAGCAGAAAAUAUAUCGUAACCGACUCAUCGUGUUAUGCGGAAUGUAAUAUUACAUACGGAAACAAACAAGGUAUUUUGCCAACAUACUUUCUUGAGAUGGAUCUAAAUAGAAUGGAGUUGAGAAAAAUGGAUCUAACGCUAUUAGAUAGAAUGGAAUUGAGAAAAAGUAUAUAGGGAUAUAUUUCUGUAUUCUCCGAUGGGACCGCAGAAAAUAUAUCGUAACCGACUAACCACAAUAUGCGAAACGCAAUAUUACGUACAUCGUAUUUUUUCGUUGUCAUUUCUCACUGCACGUAACGCAAUCUCUCCGCAAUCCCAAACGAAACCUUAAUGCUAUUAAUAAUAUUCUAGACUACUAAUAAUACAAUAAUAAGGUUAAUUUGCAUAAAAUAUUUAUUAAUUUUAUGUUUUCGCAAGAAUAGACCAAAAUUUUAAAUUUUUACAGAUUAGAUUUAAAUUUUUAUAAACUGAUUAAGUUAUCUUUAUUUCUUUUAUGCUUUUCUCUCUUGUUCAUUUUUUAUCCUCCUCCCUUACUUCUUACUCUUUUUUUCUUUCCUCUUUCUCACCUCGUUUGACAGCCAACGUCGGCUGCUGCUACUGAGGGCGUGACCGUGGAUAACUACGAUAACACGAGCGCCACAGAAUUGAAGAUGACAGAGUGCGUCGGGGCUAGGGCGACGGUUUGCGAUAGAGAAGCAAGGAAAGGGGGCGUGUUGCGAAAAAUGGUGCAGAAAUCAGAAGAACAAGAAAAAAAAAAAAAACAUAUUUUUUCCCUCUUAGGAAUCGUUGCUGUUGCUACAAGAAAUCCAAAAAGCAGAGAAGAAAGAAAAAAUGAAAAAAUUGCAUUGUUUCAAACUAAAUUAUACCAUUUAAAAUUAUUUGACAUUAACUUGUAUCAUAAAAAAUAAAAAUUAUACUGGUUGAGACUAAAUUACACUAGUCUAACUCCAAAUAUAUAAAUUCUUUACAUUUUAAAGUGGCAUAAAAUCUCCACACAAUUUUCAAAAACCUACUAAUAAUGAUAAUAAAUAAAUAAAUAAAUAAUAAAUAAAUAGAAUUAUGCUAUUAUGCAAUAAAAUAGUACCAAACGCUUGGUGCUACUGGGUAUUCGGCCGUUGGAUGAAAAAAUAUGCUGUUAAGAUAAUAGUGGUCCUCUAGAGUUGAGUGGGUGGUUGGUUGGUUGAGUAACAUAAUUUAACCGGUGAAAAUAAUCAAAAGUUAAAUCUAAUAACAGAAAAUUCUUUUUUUUUUUGAGAAAUAGAUAGCAUGCUACCUGGUUCAUUCAUUAAGUAAAAUAAACUGAGCGUACAAGUUGGAAGCAGCUUAGACCUUCGAGAUAGCGAAAGGCAAAAGGCGAAAAAAAAAAUAAAAAAAAUCAAAGCAUGGUGGUCCGAGUGCUGAUCAAAAGUUUGAGCUAAUGACAGAAAAUUCGAUAGCAACCGAAGCUUGGUACUAUAUAGUAGUCGGAUUCAAAAUAAAUAAAUUAUAAUUAUUAGUUGGUGUGCACACAAACAUAGCAACUAAUCUCUCUCUUAUAUAUCAUCAUCAUCAUCAUCAUCAUCAUCAUCACCAUUCACAAUUUGUGUGCGCCAAAUAAUAAUUACAUCGUCCACACGACCGCUUCAACCGCACCAUUCCUUGGUUGGCAUUGCAUCCUCUCUCUUUCCCCUCAGGUACGCUCUUUCUCUCUCUACAACCACAACAACAACAACGAAAAAGAAGAGAAAAAGCUAGAGAGAGAGAGAGAGAGAGAGAGAGGGAGAGGAAGAAACUGGGGAGAGAUCUCGUCGUAGAUCUUGCUGCGUUGCUGCGGCUAGGGUUAGGGCUAGGGCUCCGCCUUUUUUGGUUUUUUUUUUUUUUUUUUUUUUUUUUUUUUUUUUGGUGGUUGUUGUUGUUGUUGUUCUCACGCUCUUCUCUCUGUCAUGGAGGUGGCGGGGGUGGGGGCGGAGGGGAUUAGGGCUCGCGUUUGGGGCUCCCGGAUGCGUAGUUGUUGAAGCGGAGGAGGAGGAGGAGGAGGUUGGAGGAGGAGAUGAGCGCGUCGAGGUUUAUAAAGUGCGUUACGGUGGGGGAUGGGGCCGUUGGGAAAACCUGUAUGCUCAUCUCCUACACCAGCAACACUUUCCCCACGGUGAGCGAUCCUCUCCCUUUUUCUUUUUCUUUUUUUCUCUUCUUGUUUUAUGUUGAUUUGUUUUGUGUGAAUGCAUGAUGGGGUUUUGAUGGGGAAGCGUUUGUUUUGGGGGUCGGUGUUAAGAUUUGUUGUUGUAGUUGUUUGAUCUGAGAGAAUGUAGCGUGCAUGGGUUUUGUAAAUUAGGAUCUUGUGCUGAUCGAAAGAAGCUAUUUUGUGAUAGUUACACGAUGAUGAUUGGCUUGUUUGAUGUGCGUUUUGCUCAAAAAUUUUGACGGGAACUCUCGUGAAUCGUUUUACGAAUUGAGUUGAUGCUAGUUAAUUUUAAGCCGGUGAGGAAAUGGGGAAGUAAAUUAGGAUGCUGACAAUUGGUUUGAAAGACAUGGAAUCUUUGAGCAAAUUAGAUCUGGUCCAUUCCGCUCCAAUCGUGAUCAAAACGGCAAAUAAAACAAUUUCCUUUGGUCUUUGUUUUUGUGGAAAGUCUAUUUUUAUGGCAUUUGAUUUUGACGGCGCAUUUUUCCUUGAAUUUAUCUGCUACAAACUUUGCCAAAGAUUCUGCAAAAUUUCGGUUGUUUUGAAUCGAUGAUCAGCUGCAACAGAGUUCUAUCACGGUUGAUGUUGUAUUGGUUUGAUUUCCUGCUGCAAGAAGAUUAGAUAUAGGGAAGAAAAGGAGAGGCUAGAGCAAAGAAGAAGGAUGCAAGAAGAAAUGCAGAUAGUGAAGUUUUUGUUUUUGAUGAAAAUUUUCUACUCUGUUGUCUGUAUUGGUCCCCUUUUUCUGCCUAUACACUGUUUUACUUAUCUUAGGUUGGACUCCUAGCCAAUGUCUUAUGCAGGGGCUUUGUUUGGACAGUUGUUAACAUUUGGCCCUGCUGUUUCUUCUAUUUGACAGUGACUAACAUAAAACCUUUGAAUAAAACUUUUGAUGCCACUGGGACUCGAAUUAUAUGGCUUGAUUUUAGACCCAAACUAAAAGCUAGCUAAAUUGACUCAUUAAGACUCAGAAUAAAGUAGACAAACCUGAAGAAAAGUUUAGAUGCAAUGGCAAUAAAAAUAUGUCUUUCAUUGAACCUGACAAAUCUAAAAACUGUCUUCUACUUCGAACAAAUCUAACCACCCUGAGUUGCACCAAAAUAAAUAGGCUAUAUCUGACCUAGUUUUCAUGUUUCUUUGGGGCGUUUACAUAUGUAUCCCAAUAGAAUCAUCUAAGUGCAAAUAUAUGUAUCCCUCUUAAAAUAUGAAAUUUGAUAUAUACACCUUAGAAUUGCAGUUUCUUACAAAAAUUCUCUUAUCGUAUGUUGGGUUAAAUCCGUGAGUUUGGGGUGUUUUGUGCUAUUUGGGCCUUUUGGUGGUUUUGUUUGCUUUCAGUUUGGAGAGAUCUAGGAUGAAAUUCAUGCUUCUUAACUGGAUGAGGCCUUCUGUGGGCCCUCGCUGUGUACCAUGUAUCUAUAAGCCUAUAGUAAAUGUAUAAUCAGCGCAUUUUGACGCUCAUAAUAAAUCUCAUGUACUGUCUUGCUGUUACAGUCAUUCAGUUAAAUAUUUGCAGUAGUAUACACUCCACAUCUUAGUUUAAAAAAUAUUGAUAUUCAUAUGCACGGCACUCAAUAUUGCUUAAAAGUUAUCGAUAUUCGUGCAUAUAGCUCUUAAUAUGUAUAGUCACAGCAUCCUCCUUUUCGCAUUUUCUUGUAUAAUUGCUAUAUUUAUGGUUUCAUGAAAAGAUCUACAUUCUUAGGUUGUCCUGCAGUUAUCUUGAUUUUCUCUAGCCAUGGAGACGCAGAAAUUUAAUGCAUAGUGACUUUCUUCUUCAAUUGUUGUGUAUAAUUCUGUUCUUGGAUGAGUACGUCUUUAUGCGUCAAUUAUUCGUUCUUUGAAGUAUAUGUAUUGUUACUUAACAUUUUUGUGAUGCAGGAUUACGUUCCAACGGUCUUUGACAAUUUUAGUGCAAAUGUGGUGGUUGAUGGUAGCACUGUGAACUUAGGUUUGUGGGAUACGGCAGGUAGGUUUUGUUCUUUCUCAAUUUAUGCUCCUUAUUUAUUUCCAUCAAUUUGCAUAUCUUCCUUUGAAGGCCCUGUUGAUAUGGCACUUUAAUUAAUGAAACAGGGCAGGAGGAUUACAAUAGGUUAAGACCAUUGAGCUAUCGUGGUGCUGAUGUUUUUCUCCUGGCGUUCUCCCUCAUCAGUAAGGCGAGCUAUGAAAAUGUUGCUAAGAAGGCAAGGGUCCUUUCCUUUUUUUAAAAAAAUUGUGCUUGUUUUCCUUGGUACUCUACUUCCUCUCUUUUUUUCUUCCUUUGUGAUCUCUGAUUCUUUGAAUCUCUGUUGCUGUUUUCCUUAUCCUCAGUGGAUUCCUGAGCUGAGGCAUUAUGCUCCUGGUGUACCUAUAAUUCUUGUUGGAACAAAGCUUGGUAUGAUUUAUAAUCUUAGCUAUACCUUUCAAGUGAUAUCUCUGUUAAAACUAAAGUAUCUAUACAUACAUCUGUAGUUCUUUUUCUCUUUGGUGGCCUUUCUGAAGUAAAACUAAAGUAAAAUUGCUCUGCUCUGCUCUGCUAAAGUAAAACUAAUUCUCUGAUAAGUAUUUCAAUGAUGAACUGUUUUUGAUUCAACUGGAAGCUGCUAAAACUGAACUGUGUAAGCAUGCCUUAUGGAUGAGAAAUGUAUCUCCACCAAGUGAAGGCGAAGCAUAUAUCGAUUAUUGAUUUUGUGGAUUCUUUUUUUCCCUUUUCAUGGUCCUGAUUAUUCUUGGUUAGGGCAUUUAUGAACAAACACUAAUUGCAUGUUUCAAUAGCAAAUCACUGGAUAUGUGAUAUGUUUAUGCAACAAUACUUGUAGAGCAACUUAAACAACAGGAUAACACUCUCUGUGCACCUAUUUUCGAAGUUAGACAUCAUUUAGUGGAUUUGCUAAUUUAUCAAGAUGUAAUAUUUGGUAUUUUCAUGUGUGCAUUAUGUAGGGUUUUCAGUAAUUUGAGCUGGCUGAAUUGAGUAACAGUUUUCAGAGUUCUUUUUCAUGGGUUUAAUAGUUUUAAUGUUUCAUUGCAAUACUAACCAGGUCUUUCCAUGUUUUGUUUGAAGAUGCGCCUUUUUUUUUCUUUUUUUGGGUUUGAGGUCCAUGUAGUGAUGUGUCUAUCGCAAGUUAAAAUGUUGUUAAGAUCAUACUCUUCUUUUAUUCUUUAUGCAACUGAGAACUUGGUUUGUUCACAGAUCUUCGAGAUGAUAAGCAGUUUUUUAUAGAUCACCCUGGCGCUGUUCCCAUCACUACUGCACAGGUAUAUGGCUGGUCAAAUUUCUACAUAUAUCAUAUGAUUCAACUUUUGCUGCUACACAUAUAAGAUUUCCUCACCUGAAAUUGCUAAUUCAUGAAGGGAGAAGAACUCAGGAAGCUAAUAGGAGCUCCGGCCUACAUCGAAUGCAGCUCGAAGACCCAACAAGUUAUUCAUUUCUCUUUUUCUGUUCUUUUCUCUCUACUUAUCUCGCAUAUCAUGCUCCUGUUGCUUUGGGAGCUAUCUGACACCCCUUUUCUUCCCCUUUUCCUGUAGAACAUCAAGGCAGUUUUUGAUGCAGCUAUUAAAGUGGUUCUCCAGCCUCCAAAGCAAAAGAAGAAAAAGAAAAAGGCGCAGAAGGGCUGCUACAUCUUGUGAUCAAAGAACAGACGACAGCGACCCUUUUCUUUAGUUCUCCUUCUCGCUAGUCCCUCGGCUUCAGCAAAGGAUCUCGGCCUCGGUCUAUAAUCUACUGACACCUGUAACACAAUCUAUCAGAGCAUUCAGGUGAUCUGUUUCAUCUCCUCUCCCUCUCUCCCUUGUGUGAUGAUCUUGUGACUAACUGGUUGUAAUAUAUGGCGCACCAAUGUUGUUCAAAUGAUCUGUUCACGGUAUUAUUAGGCAAAAUCUUGUUUGUUAAUUGUUAUCUGCUAUACUUGAAAAGUGAACGUGGUUUUAACGGCUAUUAUGUAACUUUAUUUACUGGAAAAGUUUGGUAUCUUUGCGGCACUCUCUGUACUUCCUAAGUGAACCGUCGCAAACCUUUUCGCCUUUAAUCUUAAUUCAUUUGUUCUAAGUGCAGCUCUAUACAUGGUUUUUUUUUUUUUUUUUCCUUUCACUGAAGCGUUUAAUAUUGUUUUUUAUUUUUUUUUCACCUUGUUGAACAUCCAAUCAACUUUCAAUUUUUGUUUGUUAUGUUUAUUUGUCUUUUUUUUGGGGGGUGGGGAAGUUAAAUCGACUUCAAAUUCGGUAAUGAAUAGAUCGCACGACAUCUCCACACAAAGGAAGUGUAGUUGCAAAUAAUUGACAGGUUGAUUCCUCCUCCAUGUGGGUUGCGUUGAAGUCCAUCUCACUGUGAUGUGAUUUGUCUCUUUAUCUUGUUUUUUUUUUUUUUUUGGCCAAGGCUCAUCUUCCCAGCCAAGCUUCAUUUGAAAGCUGGUGGGAAAAAGUUUUUUCUCCUGUUUUGAACUGAGGAGAGAUUGUGUUAUUAGAAAUGCCUAUUAGAUAUACAUCCCAUCUAUCUAAUAGUCUAUAUUUUUACUGACUAAUGACUAAAUUUAUUUAAAUUUUUUCUAAAUUGUAGAAUGUAGAGGGCGUAAGAUUUACCAUUGUCCCGCAUAUUUUCAUAAAUAUCAUAUUGGAUUAAAGAUAUAAAUUUUAUUAAAAAAUGGAGAUGCGUGAAAGUAUGCUUUCAUUCCAACUUAUUUUCGUUUAAUAGUGUUAGGCUUAGUUUGGUAUUGAGAUCUAUCUAACGUUAUUAAAUAGAAUGGAGUUGAGAAAAAAGCAUAUAGGAAUAUGCUUCUGUGUUCUCCGGUGGGGCCGCAGAAAAUAUAUCGUAACCUACUCAUCGCGAUAUGUGGUCUUCGGUGGGACCGUAGAAAAUAUAUCGUAAUCUACUCAUCGCGAUAUGCGGAACGCAAUAUUACGUUACAGAACAAACAGAGUAUCAAUCCCAAACGAAGCCUUAGCAGCAUUGCUAAGGCUUCCAAAACCAAGUGUCCCUAAUGAUGGUAUAUUUUAUCUUUGCCAUUAUUUCAUUAAAAUUCAUUUUAUUUUACCAACUUGGCAUGCCACCUGUGAUUGGUUUGUUAUUUUAGGGUUGCUUUCAUAAAAAUUAUUGCAAAUAUAGUGAAUGGCAAAUAUAUCUCUAUAAAGUUUAACUUUUAUAUGUUGUCUUUGCAAAAGUUCAAAUAUUUUCAAAUAUGUCCCUGUUGUUAGAAUCCCUUAGAAAAAUUUAGUUAAUCCUAGAUUAAAUACUUAACUUUGGUUAGUUUUUGAUAUUUUUACCCUCUUUAUAUUAUACUAUUAUGAUUUUUGGAGGAAUAUAUUUGUGAUGAUAAAAUUGAAACUAUAAACAGUUCUCUAAUAAUUUUCUAACGGUAGCAAAUUAGAUAGAUAUAUUUGAAAAUAUCAGGACUUUUGUAGGGAUAACAUAUGAAACUUGAUUUUUGUAGGGAUAUAUUUAUCAUUUAUUAUGUUUGUAGGGGCCUCUAUGAACUUAAUUCUUUAUUUUAUAUUAACUUUUCUUCUAAAUAAUCCUUCCCUUUUCAGUUAACAAAAUUCAUAAUUUUUUUUUUCUGUUUUUUCUGAGGGAAAUGCCUAUAGGAAAAUAUUCUUUCUUUAUAAGGCUUGACGGAAAAAAUAUUAUUUUUCUGAUUAUUUUCUAUGAGAUUGAUCGUUAAGGUAAUAUAAUAACAGUAUAAUAUUCGUUAUUUAAUGAUAUAAAUUUUUAUUUUCUGCAAUUUUUGUCUCUGUUGGCCAUUAGAUUGUUUCCCAAACCUAAUCUUCGAAAAUAAAAUAAGGUAAAAAAAAAGUAUAAAGCUUAUUUAAAGUAUAGGCUACUUUAAAUUAUUAGUUAACCAAUCUUUCAAAAUUUUAAUUUUACUAUCAAAAUUUUAAUUUAUUUGAUUUGAGUCGAUUAGUGACACUUUAACUUUAAAAUUUAAAUGUAUCAUUUAUUUUUACAAAUUUAAUUAAUACAUUUAUGUAAUUCUUCAAAUUAUAAAUUUAUUAAAAUAAAUAAUUAGCUUAAAUUUUAAAUACUCUUGAGUGGCUCAAACCAAACAAUUUGAAAGUUUGGAUAGUAAAAUCAAAAUUUUAAAAGCUGAGAAGCUAUUUCAAAAUAUUUAUAGUUCAGAAAAAAUUUGUACAUUUUUAUCCGUUAUUGCGCUCACCUGUGAGAUUUAAUAUUUUAUUAGCUUGAGUAUGGAAUUUUGCCUAUUGAAAGGAGCUUUCAUGGGCUCCAAUUUAGAUGAUGACCCCCAUGCUUUUCUUUUUUUUUCUUUUUUUUUCUUUUUUUCUAUUUUGUAUCCGUUUAUUAGUGAGAAAGAAAAAGGAAAGCAAUUUUAACAAAUCAUAUGACUACUAUGGAAUGGCCACAAGGGACAAAUUGCCUCAAAGUGAACAUCAAACAUGAAAAAGAACAAAAAGUUAAAAUUGGUCAAUGAUAGCAUUAAGGGAAAUGAUUUGGGUUUUCUAUACCAUAUUAUUGGUAUCUAUAAUAUAGAGGCUUUUGCGUGGUUCAUAGGCGCACGAUGAUAAUAUGCCAUAUGAAUUUACCAACAUCUCAUCACCCACAUAUAAGAAUCAUAUUCUGCAAGGCUUAGGAGCUAUUUGGUUAGAUGUAAUUAUAAAUACAGUGUAGCUGGAGAUACAUAUAGUUGACAAUACAGCAAUUGCAACUAUUUACAUACUGUUUGGUUAGAUGUAGUAGGAAGCGCUACAACUAUAAAUAAUUUGUUUAGUUACAUGCAGUUAAUAAAUAAUUUUUAAAAAUUUAUUAUUUUAUAUAUAUGAUGGUGAAAUCACCUUCGAUGGAAAAAAAAAAAAUAUUUAAAAAAUAAUUAAGGAGGUAAACAUAUCUUUUAUUUAAGGUUAUUUUCUCUAACUGUUGCAAUUAAAACUGUGGUCAAUUUGGACGUAAUUCUAACUGCUGCAGUUGAGCCUUCUCCUGAUUCUAUUGCAGUAGUGAAAAUUAAAUAUAUCAAAUCAAAUACUGAAUUUAUAUUUUUAUACAGUUAUAACUAUAGUACAGUUGUAAUUACAUGCAACGAUACGUUCCCUUACGUUAUCCUAAAACUCAUUUUCACUCUCACAAUAUCCCACAAAGAAUAAAAAAAGAAAAAGAAAAAAGAUUGUACAACUAAUAUAAAAUAAUAAUAAUAAUAAUAAUAAUAAUAAUAAUAAAAUCUCUUUUAGCUAAGCACGAAUAUCUUCGCGUUCUUUCAACGGUCGCACGCACCGCACGAAUCCGAAUUACUGGCGCGCACUCCACCUCAAGAUUCCGUCCAUUUCGACCGUCCAAAUUGGCGGUAGCGAGAAUCGCCGCCCAUCAGCGACCGUUCCUCCCCGUUCCCGAUUACCACGCAACACACAAACGCGGGAAUCGGAUUCCCGUCGCCCCCCACUGGCAACGUUCCCAAUUCGAAGUCGGCGCCGGAUCGUUAUAUAUAUAACCCGCGGCUUCUCUUGAAUUCGGCAACGAGUCCUAAGAACCCGAGGCGGGUGUGUGUGGUUUCGGAGGUCGCGGAGAUGGCGUCGAGGAGGAUCAUCAAGGAGCUCAAGGAGUUGCAGAGGGACCCGCCCACUUCGUGCAGCGCAGGUGUUCGAUGAAAUGCCUCAAUGAACCCAAAAUACUUCUCUGUUUUGUUUCAGUUCCUCGAUUUCGUCCUCCUAGUUUCAAUUUUUAUCACCCCAAAAAAGUUUUGACCUGGGUUUCGAUUUCGUUACCGAAAUGAUAGACGCGGUACGAGAAAGUCUGGGUUUAGUCUUAACACCUCUGCUCACGUGCACAGACGGAAAAGACACCGACUGAAACCGAAGCACUGAGAACUGAGGCUAAAAUCGAUAGUACUAGAAAAUGACUCGGUAUUAGUCUUGACGCGAAUUGUGGAAUGCUUUGAAACGAUGGCUAUCGGUCGAACUUAUGGGACCAAAUUUUUAGUUAACCCUCUUAAUUUCUAAUGUAUGCUAAAGUUUGAUGAUGAGCUCUUCAUUUUUUUUUUUUUUAACUCUUUUUUUUUUUAAUUUUAUGCAGGGCCUAUAGCAGAUGACAUGUUCCAUUGGCAAGCCACCAUAAUGGGUCCUCAUGAUAGUCCAUAUUCUGGGGGUGUUUUCCUUGUGACUAUUCAUUUCCCACCAGAUUAUCCUUUCAAACCUCCCAAGGUAUUAGAUUACUAUUUUCCUCGAAAUACACACCCACACACACACACAUAUAUAUAUAUAUAUAUAUAUACAUAUAGAGAGAGAGAUGCGCUGGAAUGCUCGUAAUAGUAUUUGGGCUCUGGUACUAUCGAGUCGACGAUCCACACUGUUCACGUUGAUCUAGGCCAUUUAAACCUUAUAGGAAUUGAAUUUUAUAAUUAUUGAUAUCAUUUAACUUGUGAUCAAGUGGCUCCAAGACGGUGUAGGACAUUCUAAAUUAGUUAAAUUUUUGAUGGAAAAUUUUUGAAACUAUUUUAGAUCAAAAUGAAUAACCUUGAUCGCGAAUUUGAGAUUUCUGUUAUAGAUUUUUAGAGGCUUGUUCGUUUUCGGCAGUUCAUUUUGCGGCCACUUGAUGAACUAGAAAAUGAGUUUGACAAAUUAUGAAACUUGAUUUUUAUAAGAUUCAAAUACUUUAGAUCAACUUAAAUGGUGUGGGUCGUCAAUUCGGAUGUCCCAUCAUCGAAAAUGACUUAAUAGUAUCAGAACCCUAAUAUAUUAGGAGCUCAGGAAGAGGCAAAUGUGAUGUAAUUUGGGUGAUGUUGUGAAUUUAGGUGGCAUUUAGGACUAAGGUGUUCCAUCCAAACAUCAACAGCAACGGCAACAUCUGCUUGGACAUUCUCAAGGAUCAGUGGAGCCCUGCUCUAACCAUUUCUAAGGUUUUUUUUUUGUUUUUUUUUCUAAUUUAUACCAAGUUCUUUUUCAGCAAUCGGAGAACCGACUUUCGUCCUAGUUCUCAGUAUCGAGGAAACUAGAGAGAAAACUUGUUUGAUUGAAUUUGUGCGUACAUUUUUUUUUUUUUGCUGUUCUCUAGUAUCUCAAGCUUUAGAAGAAAACCGAAACUCAGUUGAGUUCUUGUUCAUCAUCUGCAGGUUUUGCUAUCCAUUUGCUCAUUGCUGACCGAUCCAAACCCCGACGAUCCGUUGGUCCCUGAAAUCGCUCACAUGUGCAAAACCGACCGGUUUCGAUACGAGUCCACGGCUCGCAGCUGGACCCAGAAGUAUGCCAUGGGCUGAGCCAAUAGGCAAUAAUUAAUUCUGAUUCAAUUCCAUGAAUAAAUGUUCACCAAAAGAAAAAAAAAAAACAAAACCAAAACAAAAAUCCAUGAAUAAAUUAACUGUGCCUAGAUAACUACAAAAAAUCUACUAGUUAAUGAGUAUGCUGAGAUAUUGAGUUCAUUGUUGACAUUAUGGACAUGCCAUGUUUGUUAGAAUUAAUAUAAGCAAUUUACAAUUUUGAGUUAAAUUGUUUGUUGUUACAAUGAUACUAUGUAUGGUCCAAGGUUCUUCUAUGAAUUUUGAGUGCUUUAAUUAUGUGAAAGAUCAUAAUCCAACUUGGUACAAGAUGUUAGAGGUUAAUUUGCUUAGCAAAGAACCCAAAUUUGCGGAAAUACUUGAUAGAUGAUGAAACUCCCACAGGGAGUCAGUGGAGGAAACUGCUUCCCUUCUUUUCUGUUCUUCUUCCCUAUUAUUUUAUCCCCUCACACUUCAGACAUGAAUAUCGGAACUUAUGUCGAUUACGCAACUACGAAGUUAGUUUUGUUCCAUGUAUAUAUCAAACUUAGCUGUUGUGCUUUGAUGCCCUUGGUAACAAAGCAACCCUUGUUCGACAUAUUCGAAACUUCUGUAGAAGUGCUGUUUGAGUACGGUCGCUCUCAGAAGUGAUUUGGACCGAGCAGAGAAACUCUAGAUUUCUUGCUUGCCCUGCGGAGAUGGCUGAAGCGAGUGCUUCUCGAUUGCUUCCCUUUAUGCUGCUUCCGUCUCUCCUGCUCGUGUUCUGCGCCGCCCGAGGUCUCUCUCCCUUCGCAACAUUUGCUUCUCUCUUUAUGUUCUUCUUUCUCUCCCUUCUCUUUUUCGUCCCUUCCGCCGCUUUUAUCAACUGUAGAAUUGUUCAGUUCGAGCCCAGGGUUCGCAUCAGAAAUUAAAAGGAGAAGCUCAAAGAGGGUGUAACAGAACAAGUCCAUGAUAAGUUUGUUUAAAAACAACUGUAUGUAGCAUAUUAAGAUAAAUGACAAAAUAUGCAAAAAUGAAACAUGUUGUGGCAUUUGUACGAAUCACGAGAGCUCUUGUAAUAACUUCUCUACUGUUAGGAAUAGCAAUACAAUGUUCAUAAGAUGCUUGAGAAAAAAAAAGCCCCGCGUAAUGAAAAGUGUUCCUCCUUUUUUUUUUCCUCGUAUAAAUCUGCGACUUCACAUCGCACAUAAAAACAAUAGCAAAUUUUUUUAAAAGCAUCAUUUUGCUGUAAAAUUAUCAUUUUAUUGCUGAUCUGAUUCUUUGUGAUCCUAAAUGGCACAAUAAAAUUGGUUUGAUGUGGCUUCUAUGAACUCGUCAAUCAUCCAAUUGUGAGUGUGUUUAUUUUACUUACAUGGCAAUUGCAUAAUGUUUUCGUGGAUAUUCUCCCAAACUUUAAUUAAAAUAAAUAUUUAUUACAAUUGAUUGAAAUUUGAAUUAGAUGUGAGACAGAUGAGAACAUUACUAUGUCCGACCCAACCUGGAUUCGACCCAAAUGCACCAUUUUCCAAGCAAAAGCUCAAACCACCAAGGCAUUUUCUUUUUUUCCUUUCUUGCACCAGAAAUUUUUUUUUUUUCCUAAAAAAAACAUCCACAUGCACUAGCGCUGACAAUUCAGCUCGCUGUUCGUAAGUCAGUUUGUGUUCGUCUCGAAAUGAGCUUGAGAUCGAAUUAGCCAUUCAAUAAACGAACUGAAGAUGAGCUUAAUUUUUCAGCUUGACAUCUUAACAAACUGAGCACAAGCUGGGGUAAGCUCGUUACUGUUCGGCUCGAUAUACCUCGAAUAUAAUAACAAAAAAUUAGUUUUGCACCAUUAGGAUCUAUCAUUUUAACCAAAUCCAUCUCUUAAAUUAUCUUAUUCUACCAAGCACUAACUCAACUAUAGGGGAUGACUAUUAUCCUAACUCUAUAAAUCUUCAUGCAAAGCUGAAAAUCUACAAAUACCAAUAACUUUGUAUUUUGAAAACAUAGGAGCUCAAUAUAUAUAUAUAUAUAUAUAUAUAUAUAUGAUAGGGCUACUAUCCUAUUAAUAGGAUAGUAGCACUUGUCCUAUCAAAUUAUUCUUGAUAAUAGAGAUUCCGAAUCGAUGAUCGGAGUCGUUAACGUUGAUCUAGAGUAUUCGAAAUAUCUAAAAACUAAAUUUUAUAAAUUAUAAAAAUUAUUUACAUGAUGAUCAAUGUGUCGUAAAAUUGACAAUUUUUGAUUGUCUAUAUGAGCCGCUUGCUUGUUUAACAGUGUAGAGUAAUCCAAAUUGCUUGAAUUUUUGAUAGAAAAUUCUUUAUACUAUUUAGAUAAUAUUUGAUAACUCUGAUCAUGAUUUGAUAAACUCUAACCUCUAUUUUAAGAAGGUUAUUCAUUUAUGACCGUUCAUUUUUUCGACUCUUCGAUAGACUUGAUAAUGAUUCUCAAAAAUUACAAAAUUUGGUUUUUAAAUAUUUCUUAUAGUGUAGAUGAAUUUCAACAGCGCCGAUUAUUAAUUUGGAGUGUCGAUCAUUCAAAACCAUUUGAUAGGACAAUGAUCCCAAUUCUAUUAAUAGGAUAGUAGCCGGACUAUAUAUAUAUAUAUAUAUAUAUAUAUAUAUAUAUAUAUAUAGAAUUAGGCUGGAAUACUAUUAAUAGUAAAACAUUUUUUUUGCUAUCAAGUUUUUAACCCUUGAAUGAAAAAUUGUAGGGUCAGAAUAAUAUUAGUCGGUUAGAGUUGAGUGGUUCCCCUAGGGUUGAGUGGUCCCCACUGGGUUAUAGUAUUUNAUAUAUGAGUUCGAGUACUAUACUCUUACAAGUAGUAGCCUUUUGUAUUCAAAUUUUCAACUGUUAACUCUAUCUAUUUAAUUAUUUUUGUCUGUUAGAUUAUACUAUUCAACCAACCACUCACUCAACUCUAGAUGACCACUAUCAUGCUAACCGCACGUUCCUUCGUUCAAAUGUAAAGAGAUUAAUAUUUUAUAAAUUCAAUUAUUAGAUUAAAAUUCUAAUUUUCUAAUUUUUUUUCUUUUUUCAACUUUUCACCUAGUAAUAGAGCUAAUAAUCUAACAUAUUAUUCGUAAGUCAACCCCUAUUCGUCUCAUUAAUAAACAAGUCGAACACAAAAUAAAUUUUUUAGUUCGAUAUUUUAACGAAUUAGUCCGUACACACACGCACUCAAAGAAUAUUAUUCCUUGCUUUUUGUGUAAAUUAGGACCACAAAGAAUAUUAGACACAUUGAGGACCACACACUUUAGGACUGUCACAUUGGCCCUCCUUUGUUGACCCUGUAACUAUCGUAUUAUAUUUGGUAUCAGAAUCAAUUUGUCACUCAAAAGUAUAAUAAGUUUAAGAGAGAUCUUAUAUUGUUCUGUGACUUUAAGUUAUAUAUAUGAUUGAUUUAAACGGAAAAAAUCUGUGAUAUUUCAAUAAUUUUAUAUUAAAAAAAAGGGAAAACUUCAAAAACCCCCUCUGUGGUUCCAUACUUUUUUAUUUUAGUACCCUCUGAUUUAAAAUGUAUCAAGUUAGUACCCUGUGGUUUCUCACUUUAUCACUUUAGUAUCCUGUGGUUUAAAGUGUAUCAAGUUAGUACCCUGUGGUUUUGCACUUUAUCAUUUUAGUACCCUGUGGUUUCACACUUUAUCACUUUAGUACCCUAUAGUUUAAAAAACCACAGGGUACUAAUUUGAUACAAAAUCAAAACCACAGGGUACUAAAGUGAUAAAAUGCAAAACCACAGGGUACUAACUUGAUACACUUUAAACCACAGGGUACUAAAGUGAUAAAGUGAGAAACCACAAUGUACUAACUUGAUACAUUUUAAACCACAGGGUACUAAAGUGAAAAAAAUUGAGACCAUAAGGGGGGUUUUUGAAGUUUUUUCUAAAAAAAAUGAAUUACGUUUGGAAAGAAUAUAAGAAUUAAAGAUUUAGUUCUAAUACCUAAAUUUAAGCAUAUUGGAUCAAAUGCCUAAGUCCAAUAAAUUAUUAGUGCUAAUGAGAUAAAAUUUUGGUAAAAGCCUAUAGAACUCAUAUGAAUUAUGGGCUAUUCCGAUUUGACUAUACAUUCAACGUUUCAAAAUUUUAAUUUUACUAUCCAAUAUCUCAAAUUGCUGGACUUCAAAAUUUAAACAUGUUAUUUAUUUUUAUAUAUUUAGUUAGCAUAUUUCAUGUAAUUCUCGUAACUAUAAAUUUAUUUAAAUAAAUAAUUAGUUUAAAUUUUAAAAUUAAAUAUCAUUGCUAACUCAAAUUAAACAAAUUAAAAGAUUAAAUAGUAAAUCGAUUCAAAAUGAUCUAUAGUUCAUAUAAAUUAAUCUCACCGCUCACCAAUAAAAACUUUUAAAAAAAAAAACAUACUUUGUAACGCCAAUAUAUUAGAGGUGUUCGGCUCGUUUUCGACUCGAUACUUUAAUGAACCAGCUCGUCUUCGGCUUGUUUAGUAAAUGAGCCGGUCCCAGCUCGCUCGUAUUUGGCUGGUUGACACUCCUACUCAUGUGUAUGAUUUUCGUUGCAAACUCUAUCACCAUAUCGCCGGCGAAGGCAUAAGUAAGAGGAAGGUGUGGUGAUGCUAGUGGAUGGAUUUGGUUCCACCAUUGUUAAGAAUUUUGAAGCUCGAGAGGAUGAAAUGAAGAAGACAAGGAAAUCGAGGGACUCAAAGGUGGAUUUUUAAUUUUUUUUUGGUGGAGAAUGAAUGGAUCUAUCAGGUGCGGCGGCGACAAAUCCGAGAAGUAUAAUUGCAUAGCUCAAAAUUUUUGGAGUAAUAAAAAUAAAAAAAUAAAAAUAGGAAUAGAAAUUUUUAUAGAAAUAAAUUUGCAGAGGAGUGCUUAGUGCAGAAAGCUGUACGUAAUUAUCACAAAACUUUUUUUUUUUUCCCUCCAUGACUGAUUUUUAUUUUGGCUGAAUUACAGAAAAUUUUUCGUCGAUCUCCGCUUUGACUCCUGCCAUCAGUAUUCCGUUAGGAUUCCAUUUAUAUUAUAUUUUUUAUAUCCAAAUUAUUUUAUCCAAAAUAUUUUUAAAACUCUCGCCCUUCCUCAUUCUCGGCCGCACUGCCUCGCUCUCUGCCGCCUCGUUAGGGGUAAUUUUGUCAUUUUAUCGUAGCGUGCUCCUUGUGAACAUUUUUUAUUUUUUAAGACGGUAAAGGAUAAAUAUUUGAAUGACAGAAAAAAAGUGAAAAAACGGAUAUUUAUAGAAAAGUUUUAUGUAAUUUAGCUUUUUAAUAUUUAUGAUUUUUCGAAAAUCCAAACACCAUCUAAACCAACAAUGAUCGAGCGGUUCAUUGUUGAUGCGGUGAACCAAGUCCAUGGAAUUGUUGAGCUUGUGUUAUGUUCACUCACUGUGUAUCUCUCUCUCCCCCUCUCCCUCAAUAAUUUUCCGAUAUUUCCAUAUACAACUUUUUGUGACCUCGUUUUCGCUUUUUGCUAAAAAAAGCUCAUACCUUUCCCCUUCUUCAAUGGGGCCACUCGUCCGAGAAUUUCUAGGGUUUCUCUCGGAAUCCUCUUGAUGCAUGCAACGACCCGAGGGCCAAAAUCCAGGGUUUUGAUUCGGUUUUGAUCCGUACCAGAAUUUCCUUUUUUUUUUUUUUGUUUUCUCUUAACUUUUAGCAAUUUUUACUUGCGAUUUGCGUGGAAAAUCCCUUUUUUUUUUGGCGUUUGUAGUUGUAGCAAUUUCCCCCAUAAUCCAUAAAAUUUGUGCCCAAAGUUCGGAUUUUUAGUCGCCGGAUGAGUUUUUGAUCGGAGGAAAAUAGUUUUCCGGCGCCCUCGAUCGCGAUCAUGGAGGAAUCCGAGCUCGAUUUCUCCAAUCCUGAGGUUUUCUCCAGCCAUAAUGUGGGCAACACGCCCACAAGCUGUUCGAUGGAUAGCUUCUUCGACGAGAUCCUCAAAGACACCCACCACCACUCCUGCACCCACACCCACACCUGCAACCCCCCCGGGCGCGACCUCUCGCACACCCACACCUGCUUCCAUGUGCACACCAAGAUCCUCUCCAGCCCCGCCGAUCAAUCCGCGGACUCGGCUGAGAAGAGCCCGUCGAAGAGCCCGUCAGCGUCGUCGAAGAAGCGCCCUUUCGGCAACCGCGAGGCGGUUCGCAAGUACCGUGAGAAGAAGAAGGCGCACACGGCCUCGUUGGAGGACGAGGUGGCCCAAUUGCGGGCGAUGAACGAGCAGCUGACGAGGCGGCUCCAGGGACAAGCCGCGUUGGAGGCGGAGGUGGCGAGGCUCAGGUGCCUGCUUGUUGAUAUCAGAGGGAGGAUUGAGGGGGAGAUCGGAUCUUUUCCGUAUCAGAAGAUCGCGAGAGCUGGUGCGGAGGUUGGUGGGCGAUCGGUUUCGGAUAUGAGGCAGGGGAAUUUGAUCGGCGGCGGCGGGGGGGGCGGCGGCGGCGGUGCCCAGGUUGUGAAUUCUUGUGAUUUUCCGUGUGAUGAUCAGAUGUACUGCUUUAAUGUGGGAGUACAGGGGAGGGCUGUGGGUGAGAAUGGCGCGGUGAACGGUCAAGGCUUCGGUGUCUGUGAGAUGGCCAAUGUCGAGUGCAUGGGGAAUGGAUCGAAGAGCUUUGUUGGUUGCGGACCUGGGAGUGUGAUGACUGCGGGCUGUUCGUCGAAUGCUGAGAAAAAUUGAAGGUUGGACAUAGUAUAUUCUUGUGAUAUUUUUGUCUCAGAUAUGUGGACUUACCCCAUAUUGUUUGAUGCACACAGAUGAUAGGUUAUUACUAAUUUGGUACUCCUAAAUAGGAGUUAUGCAGGAGUUGGUACUGUGGUGUUCGUUACUUUUGUUAGUUAAUGCAUGUGUUGCUUUUAGUUUUUGUAGGAAUAACUAUUUGUAUUUUACCCUUGCCAUUUGUUGCUGUUUCAUUUCGGAUGGACCGUCCUUGUGUUAAUUUGUGACUGUACUCGGGUAACAUUUUUUUCUUGUAGAAAGGAUCAAUCGACCCGUUGCUGACCCACAUGCAAGCAGUAGUCAUUAUAUGAAGUAGAUCUGCCAUGAUCUUUAGUACUUCUUGAAUAUUCGGUCUAUGCACUAAUGGUAGAGAAAUCCUCUGGAUGUUGAGUAUGUCAUGCUUGUGGUAACCAAACGGUCUAUUCGAUAAUCAGUGAUGUGAUAAUAACUGUAAUGUUGUGUAAAAUAAAUUUUGGUCUGAUCGUCUGUUGUAAUCUUCGUCUGUUAGAAAUAUUCAUUUAGCAUCUCAAGGGAGCUUUCUUAUUCAGUUUAGCCAUUGUUUUAUUAUAUAGUCACAAUUCUCUUAGCCCUAGUUAAAGCUUGUGAGCUCAACUCUUGCAUUAAUUUUUCAAGCAUAUACUAGUAGCUUACUUGUUUGGAUAACUUUAGCUAGAGGGCCAGAUUUUGGUAUGAUCAACAAUACAUCCACUCCAAGAAGGUUGGAUAAUGGCAUGAAGUAGAAAUGUUUUAGGACAGGGUUUUGGUUUGUCUGAAUGCUAGAUCGGUAACCCUGCAACUGCAAACAGUACUUGAUGUCUAUCUUCUUAGAACGUGUAAGUGAUAACAGAUAUGAAGCUGCAUGUGUACUAUUCUAGCCUUCAAACUAUAGUUGUUAGAACCACUAAGCCCUCUUUUUGAUCAAUGUUGAGUCUGUGUUUAAAGGCUGUAACUGAAGAGUACUCUCUCUCCCGUCGCAUGCGCGUGCGGGUGCGCAGGCAUGCAGGGACGAUGCUUUCAGAAAUGGAAAGUAAAGACAAAGGUCUAAAGUGCUUUCGGUUUUGAUGCAUCGCUUGAUAAUGAAAUGUCUGAAACAGCAGUAACGCUAACCUUUCAUCGUUGGCUUAACUGAAUCAUCAAUUAUUAUUAUUAUAUGCUUGCGAAAACUUCUCUUAAUACAUUUUCCCAGUCAUCUGUGUAUUGUUCACUAACCAAUAUUUUCUUGGUCUUUCUCAGGAACUCAUGCAACAACGCGAGGUUCAUACUAUGCAAACAACAAGCUGAUCUGACGCUUUUAUUAGCGGUAGCGAACUAUCUAUGAAAUAUUCCAUCGACUUUUUGUAGAUUUUCCCCCUUAAUUUAGCGUUGGUAUUCAUAUUUGGUGUUCUUAUGUUCAGUAGAAAUAUCCUCUAUCAUUUCUUUCAACCGCCGAAGUUAACUCCUGCGUUCUGGGUGAUCUUUCUUUGAUUGUCCUUUUUCUUUUCUUGGUUCUUUGUAUGUAUAUUUUUCAGGAAGCAACUCUUUAAUCAAUCUACGCGCCUUAUUUGCUUGGCCGUUGUUGUCUGGUAUGGAUCAUCAUGCGCAUAUCGUUUCCUGAACAUGGAGGUUAUCGAAAACUUCUUCAUAUAUGAACAUGUUAGUUCCCUUAAGAACAGCCUACAUGCACUUUCUUUGAUCUACCUAUAACCUAGAUUAAAGAUCAUUGGAACCAUUGCGAAGUGUGGAGUGGUUGGAUUUCAUGUUUUUCGGCUUCUGUGUUAUGCUCUCCCAUGCAUGUUUUGUUAUUAGUAUUUUUAGACCAUUAGCUUGAAUCUUGUUUGGGCAUCAUCACAUGCAGGUGUAAGAUCGAUUUGUAAAUGAAAACUUGUAAUUUGUUCCACUAUUUUGCCCCAUCAUUUUCUCGUUUAUCUGGGCUCUGAUCUGUAAGAGAGCUUGAUCAGUUCUCUUCAAGCUUUGCUUUCUCUAAUGAAAAAUGUGUACAUCUCAAUCCAAACAAAACAAGCUAGUGCUAAGCGAUUAAUAUUUUUAUUUAAGGAGUGAUGAAGAAAUUGAGAUCAAGUAUUUAACUAUUAAUUUGCCCCUAGACACUAAAGCUAACUAGUAGUUGUUUGAUAAUGAUGAAUAAUUAUAGUUACCAAAGAUCAGCUAUGCAUACAUUUUACCCUACUUUUAUUAAAUAUUUUGCAUUGCUAAUAAAGAAUUCUUAAAUUAUCAUCUCGCAUCUAAAUAGUACUGCCAUGGUGUAUUCUAAAUUAUUGCCCUUAUAGAUAGAUAGUUAAUGUAUGGAAAAAUUUUGAUUUUCUUAUGUACUUAAAAAAGUGUUACAUGAAAUAUGAACUUAGUUAAAAUGUACAGAAUUUAGGUGAACUACAUUUUGAUUCGUCUAUUCAACUUUUUAAAACUUUAAUUUUUGCUUCCAACGUUUGAAUUUGUUUAAUUUAAUUUAUUUGAUGACCUUUCAACUAUAAAAUUUAAGUCAAUUACUUACUUUAAUAAAUUUAUAGUUACAUGAAUCAUAUAAUAUAUAUAGUAAUUAAAUUCGUAAAGAUAAAUAAUGUAAUUUAUUUGAUAACUUUUCAGCUAUAAAAUUUAAGCCAAUUACUUAUUUUAAUAAAUUUAUAAUUAAAUGAAUCAUACAAUAUAUAUACUAAUUAAAUUCGUAAAAAUAAAUAAUGUAUUUGACUUUUAAAAGUUAAAGAAUUAUUAACAGACUCAAAUCAAAUACAUUGAAAAGUUAGAUAAUAAAAUUUAAUUUUUAAAAAUUAAAUAGUCAGAUCCAUCAAAAUAGAUGAUAAUUACAAUAAGCUUUAUAUGCUUUUACCUAUGAACUUUUCUAGCAUUUUUUUCUUAUUUUGUUAAUUUAUUUAUAUUAUUUUAAUAUACAUAUAAAAUAAUAUUUAAAAUAUUUAUUUUUUUGCAGUAACAUUAUUCAGGUCAAACCAAAUUACCAAGCCGAAUAGACCAAAAUCAGUUUCAUACAACUCGAUUUGGUACGAUUUUAAAAAUAUAAUUUUUGUUAAAAAAAAAGUCUAAUUUACUGAAAUUUUAGUACUCUAAUAUAUUAGUCUUAAUUCUUUUUAAAAUACAUAUAUAUAUAUAUAUAUAUAUAUAUAUAUAUAUAUAUAUAUAUAUAUANAUAUAUAUAUAUAUAUAUAUAUAUAUAUAUAUAUAUAUAUAUAUAUAUAUAUAUAUAUAUAUAUAUAUAUAUUAAUUUUAGGAUUGAGGCCGGUAUGCUUAUGGAAGUACGGAGCUCUCCGUAUUUUCAAGUUGUUUUCGAUGUUGCGACUUUUGAAUUGACAGUCGGCUCUAUUAGACUUGAUCUAGAAUAUUUGAAGUAUCUAGAAAAUAAAUUUUAUAAUUUUUCGAUAUCGUUUGUCUAGUGAUUGAAGUGACUCAAAAUCAAUAAUUUUAAUGGCCGUGGUGAGCCGUUUGCAAGUUUAACAGUAUAGAAAUAUCCAAAUCACAUAAAAUUUUGAUAAAAUAAUUUUAUACUAUAUAAAAUAAGAUUAAUAUUUUUAAUCUAAAAUUUUAAUAUCAUAUCAUUUUUUUUGUAAAAUUUUUAUUUUUAACCAUUAAUUUUGAGUCCCUUCGAUCACUAGACAAAUAAUAUCGAAAAAUCGUAAAUUUUAUUUUUUACAUACUUUAAAUACUCUAAAUCAAGCCUAACAGAACCCAUCAUCAAUUUGAAAAUCCAAACAUUAAAAAUAAUUUGAAAGUACAGAGUACUCCGUUCUUUCAGAAGCGUACUAGCCUCAUAAUUUAACACGUUAGUCACGAUGUAAUAAUAUUUGAGUACCGGAUUUGUGGUUAGGUUAAGAUUAAGUGGUCGAACCCCAUCAGUUCCUGUUCCCGCAUCCGAGCCCUAACCAAAGAAAGAAAGAGAGAGAGAGAGAGAGAGAGAGAGGGGGGGGAAGCAUCGAGCGGCGGCGGUGGGGGUCGCAUUGAGGGUACGAACCGAUCUUGAAUCUCCCCUCAUAUUAGUUUAUAUGUGCCAUUGUAAUUCUAUUAAUUCUAUUAUGUUGUUGUAUUAAUGGUGUUGUGUUAACUAGUUCUUUAAUUCAUUUCAUUGGGUGUGCCUUUUAUUAGGGUUUUUUUUUAGGGUUUCUCAUGUAGUUAUUAAAAAAAAAGGAAAAAGAAAAGAAAAGAACCUUAAAUUUUAGGGUUUUUGGUAUAUAUUCAUGCUUGAAUCACCAUCACUAUUAUUACUACAAUCUAUUUGCAUGUUGUAGUGAUAGGUAAACUUGGUAUUGGAGUAUUACUCUCUAACGCUUCUCUCUCUCUCUCUCUCUCUCUCUCUAUAUAUAUAUAUAUAUAUAUAUAUGUAUAUUUGUAGAGUGUUGAGCUGGAAUGCUAUCGGUAGCAAACGGGCUAUGAUGCUACCGAUUUGUUUUCGAUGCUGAAGCUUUCGAAAAUCAACGAUCGGCACCGUGGCAUCGUUGAACAUGAUCUAUAACACGUGAAGUAUUAUAAACCAAAUUUCAAUUUUCGACGUUAUUGACUUAAUGAUCAAAGGGUUGUAAAAUUUAAGAGAGUAGAGUCCAAGGCAAUUUAGGAUUAUUGAGGUUCCAAAUUUGAGCUUGAUCUGAGUCUGAGUUUGAACUCAGAAAGUCCAUAUCAGGCCCUAAAUUUGUUGAUUCAACAAUGGUUUCGGUUUAUCAAGGCUCUGCCUCCGAGCCUGCUCUAAAUAUUAAUUUGGUGAAAUGGGUGUAUGAACUUUGAAGAUGUUAAUUUUACUACCUACCCUUACCUUUCUGUAGAUUUCGGUAAGAUUCUUUGAAAAAUUUUGUCAAAUUCUGUUGGACUCGAAUGGAAUGUUCUACUGAAUGCUAAUUGGGGCAUACUAAAUCGAACACAUUAUGAGGUAAGUGAACAAAAUUAAAAUUUUCGAGCAUAGGUACCCAUUUGAAAAUGCGGCAUAGUUUAGAUAUGGUCCACAAGUGUUUACCUAUGAAUUUUGUCUCAAAAAUCCUCGUUAUGGUCUUCUUGUAUAACUGUCGUUUUGAAGUUGAAAUAAUGAUCAAAGUAUAUAUGCUACUCGAGCAAGUCAAAGAGAAAUGUGCAAUUUGAAAUUUGUUAUAUGUAAAUUAAAGGACAAAAUAGGGAAAAGGUGUAUCAUUUGCGACAAUUAUGCAGAUAAUAAUGCGCACAAAAUAUUAUGUGAUGUUCUUGUUCCAUAUCAGUUCAUUUAACAGCAGAUAAGCAUGGAUGCUGAAGUAGAAGUCACAUACUUUAUUAACGAAAAUUUCUAAUCAUGUUAUGUGAAUCACCACGAGCCCACUUUUUCAUGCAUUUUGCGGAUGCAGGUUCACUUGAAAUGGAAGAUCAUUCUCACGGCACAGGGCUCUCGGUUUCGCGAGUUAAAGCUACUCUGCAACUCGGAUCGGAAUCGUAUUCUUUCGAUUCGGAGUCAGGGAUUCUCUCUCAACAGUUGGAUGCAAUGAAAGAGAAGAGCAUGGGCAUACUGAAGGAGUAUAUUACGAAGCACAAUGUCCCGAAUGACGUUCCCGACGAGCCUUUAGAAGGCUCCUCCGAGGAUGAUGCCGAGGAACUGAAUAAUCCACCCAAGAAAUCGAAAAAGCAAAACUGAUCGCACCUAUUUGGAUUUGUCGACGAUUUAGAAGCUUAAUGUUUUACUUUUCCUAAAGACGAUGAUGCAUGUGUCAUAUCCAUCCUUCUAUUGUUUAACUUCCAACUUGGAUGGAAAAUACUAAUGGGCUUAGUUUCAAUGUUGCCUCUAUUUAUACUUUUUUUGUCCUUUAAUUUCCAGUUUUCUGAGGCAUCUUACUGUUUGUGUUUUCGAGCUACUUCGAAGCCGAGAAUGAGAAACAUUUAUCUAACAUGAACCCUUUUCCUCCCCAGUUUUUUAGUAAGGAAAAUCUCUCUGCUUGAGAUUUGAUUUUUUGUUGCAAACUCGAAAUAAAUGUAAAAAAGUUUAUUACAGUAUUGAGUUUUGAUUAUUAGUUGGAGAUAGUGUGAACCAGCUUGAAAUAAAGAGCUUAAUUAAACUUUGCUGUACUGUAUCAGUUUGCUUUCUUUUGUGAUAUCUCAUCUAAUACACUUGAAUGUCAAUUGUGUUUGCUGAUACUGUAACGUCUCUAAUCCAAUGCAAGUAAGUAGAAAAAGCUCUGGACUUUCACUAGCUAAAUACACUGCGGCACCUCCUUAGAGUAGAAAAGCUAUUCCACAAGCCAGGCUAAAAAGGAGCAUACAAGCACUGCCGAAAAGUGUGGCCUGGCCUAAGAUCUAUCAAAUCCACAAAGCAAAGACUUCCUUGUACCAACUACUACCAUGAUAAUAUGGAGCAAUCCAUCUGCUCUGCCAUGCUGAAGAAGAUGAUCAAGAAUUAUAACAUGCGAAUCAAAUACUCAAAACUGGCGAGCUAUUGAAGAGGGGAAGGAGCAAGUAGAAAUGCGAUGCAAACAUCCCACAUUGAUAACCAUCAACAGAAGAUAGUUCACAGAGUGACGAGAAAUAUUAUCCAAAUGAGGUCGGUAGGUAGUCCUUCAAUGGUCUGCUACGCACAACCGACCAUAUUACAAGUUACAUAGCAACAUCGACUUCGUAAUAAGAGCUAGUCAGAAGAAGAAAGAGGCCUGCGAUUAUUCCCCCGAGCUAUAAACCCGCCCAUUAUCAUCUAUCAGGACAAUAGGUCAUCGUCAUACUGUUCACUCGAAGGCCCAUUGGUUCUCCCUCCGCACCUCCUCCUCUUCCUCGGGGGUGAAGUCGUUCUUUAUGUUGAACGUCUUGCGGAUCUCUUCGGGCGUCUUUCCCUUGAUCAUGUCAGCCACAGUUUGGCAGGUCAGGUCGAGCAGUCCCUUUAUGUUAAGAUAGUUUGCAGCCUGGAAGAAUUGGAAGGUAAUGAUCACCAAAAGAGAAGAAGAAAAAAAAAAAUCACAGGAAGAACUAAUUUAUUAAUAUUGAUGAGCAGGUCAAAGAAUAUAGCCAUAUAUGCAAAAAUGGUAAGGAAAAUGCCCACUCCAUAUAUGAGUAACAUAAAAUAAAGGGUAAACUUCAAAUAACCCCCUUAUGGUUUCACACUUUCUCACUUUAGUACCCUGUGGUUUAAAGUGUAUCAAAUUAGCCCCUGUGGUUUCACACUUUCUCACUUUAGUACCCUGUGGUUUAAAGUGUAUCAAAUUAGCCCCUGUGGUUUCACACUUUCUCACUUUAGUACCCUGUGGUUUAAAGUGUAUCAAAUUAGUACCAUGUGGUUUCUUUUUCUCUUUUUAUUAUCCAUUUCAUUAAUUUUUUUCGUUAAAUCAGUGACAAAGUUAAAAUUAAAGGGUACUAAAGUGAAUAUUCGAUAAACCUAGGUAGGGUAUUUGAAGUUUUUGGUAUAUAAUUUAACGAAAUAUUAACGGAAGAAAAAAAAAUCAGUAACAAAGUUAAAACUAAAGGGUGCUAAAGUAAAUAUUCGAUAAACUUAGGUAGGGUAUAUGAAGUUUUUUCUAUAUAAUUUAACGAAAUAUUAACAGAGGAGCCCACGAAAACAGAAAAAUGAAACCAUAGGGUACUAAAUUGAUGCAUUUUAAACCACAGGAUACCAAAGUGAGAAAGUGUGAAAACACAAGGUACUAAAUUGAUACACUUUAAACCACAGGGUAUUAAAGUGAAAAAGUGCGAAACCACAAGAGUGGUAUUUGAAGUUUUCCCUAAAAUAAAAGGCAAGAAAAGAAUCAUUCACGCAGUUAGACAAGCCUUAUGGAACUCACGAGACAUAAAAGAGUCUCAGCUUUGAUAUUUGUCCAAGUUAUACAUGCAUGAUAAUGCAUAGAGGACAAUUUAAAUGCUCUGUCAUAAUAAAUGAAACAAGCGCUAGAUUUUGCAUAAUGGAUAUAAGGACAAACUAAGUACCCCUGGCAUAAGGAACACAAAAAGAGCCAUCCAACUCAAGAAUAGUGAUGAUGAUAAAGAUAUGAACUGCUAUAAAAUGCCAAAAAAGGAGACGAGAACAGAUAAAGCUAACACUGUGGCUUGCUCUACUUUUCUAGUUUGUAGUUGAUGAUAUCGUGAUUCUAGCAUUUAGUGAUGCAGAAGAUUAAUUGCUUCCGUUGUACUUACAUUAUCCCCACUGUAAUGAUGUACAAUUCUAUCAUCUUUCGGAUUAAUGUUAACCCUUGUUAUGAUCCAAUUCAAUUCUACUUUGUUACCUAAUUUUUGUAGAUUUCCAAAUUUCACGAUUUAUUUCGUAUUUUUCUAUUUAACUGCUUUUUUCUUAUUGCUUAUUGUUUAAAAAUUAUCUAAUCCAUGACCACCAAUACUAAGCGAUAUACUUAUUAAUGAUACACGCAUAGCUUCAUCAAUAUUACUUUUCACUGCAUGUCAUUAUUUGUAGUGUAAUCACUUGUUAAAAUGACUGAGGCAUGGAUAUAGUUGGGAUUUGAAUACAACAUCACAUAAAGACUAGGAUAGCAUGAAACCUGGAAAUAGUACAAUCAGAUGUAGAAUGGUCUGAGGGACCAAUUUUGUUUUACUUCUGAUUCUUGACCAAAUCUAAAGAUGGUAUACCAGUUAUAGAUGAACUGAAACAAGAACUGACAGCAAGUUUCAGAAGACCGACAAGGAGUAUUAUACAAUCUAAUUGAAGAGAUUUAUUUUCAAGAGUCGAGAAAAGUUGGUUCUGUAAUUAGGAUAGCAUUAAAUACCGCUAAUAAGAGAUCCGAUGCAGACUUUUUAUUCACAUCACAGAAAGAAUAGAUUCUACAUUCGCUAGACUCUAACAAAUGUUACCUGGAGCUUACAAGAAAAUCUAUAUCCAUAGUUAUCCCUUUUGUUAGAUGCGUUAUCUUAGACACUAUGGACAUGUAUCCAAAUCAUUGUACUAAAAAUCUGAUAUUAACUACAUAUCAGUUAUCUAUAGCUCGGGUACAGCAGUUAAAGCGAAACCUUCAAGAAAAAAAAAAGGAAAAAAAUUGGCAAGCACAUACAAACCUACAAAACUCCAGAACUAUUAAAGAGGUAAAAUUUCUAUAAUUUCAAUAGAUAUAAAGUUAUAGUAAUAUAUAUGCAUCUACGAAAGCAUCCGCCAAAAGAGCCUAAAGUUCGAAUCAUAUGAAUGACAAAAAUGUAAAACUGAACAACAUUUUCUCUAUUUUAUCCUAUAAUAGUACUCUAUCCAGCUUGACCGCAUAUCUUGCUUCUUCUUGCUAAAUUAGGCAUGUGAUAAUUGCAUGUGUCAGGAGGAAGCAAUCUGACAAGUGAGCAACAAACUUCGAAGGACAUGCACUAAGUAUAGCACAUCUUGCAAUGAAAGAUAAUUAAUGUUUAGCACAUUGUACAACAAAUGUGACAAAACACCAAUCAUAAUAGUAUCAUCCUCUUCUGGAUACUUAUUACAGCACCCUUGUACAACAAAUGCAACAUGUAACCAAUCAUAGUUGUAUCAUUCUCUUCUGGAUACGUUUUCUAGCACAUUGCGCAACAAAUGCGAGAAAGGCACCAAUUGUAGUUAUAUCAUCUUCUUCAGGAUACUUUUUCCCUUCUCUAUCCUUCAUUUAUGACUCCACAUACUUCCUCCUAUGCCUUCCUAAAAUUCUUGCAAUGAACUUCAAUACAUAUCUCUAUAAUUAUCUCACGUCCCUCACUGUUCUUUUAUCUCCUUCAUCCCUACUGGUUCCACAUAUUAAUAAGUACACUUAAAUGUAGAUAUGUCAACCUAUGCUCCUAAUAAUAAUGUAAUAAAUCUUGCACUUCUAGUGCCGAAUAAAGGACUAAUAACACAAGUUUUGUUAUCAAGAGCAAUUUUACAAAAUAAAGGCCAACAGAAGAACAGUAACCAUUACGUGGAUGUUGAUGGAAACGUCGAAAAGUACGUGAAUCUUUAAAAAUACAUGCAAAAAUCAGACAACAUUAGCACAAACAAAAAAACCGCUGAUACAAUAAAGAGGAAAUAUCAAGUUCUCACUGUAACAUGCAUUAAUCUAUUCAUAACUGAACCAAACAUUUGGCCUCACAUUUCGCAUAUGAACGUAAAUCACCAUUUCCGAACAGAAACUGGAGAGCGAUAAUUGAAGCAACUAAUAUCAUGCAAACCCUAAUCGUAACAAAACAUACGAAAUCAGAUACAAAAGCCUCAAAAUUAGCACAAUAGAUAUAUGCCGAUGAAACCCUAGAAACCAAAAAAAUAUCCGAUCACAUGUAAAAAGGGAAACCGACAAUUCAAACCAAAGGGGGCGUGAGAUUCGAACCAGGAUGAGGUCGAAGAGGGUGGCCUGGUCGACCUUGACGAACUCCGCGUCCCACUGCUUGAGCUCCUCCUCGACGGCCUUGGAGGAGGAGGCGGAGUCGUCUCCGGCGCCGGUGCCGCCGCCGCCGCCGGCGGAGGGCUUGGCGGCGGCGGCGACGGCGGCGGCGUCGACGUGCCUCUUGCAGUACUCGAUCACCUUGGAGAGGAUCUUGGCGUUGACGUUGGGGACCGGGAUCCCGUCCUCGUCGUAAGCGUCCUCGAUCAGGUGCUUGAUCGUCUGCGACUCCACCGCCACCGCCUCGUCCACCUCGAAGAUCUCCCCGUCCGAGCUCUUCAGCGUUAUCUUCUUCGCCAUGGACGACCUCGAUGCUAGGGUUUUCUCCGCUAGGGUUUUGGAAACGCGAGAGAGAGAGAGGGAGAGUGAGAAGGGGGAAGAGGUGAUGAAUAGUACGGAGUGGAGAGAGAGAGGAUCGUUUUUCUUUUUUCUUUUUUUUGUUUUUGUCUAUUUCUUUUUCUCGGUGUGAUGGAUAAAUGGAUAGAAUAGUAGGGACCGUCGGAUAAGAGGAACAUUAGCAGAUCGAACGGCUAAUGUCACUCGAUCAUUUUUCUAUUUUUAUUUUUAUUUUUUUCCCUUUCGCACUUUUAUAUUAUGAGUUUUUUCUUUUGUGCCGAGUGUUACACAUGGAUAAUUUUUAUAAUAUUAUUCAAAACAUAAAUUAAUUUUUCAAAAAAAUUUAAAUUUUAAAUAAACAGAUUAAAUAAGAUUAUAGAAAUAGCUAUAGAUAGAUGAAACGACGGUAUACUCAAAUCUCUUUUUUAUUUUUAUCUCAUUUCAUGACAGUUUAAACAUUUUUAUUAUAAAUUUUAUUAAUUAUUUUAAAUAAGAUUAUGGUGUGUCAAUAAUUCAGUUUACCAUGUAACUAAUUUCAUAUAUCAUGCAGAAGACGUAAUAUAAUUCAUUAGUAUAUCUAAUUAAUUUUGUCUAAAUAAAAUUAUUUAAAGGUUGAAUAUGUAGGAAUUUUUUUUCUUUUUUUAGUAAAAUUUUCAUUUUAAAACAAUUUGAAAAUUAAAUUCGAGUUUUUGAAAAUUCAAAACAGAAAUUAAAUGAUAAAUGUUGUAGAGAAAAUAAUUAGAAAAGACCUGCGGAUCGAGACGUGUAGAACACUAUUCUAAAAUCAAAAUUGCCCCAACAAAGUAUUAGAAAGACAAUAGUAAGAUUGUCCUAAAGACUGUUCAUGUGUGAGGCUUCUCAGUAAUCACUUCCAGCAAUACAACGUCCAUGUUCCAUCCCAUCGGUUCGCUUUCAAAGUAGCGUAAGAUGAACCCAACAAGUUUAGUAAAUCCAACAAAGUAUUAGAAAGUUUGAUGAAACUCAGCGCAAAAGAUCAAUGGUAAGGAAAAGAUGUUUGGUUCUUAGGUGAGCUUCGGUGUAGAUUAAAACUCAUGCGACCUUUCUUAAAAAUAUCGUAGGAGGCUAACGUGGUACAACGAGUCAAUUACGUGUAGCGCAACGGUUAAGCCUCCCAAAAAUUAAAGAUAAAAAUAAAAUAAAAUAAACCGGAUGCCUGGACCGCGCGCCGCCGCUCGUCCGGCCCUGCUCAUGCCGUGCGUGUAUUUAAAUCAAAAGCAUAACUUUUUUUUUUUUUUUUUUCAAACAACUAACAUAAAAAUAAAGGAGUAUAUAAAUAGUAACAAUAUACUUUUAGUUUCUGUGACUAAUACCGACCGUCCCUAUAGUAAGUGACAAAGGGCUUAGUGGUUGGUAACCGAGGUCCCAAAUUCGAAUUCUAGUUGAUUCAUAUUUCUAGCUAAGUUUAUUUCUAAAUGAAGUAAACGAAACGGAUGGCGUGCUNAAAAGUUUCUGCGACUAAUCCUCAUAUGUAAAAACUUUAGCACGGGCUUCCAAACAAGACCCAUGAAAUAUUGCGCUCCCCAAAAAGCCCAUGAAGUUUUAAAUCACCAGAAAAAACCUAAUUAAAAUCUAACAAAUACACUAAGCAGUGUGAAUAUCAUAUCACAUGCCUAUCCUAUGGAUUAGGAUAUCCUCUUUAGUAAACAAUGAACAUGUUCCUAAUAAAUAUGUCCAUGAACUCAAUCAUAUUUACUGGUUUUUUUUCGUUUUCUUAAUUUCUUUUCAAAAUAAAACUCAAAAGGUUAAUUAUAUCAAUCAAGUUCUUUUUUGUUUGAUCGUUUUUUAUGUUUCCCUCUGAAAUUAAGGCUUUGUUUAGUAUCUUGUUUGUGUUUUUCACUUAAAAAAAAAUAACAUUUCUAUAUAAAAAGUAUAAAAAAUAAUAAUAGAUUACUUGCAAUUCUUACAUCUAAGUUGUUUGCUUACCAAUGGAAAAAUAAAAAUUUAAAAGAAAUUUUUUAUUUUCUUUUAAACCAUUUUUUUUAAAAUAUGUUGUCAUGGAUCUAUCACUUAUUAGUCAAAAUAUAUUACAAACUAAAUAAUUAUGAUAGCAAGAGAAAAGUUUCAAAAUUUGUGUUUAAAAAGGGCGGAAAAAAAAAAAAGCAGGCCUAAAAGAAAAGAUAUUUCUUUGUAGAUUAGAGGGUUCAAUUAUAUCUAAACAUUACUUAGAGGACGUUUGAUUAGGUGUAAUUAUAAAUAUAGUAUAAUUAGAUAUGCAUACAGCUAGAAAUACAUGCUAUUUGAUUGGGUGUAGUUAAAAAUAUAAUAUAAUUAGAGAUGCAUACAGAUAGAAAUACAAUGAUUAUAGUAAUAUACAUCUUGUUUGGUCGCAAGCAGUAGAAAAUACUAUAAUUAUAGGAUUUGUUUAGUUGCAUGUGAUUAAAAAAUGGAUUUACAAAAUUUUAUUACUGUAUAUAUAUAUGAGGUGGUGAGAUUUAUCUUUUGUGUAGAAAAAAAUACAUUUUAUGUAUAAAAAGUUAUUAGAGAGACACCAACUGCUGUAGUUAAGACUGCGACUAAUUUGAGCAUAAUUUCAACUGCUGCAGUUGAAUCUGUUCGUACAGUUCCAACUACAGUAAUUGAAUCAAACACAUCAAAACAAACAUAGGAUUUAGAUCUGCAUGCAAUUACAACAGCACUACAAUUGCAACUACACAAAUACAACGAAGUAACAAAACAAAACAUAGCUUCACAUAAAGUUACAGAUCAACAAGAAACAAAAGACAAAGCUUCCUAGUUUUUCGAUCGAACUCCGGUAAAAGCAGCAAUGCACAAAGUCAAGAAAUUCUGUUGUUUACUAAGAUCAAUAAUCUUUCUACAUAUGAAAUUUUCUAGAUCUUGGCUUAUAAAGAUAACAUGACAAAGAAAAAAAAAAUUAAAAAAAAAAUAGAAGCAUUUGGAACAACAAGAGUGUACAAUUACAUUAGAAAUUCCAGCUCAUAAAUUCGCUGUGAAAUUAUAUUGUAGUUGUUUACAAAGAUCAUUAUCUUUGGCAAAAUGGAAGACAAAAAAGAGAGAUUGAAGAAAUAGCAGAUAUUCUGACUCCUAAAUUUUCAGGAGUCUGAGAAUAUACAUGCUGACAUUAAUCGACCCUGUGAGUUAACAAUUUGGUUUACUAAUGCAAGAACAAGAAUGCAGGCUUGCAUUUUAGUUAGCUACUAAGAAAACCUAGCAAGUGCAGAAAUGAUCACAGUUAGCCAAACCUCAGUCCAAGGCCCAUGAAACCUCCCUUCGCACUUCUUCCUCUUCCUCCGGUGUGUAGUCAUUCGAGACGUCGAAAGUCCUCCGAAGUUCUUCUACAGAUUUCCCUUUCAUCAUUUCGGCGACAGUUCGGCACAUCAGAUUUAGCAAACCCUCUAUUUCCAAAUAGUUAGCAGCCUGAAAUUGUCAUAAAAUGAAACUGCAAUGAAUCGUUGCGAUGAAAACAUGAUAAAAACAAAAAAGAACUCGGUAUAGCCAACUUGUGUUCCAUUCCUAUGUACCACCACCUUUGGACCAACCAACAUGAAGUGGGAGUGAAUGCUCUAAAGAUGUCAUCAAACAAAAUAUCCCAAUAACCAUCAUACUUUCCGUAUAACAUAAACUUUAAAGUGAAGAGUAAAGGUUUGCGAUGAUGCCCAUACGCUACGAUCUUUAUAAGGCAAUCUAGCUAGUCCAUUCAUAUAUUCUCUACAUCUUAGUCUUCAACUCAAAGUCAAUCAAUUAUGGCUAGUUAAUGUAUAUACCGACCAAAAUUAGCCUUCAAUAAUGAUCACGACCUUUAAUCCUCAUGCAUAUCAGAUAAAACACGAAAUUAUACAUUUACAAUGGAACUCUUUUUUCUGGAUUUAGCUUAUAUAGCUGGAUUCUCAAGUAUAUAGAUGAUAUACACAGGACUGGGAAACAAGAUGUCAAAACAAGAGUCUCAGAGUCUAGUCGAUUAAAAGAGAAUUCCUACUCUCAUAUUAUUAACCUCAACAAAGUUUGUAUAACAAAUGGUCAUUUCAUCUACAUUAAGAUCUCGUGUUAGUGGGAAACAAGUGAUCUUCUAUCUGAGCAAUCAAAAAAAAUAUGAAGGAGCAGUAAACUCGACAUAGGGGUUCCAGGGAAACAACAUGUUAACAUUGGGAAGAAAAAGAUUGUGCAAAUAGAGAGGCGAAAACUCGGAAUACAGCCAAAAAAAAAAAAGGAGAAAUUAUUGCCUCCACCCAGUGCAUCUGAACAUUUCAUGCGCCACACUCAGUAUUUGGUGAUCAAUAUCUUAAUACCACACUGAUAGACGCGAUCUACCACAUCUAAAACGCUAUGCGUAAAGUCAUAAGCUUUGUAAAUCUAAAACCUAGUUAUCUAAUACAAGAGAGACAUAGUUUGAUUCAUAAGACAUAAUUGUUUAGAAUCCAUGAACUUUUAUCUACAAGUCUAUUACAUGGCAUAGAACAUAUUCCAACAAAUUAAGGACUUAUUUGGCAGGAGUGGAUGAUGGAUUGUAGUUUUUAGAAACUAACCAAUGUGCAAUACGACAACAAAAGAAAAAUAUUUCCGCCGAUAUAUCAUCAAAUUAAAAAAACAAAAAUGGCCUAAAUGCCGAUUCAUAUAGACCCCGACGGCAAACUCUGCGACCGCCAUGAAUGGUACACCGUAUGCAUUCAACACUAUCUUCAAAGAAGAGGUCAAUAAAAGGCACAAUAUACCAAAAACUCACUUCGAUGAGGUCGAAGAGGGUGUCGCGGUCGACCUUGGCGAGGUUAUGGUCGAAGGCCCUGAGCUCGUCGUCGUAGGCGGCGGAGUCCUCGCCGGCGCCGCCGCCGAGGGAGUGGUGUUUGCGGCAGUACUCGACGGCGAGGGCGAGGGCGCGGGCGCCGACGAUGGGGAGCGGGAUGGGCCGAUCCCCGAACCCCUCCUCGAUCGCGUGGCGGAUCGUCACCGAGAGCGCCGCCACCGCCGCCGCCUCCACCUCGAAGAUCUCCCCGUCGCCGCUCAUCAGCGUCACCAGCCCCUCCUUCUUCGCCGCCGACGCCCCAUCCGAUGCCCCCGUAGUAGCCAUUAACGAGGAGGAGGAGGAGGAAGAGUCGAGAGAGAGGAAGGGGACGAGGAGAAACCCUAGACGAAACCCUAGCGUUUGAUCGAGAUAGCGCAAAAAACAAAAAACAAAAAAGUAAACUUCAAUUAGGGCCCCCUGGUUUCGCAGUUGCUCACUUUAGUACCUAUGAUUUAAAGUGUAUCAAGUUAGUGUUCUGUGGUUUUAUUUUUAUCUUUUCGUCCGCUUCUCCGUUAAUAUUUCGUUAAGUUAUAUACAAAAAACUUCAGAUACUUCACCUAGGUUUAUCGAAUAUAUACUUUAGUACUUUUUAUUUUUAACUUUGUCACAGAUUUAACGAAAAAAAAUAGUAAAAUCAAUAAUAAAUAAAUAAAAAUGAAAUCACAUUGCACUAAAUUGAUACACUUUAAACAACAAGAUACUAAAGUGAGAAAGUGUGAAACCACAUAGUGGUAUUUGAAGUUUUCCCAAAAAAAAAACUUCAAAUACCACCUUUGUGUGGUUUCGCACUUUCUCACUUUAAUAUCUUAUAGUUUGAAGUGUAUCAAUUUGACAUCAUUUGAUUUGAUUUUUUUUCUUUUCGUCGGCUACUCUGUUAGUAUUUUGUUAAAUUAUAUACAAAAAACUUCAAUUACCCACCUUAGUAAUCGAAUAUUUACUUUAGUACCUUUUAGUUUUAACUGUGUCCCUGAUUUAAAGAAAAAAAUAAUGAAGUGGAUAAUUAAAAAAAAUCACGAAAUACUAAAUUGGUAUAUAUUUAAAGGCCAAUUUGCAUAAAAAAUUCACUUAUUUUGGGCUUUUGCAAAACCGGGCCACCUUUUUCGUUUUUGCAGAUUCGGUCCGCUUUUUCAGCAAACUGACCAAAAUACAUUUUUUACUUUUUCUCUUUCCUCUUUCUCUCUCCUCUUCGUUUCUCUCGUUCUUUUUUUUUUUCUCGCCGGCAGAGCGGAGGCAGAAACGGUCCGUUUCGCCUCUCACCCUCAUUCUCUCGCCCUCGCCCUCGCCCUUGCCCUCGUCCACGNAAAAAAAAAUAAAGAUAAAAAAUUAUAUAAAAAGAAGGAUGAACAUGAAAUUGUAUCGUUAACUGUAAAAAAAAUUAUAAGUUGCACUACUUAAGAUGUAAACUGCAUCCACUAAGAUGAAAGUUACACUCUUUAAACAAAAGUUGCACUGUUUCUCCUCUUGUUGCACCAUUUCUCCUCUUGUUACACUAUUUUUUAUUUUAAACUGCACCCUUUUAAGAGAUAUUUAUACUGUUUCUUCUCUUAUUGUACUGUUUCUCCUCUUGUUGCACCAUUUCUGUGUAAAUAAAAGGAGAAAUAAUGCAACAAUAGGAAAAACAGUGCAACAAGAGAAAAAACUGCACUGUUUUAAGAGAUAUAUAUACUGUUUCUUUUCUUGUUGCACCAUUUCUGUGUAAAUAAGAGGAGAAAUAGUGCAACAAGAGAAGAAACUACACUGUUUUAAGAGAUAUAUUUACUGUUUUUUCUCUUGUUGCACUGUUUUUUCUCUUGUUGCACCAUUUCUGUAUAAACAAUAGGAGAAAUAGUGCAACAAGAGGAAAAACAAUGCAAUAAGAGGAGAAACUGCACCUUUUUAAGAGAUAUUUAUACUGUUUCUUCUCUUGUUGCACUGUUUCUCCUCUUUUUGCACCAUUUCUGUGUAAACAAGAGGAGAAAUAGUGCAACAAGAGAAGAAAUAGUGCAACAAGAGGAGAAACAGUAUAAAUAUCACUUAAAAAGAUGCAGUUUAAGAUAAAAAAUAAUAUAAUUUUCGUUCAAAGGUAUAAUUUUUAUCUUAAAGCAGCAGUUUACAUCUUAAAUAGUGCAACUUAUAAUUUUUUUUGUAAUUAACGAUGCAAUUUCAUUUUCAUCAUUCUUUUUUUAUAAUUUUUUAUCUUUAUUUUUUUCUGUUUUUUCUAUAAUUUUUUUUGUCACAUUCUCUGCCAAUAGCUACGGCGCUGGUGACGACGCCGCUAAGGACCCCCGCUUCGAGACUGUAGCGCCGCAGUGACCUCUACGGUGUCGACGUCGGCGCCGGCGAAGAUAAAUCGUCGUCGGAAGCGGCAGAAAAUGAGAAAGAGGGAGAGAUGAGAAGGGCGGGGAAGGGCGAGAGGUGUCGUCGUCGGAGACGGUGGAGAGGAGUCGGAGAAGAAAAGAAAAGAAAAAAGCAAAAAAAAAAAAAAGUCGCGGCACGGCCUUGGCGAGGUCGUAGGCGAGUAAGGUGGGGGGUGCAUGGACGAGGGCAAGGGCGAGGGCGAGAGCAUGAGGGUAAGAGGCGAGACGGACCGUUUCUGCCUCCACUCCGCUUCCGCUCUGCCGACGAGAAAAUAAAUAAAACGAGAGAAACGAAGAAGAGAGAGAAAGAGGAAAGAGAAAAAGCAAUAAAGGUAUUUUGGUCAGUUUGCUGAAAAAACGGACCGAAUAUGUAAAAACGAAAAAGGAGGCCCGAUUUUGCAAAAGCUCAAAAUAAGUGAAUUUUUUAUACAAAUUGGCCAUAUUUAAAUCACAUGUACUAAAACAAAAAAGUUAAUUUUUCCAAAAAAGUGGGAGCGGGUACGAUUCGGGUUAGCUUUGGGUUUAAAUCAAAACCAAAUCCUAACUGUAAUGUGAAGAAUCGAAGCGAAUCAAAUUAAAAAUUUUAAUUUAUAAGAUAAUUUGAAAUUGAACCAAACUAAUUUAAUUUGAAAAAAAAAUCAAUACUAAAUUCAAGAUAUAGUGUGAAAAAAAAAUCAAAAUCGAACCAAAUCAAAAUUUUCGGUUUGAUUUGGCUUAUAAGAUAAAUUGAAGCCCAAACUAGUGUGAAAAAUCAAAUCGAACGGAAGUAAAAAAAAUUUGGUUUGAUUUUGAUUUGUACUAAUUUUUUAAAGUACUAAUUCCAUAUAAUUUUAUAUGUCGGUAGAAAUAUUUUCCUCUAAUUUUAUUCUUUUGUUGAGAAAUAAACAUCUUAGAUGUGAAUGAUUGCAAAUAAUCCACCAUCAAAUAAUAUAUAUAUAUAUAUAUAUAUAUAAAAGUUAAAUACAUUAAAAAUAUAUGAUUAAAUUAAAAAAAUAUUAAAGGCAUAAAACUUAGCAUUCAAUUUUUAUAGAUAAACUAAUAUAAUAAGCUAAUUAAUGUUAAUAACUAAAAUAGAAUCAUUAAAUUUGAUACAAUUUUUAAAGUAAGAAUGUACAUAACUUAUAUGAACUAUGGACCAUUUUGAGUGUUUUGAUUUUAUUACCUAAUUUUUAACUUUGUUUGAUUUGACUUCAAAAUUUGAAUGUGCCGUUUAUCUAUAUAGAUUUAAUAAGUAUAUUUUAUACAAUUGUUGCAACUAUAAAUUUAUCAAAAUAAGUAAUUAAUUUAAAAUUUGAAAUCAAAAUACCGUUGACUGAUUCAAAUUAAAUAAAUUGAAAGACUGAGUAGUAAAAUUUAAAAUUUUAAAAAGUUGGAUAACUGAAUCAAAAUAGUCCAUAGUUAAGUAAGGUUUGUAUAUUUUGAUUAACUUAAUAUAAAAACUUAAGUAAAAAAAUUGGGUGACUAAUUCAGAACAGUGUAUAGUUGAACAUAAUUUUACCGAAAAUCACAGAGACCAAAAUAAAACUCGUCUCAGAAUUCAGGAGGCAGCAGCGUAAUUUACCCUAUGCUUUAACUUGUAAUAUUUCUUUUUUUUUUCUUAAUCUUGUUGUUCUUAAUUAGUUAAAUUUAAAACUUUGUUUUAUUAAAAGAUUAAUAAAUUUUUUUUAUUGAAUUUGUUAAUUUUCCCUUGCAUUUACUAGCCUACUAGUAGGAGAUGACUUAGGAAUACAAAACUGAGAUAUUAGUUAAAAGAGAAACUAACAAAUAAAAAAUAUAUAGAGAGAGAGUGUCUGGCUGAGAUACUAAGCACUUGAUAUUACUGAAUUUUCUAACGUUAGACUUAUCUCUUUCAUCAUUUCUAGCCAUUAGAUCAUAAUAUUCAACUAAGCACCCACUCAAUCUUAAAGGACCACUAUCAUCAUUCUAACUACACAUUUUUUUUUAUCCAGCACCAAUGACUUGUGCAAUUAAUAAUAUGGGUUAUUUGCAUACACGUCCCUGCAAACAUAGUAAAUUGCAGAAAUAUUCCUGCAAAACGAAAACUCCAUAAGUUAUCCCUGCAAAAGUCUAAAGUUAUGCAGAUAUGUUCCUGCCGUUAAGGACUGUUAGAAAAUUUUCGUUAACCACGGUUAAAAUACUUAACCAUGGUUAAUUAUAACGUGAAUUUACGGUUCUAUCUUUCUUCUUCUUCCUCCUCUUCUUCUUCCCUCUUCUUCGUCGCCGGCGAGGGCGGCGGCGGCAGCGACGGCGGCGACGACGGUGAACCCUCUUUCUUUCUUUUCCUCCUUCUUCCUCUCCCUCUUCCCUUUUCUCCCUUCUUCUUCCUCUCCCUCUUCCUCUUCCCUCUUCUUAAUCGCCGGUGAGGGAGAAGAUGCGAUGGCGGCGGCGAACCCUCUCCAUCUCCCUCUUCUUCUUCCUCUCUCUCUUUCUUUUCCUCUUCCUCUUCCUCUUCCCUCUUCUUCAUCGCCGGCGAGGGAGGAGAUGCGGCGGCGGCGCGCGGCGACGAACCCUUUCCCUCUUCAUCUUUCUCUUCCCUCUUCCUCUCCCUCUUCCUCUCCUUCUUCUCUUCCCUUUUUUUCUUCCUCUCGUUCUUUCUUUUCCCUCUUUUUCGUCGCCGGCGAGCUGGACCCGCGCCGUCGCCGCCAUCCGCUCCGGCGGCCCGAAGAGGAAGAGUAAGAGAAAGAGAAAGAGAAGGGGAAGAUGAUACUUUUAGAGGGAUAUAUUUGUGAGGGCAAAAUGGUCAUUUCACAAAAAAACUGUUAAAAAAUAAACAGUUCUCUAACAGAUGUUAAUCAGAGGGACAUAUCUGCAUAAAUUAGGACUUUUGUAGGGACAACUUAUGGAGUUUCCGUUUUGCAGGAAUAUUUUCGCAAUUCACUAUGUUUGUAGGGACGUAUAUGCAAAUAACCCUAAUAAUAUUUCAGCCAAAUUCUAUAUAUCUAUACUAUAUAUAAAAGCACGACCCAGAUAAGAAUAUGAUACGUGAUAAACAAACUUUAAUUUAAUUUUUUCUCUGACAGAUAACAGGUAGAAAAAAAUAUUUUCCUAUUUAAUACUUUAAUUUAUUUUUUCUUAAUAGAUAACGUGUGGAAAAAAAUAUUUUUUUAUUUAAUUUCAAAAUAUUUUUUCUUUUUCCGUAUACAAAAUAAAUAACGUAAUAAAAUAAACUUUUAAUUCUUCUUUUUUCUCCAAUUAUUAUUAUUUUACUUUUUUAUUAAAUAUUUUUAUCAUUCAAUAUUUUUUUCUUUUAAGAUAAAUAUUUAUAUAUUAUUAUCUCUAUUAUAUCAACUAAUAUUUUAUUAUUAUCGGAAUUAAGAAAUAUAGAAAAAUAUUCAAUGUAUAUCUAUAUAUCUAUACUAUAUAUAAAUUUUAUAAAAUAAAAAAUAAACUAUAUAAUUGUUGUUGGCAUUAAUUAUUUAAAUUUGAGUUAGAAUAUGACAGAUAUUUUCUAAUAAUAUAUAAUAAAUAAAUUUACAUUUUCUAAUGGUUGAAAUGAUCCGAGAAGUAGAUCUAACGGUAAAAAACUUACAAGCACAAGUGCUUGGUGCUUUUACCAGCAUCAUAGCUGAACUCUCUCUCUCUUUCUACAUAUAUAGAGUCCGGCUAAGAUGUUAUCGAUAGCACGAAGUACUUGGUGCUAUCAAGUUCCGUUUGAUUAUACUAUUCAACUAAUCACCCACUCAACACUAGGGUGCGCACAUCAUCCUAACCGCACAUCUUUUAAUCCAAUGAUAGAAAACUUAAUAGCACAAAGUCAUUAUGCUAUUAAUAGUAUUUCAGUCUAGUUUAUAUAUAUAUAUAUAUAUAUAUAUAUAUAUAUAUAUAUAUAUAUAUAUAUAUAUAAGCAUGAAACUCAUGUUAUCUCUAUUCGAUAAAAACAANGGGGCGGAUGGGAAGAACCGAGAAGUCUCUUGAGGAGAUAACCGACUUUGCAUUAAUUACACGGACGAUACAAAUUUAAUUUUUUAAGACACCUAAGAACAAAUACCUAAAUUAUUGGACAUGUAUUAUUGUAUAUUUUUUUAAAAAAAAUUUGUGUUUAUGUGAAACGUUACAUAUAUAGAAACACCAUAGCAUUUAUGGGCUCGUCAAUUAACUUCCAAAUAUUUUUUAUUUCAUUAAACAUUAUUAUUUAGAGCAACAUUUGAAACGACCCAGUAUUUAUGGGCUCCUUAAUUAACGUUCAAAUGUUUCCUAUUCUGCUAAACAUAAUUAUUUAGUGGAGCCCACUAAAGAAAUAUAUUCUGUACAAUUACAGAAGAGGUGGGUCCCACUUUUUUCCUAAACUAAGGAGAAAGCUUGAAUCCCACGGGGAUUCAUAAUAGUUUAUAGAUGCUGCAUGGAUACAUUGGAAAAGAGUCAUGGGCAAUUAAAGAAAUAAUAAUAAUAAUAAUAAUAAUAAUAAUAAUAUGGAUUAAUUGCAUUAUUGGUCAACCACAGGUCUGAAAUGCUGAAGUCUAAUUAUUAGUUCUAUCAUAUUUGUCACGGAUAAGACUCUCUGACUUUUCUAUAUCAUCUAGUGCGAGACUAUUUGGGGUGUUAGAGUAUGCAAUAUUGAAAAGAGCACAGAUAUAUGAGAAGAUACUGAGGUGAUGUUUGGAUUGGGUGCGAGAGGGAUAAAGCCCUUAUCUCCUUCUUGUACCCAAACAUCAAUACUAAGGGUGGGAACAGCUUAGCGGGUUAUCUAAAUUACCCGCUAAGGGUGGGAACAGUUCAGCUGUUCCACCUUUAGUUGGAACAGUUCAUCUUAUCUAUCUAAACGUUAUUUUUUUUAUUUCCGAAAACAAUCAAUUUUCAUGCAAACGCAAAAGUAGUCUAGUUUUUGUUUAUAUCUGAAUUUGUACAUAUCCCUAGAAUAAGUAAUUCUUGCUUAUAUCCGAACUAAACGAAGCCUGAGAGAAUUAAACUUGACAUAAUAAACACGCUUAUUAGGGACUUAAGUAAUAAUAAAUAAAAAAAAUAACGUUUAGAUAAGUAAGAUGAAAAAUAGCGUUUUAUCUUAUUUUGUUGUGGAGGAGCUAGCAUUGUUCCAAUAACCCUUGCAAAAUUUUUUUUUUUUUUUUUUUGGGUUGUUAAAUUAUAUGUUAUUUGUUGGGAUUUUUAUAUUGUUGUUAGAAUUCUAUAUAGUAAAGAGUCUGUUUCCUUUUCCUUUUAGGUUUUUUUUUUUAAAAUUGUAUUUAAGAUAGUGAAUUAUUGACCGUUUCUUAAUUAUUCUUUCAUAAGACGAAAUAUGAUUAACUGGCCAAAUAAUAUGUUGAUAGAACUAUUUAACAAAUUCUAAUAUUUUUAAUAAUUUAUUAAAAAAAAAUCUAUUAUAUAUCAUACACUACAAAAAAAAAAAGCAACAUUUAAGAACAAUUUUUUUUUAAUAUUUAACGAUUCCUAAAAGUAUUCCAAUAUAAUCUGGCAAAUGAGGAGUCGCGAGAGUCGCCACUUAUACCGAUGUCGCUUAUACCAAGUGUCUCUAAAAUAUAUUCUGAAAAGUAUUGAUAAAAUUUAUCCUAACACUUUAGAGUGUUGAAAAAUUAAAAAUAAUAGUAAAAUUUAUCAUUUAAUAAAUUGGUUUGAUACAAUAAAAGAUUCAUCUGAUGACACUUUUUGAAGCGUUGGUAUUUACUAUAUUUUAUGGACACAUUUAUUUUAACGUCGUUUAAAAAGCGUCCUUAUAUUGAAAUUUUUUUAAUGGUGAUUGUUGAAGGACUAGAUUUUGACUUU